AGGUUUUUUUUUUUGUUUUUUUUUUAUUAUCAAAAGUUAAGGCUUAGAUAUUUAAGUUUUAGGAAUUUGGAUGGACCACAAUAUGUAAAAUAAAGUUUUCUACCUUCAUGGCUUUGUGGAAGGGAGUUCCAGGUAGAUCAAGAGCCAUGGAAUUAUAACCCUUCUCAAUGCAAUGAUACAGAUGUUUAAUCCCUUCCCCUUCAAUCCCCCUUUUGUUGCCUAAAACUGAAAUCAUUGCCACAUCGAAAGCAUACUGGCACACCAAAACCAAACAAAAAUGAGAAUCAAACUUUUAGAUUCCUUUCUGAUGAAAUGCACAAAGAGUCCUGCACUAAAAGUCCAAAAGAAUCCCAAUAAACUGACAGACAUACCCUCUUCAUCUCUUGCAAAGUGUUAAUGGUGUUCUUCUUCCAUGUGGGAAGUAGCUUUAGAACAAUUUGCUCAAUCUCUGAGACUGAACCUUUUAUUGCAGAGGGCAAAAGUGAAGCCUGAACCACCUUCUUUAGCUUCGAGUGAUAGGCCCCUUGGUGGAAGAAUAUAGCUUCCGGCCCUAUCAUCCUCUCUUUGCCUACAGGGUAAGUUGGCUUAAAGAGAUGAGCUUGAGUCACCAGUACCAUUUUUGCUGCUUCUGGGCUCGUUAUCAUCACACAGGGACACCCCAAAACAUGGCUCUUGAAUAUACUCCCAUACCUACAGUAAAUGCAUUAGCAAAAACUAUCACAUAUCAUCUACCUAUAAAAUCCACUGUUUCAUCCUUAAUAUCUUAGCCCAUAGGAAAAAGAAAAAAAAAAAAAAACAGAAAAAAGGGUCUAUACGAAUAUUUACAACCUCUGGCAAUGUUUGCAAGAGAACGAUAUAUACAACAGUCAUACACAAGAAUUUCUCUUGACACGAUAGCACAACUUUUUCAUAUGAUGAUUCAGAAAUUCUUGCAUACAAGCGUUAAUCAAUCCCUUGCAAAACUGAGCAUGUAAAUACCAUGCAACAGACUGGUAUAAGAGAAGUGUUGCAGUUGCAUACAAUGAUGCAAUAGUGAUAAGCAAGAUUUUCAUUUUCUUUUUAUCUUUUUCGGAUAUGAAGCAUUAUUUAAGAAGAGGAGCUGGGAUCAGCUAGGAAAUGAGAAACCAAAGAGGUCCAUUGUGGAUACCGUUUCUGCCGGACUGAGAAGAAAGAAUUUGGAUUUUCAGUGUAGAGCUCGAAAGUCUCUCCAAAAAACGGCCAACCCAUUGAACCAGGGGGGAGGCGCCUGUAGAAUCUGGGGUACUGCCAUUGGAUAAGGAACAAGCCCAAGAGCAGAAGGAUUGGUAUCAAGACUAGUCCAAAGUCUGAGUGCAGAGCUGAACAGAAAGGAGGUGAUGAUGAGAAAAGUUGCAUGGUGCUGAAGACGGAGGAGGGAUUGAUGAUUUGGUGUGAAGAGGUGGACUAGGCACAAGCGAAGCUAGUGGUGAUUGAAUGUGAAUGGGGUUGUGGGGGUUUUAUAAUUGGGUUUGGGGACACACGUCAUCACGUUUAUGGCAACACUUGCUAUGCAUAUUUUUUGAGAUUUCUAUAGGGUCCAUCCCGCACCUUACUUUACCCCCCACCAGAACCAUAUUAGACAUCGAUAGGACACGUUAUUAUAAAAUUUGGUUACAAAGGAUUCAAUCUGAUUAUGAACUCUUGUUUAUUCUAGAGAACCAUCUAAUAACACUUGUAAAAACCUAAAAGGGAAAACCGUUUCAUUUCUUAAGGAAAAGAUAGAAAAGUUUAUCUUGUGGAUGCAUGACUCUUCUUAUUAAGAUAUGUUGAGAAAUUACUGAUUAGGCUUAAAGAUGUAUCGAGAAAUUACUAACUUAAAAAAACAAAUGACAGAUGUAAUAAGUAAAUACGACCUAUGUAAAGUUAUUAAUUUCAUUCAACUUACAUUACUGUAGUUCUAUUAAAACUUCAAGUUACUAGUUAAGACAUUUUAUCGAACAUCUUAUAUUCGUAAUCGUCUAAUAUUCAUGAUCAUGAUCAUGAUCUAUACAAGAAAAAUCUAUGGACCAAAAAAAAAAAAAAAAAAGGGAGUUUCUACUGACCUGGCUGAGCUCGUCUGACGGUCUGAGCCACCAAUGAUUACGUGAAGGAACUCGUGGCCUGCCUCACUCUUCCGUUUUGUAUGCGGUGGCCAGAUUUGCAGUUUUUCGGCUCUCUCUCUUUCUACAGAGAAGACUCGUACCCUCACCCCUUCAUACGUGUAGGACUCUCAUGUCUGUUCGUGAGACUGAGCCUUCAGUCCGUACGUUUCAGCAUGCAAGUGAUGCGGGGCCAUUCAAGAGAACUUUGGAUCUUUGCUGGUCAUGGCCAACCUUAUUUUCUGGUUCUUCUUUAUGCCAUUUUCGGGAAAAGGCUCGAAGAACCCCCACCGGCCCCCAACUUACUGAACUCGGUUCGACAUGUCAUUGUUAUCUUUCCACCUCUAACCCAAUUCCCCAUCACAUUUUAUGCAUGCAAAUGUAAUGCCACACUCGUGUUAGCCUAUUCUGAGUACUGUUUCUUUUCUCUGUUCCCUUGUUUGAAUUUAGAUGAUGAGAUUACGUCAAAUGGGAUCCUGAAAGAAAUAACUGCUAUUCUUGCUUUGUGAAAGCAUUGUUGAGGGAUAUGUCAGUUCAAUUGAAAGAUUAUAUGCAUCUAAUUAACUUUGUAUGGAACUCAGAUCUCUUUACAAUGUGAUAGUGAAUAACAACUCAAGAUCCUUGAUGUCAUUUAUAUGCGCAAAGGUAGUGCUAACCUCAUACAAGGUUGUUCUUUUUCUAUAUAUGUAGCAGUGCUAAAGUGUCAAAAAUUAUACAUCAGAGAUAACCUGAUGCAAAGUUGUUCUCUUUCAAUGUAACGGUGUUAAAGUGUCAAAAUUUAUGCAUCAGAGAUAAUGUCAACCUCGUAUAAUGUUAGUGGUGUCUAAUGACAGAUUUUUAUCGAUAUAUCAUAAAUAGACAUCCAACUGGUGUAGGGUUAUAUCUGUUAUCUAUAAGUUGUAAAAUAUGUAACAACUCAAAUUAAAGAUGCAAUCUCUUACGAAGUGUUAGAUUUUAUGCAUUAGGUGUAGUGUCAACCUCGAGUAAGUGUAGCGGUGUCUAAAUGACAAAGCUUAACUAUUAUAUCAUACAUUGGCAUCCAAUUAAUCUGAGGUUAUAUAUAUGUACUAUAUGUCAGUGAUAAAGUGUUUAACAACUCAUAAUAAAGAUGCAAAAUCUCUAAUUAUAUGUCAGAUUGUAUUCACGCGAAUGUGACACCAACAAGAUUCUUCUUAUUAUGUGUUAGUGAUCAGUGAUAGAUCAACAACUUCACAAAUAAUGACAUAUGCACAAACUUGAUUGAGACUUUUCUUCUCUAUGAGGGUUUCUCUACUGGUUAAUCUCUAUAUAUGCUGGACAUAAGUUAACACCAAUUUGCCUUAUCCUCUAUCAAUCCUUUAAUAUGAGGUCUUGCUACCUUAUGAUUUAAUCUCUACUGCCUGAUCGAACUAAAAUUUCCCAUAAUCUUAUAUUCUUCAUCGCAUAUAUAUGAAAUAUUGAUCUGAAAUUCUGGAUCUGAUAUGGUGAUACUGUGAUAGUACGUGGCUGACACACUAACUGUAGAUUGAGAAGUGGUUGGCCAAAGAUAGCAAAGAGUUAAGGAUCCGAAACAGAUUUGAGAAUUGAGAAGAAGGUUUCCCAAGAAUAAGAACAGUUCACGUGGGAGUGGCUGUCUCGACUUGACUCUCCAUCAGGAGAUAGAUCUCUGGUUUUGUUGUUGUUGCAGGUAACGUACGACUACAGGCGUCGUCCUUGAACUAAGUGCCUGUUGUUGCGCAGCGCGACGAUCUGGGUGUGCUGCUAAGGACCUAGCUAGCUCAUCAUACCCAGCUCACGUUAGUCCCGCUUCUUCAAAUUUAACACUGUCUGGACGUGUCAAGCAGCUUCACACCUGGCCAUUAUGGCUCUCAUCUUCCCCUCUAGGCCGCCUCUACUGAUCCCUAUCCACCUUUACAUAAGUUUAUUCCAGUCGUACUUCUCAGUUCUCGCUCUCAGACCCCUUUAUUUCUUUUUUUAUUAAGUAAAAAACUUAAAUGCUACAACUAAUAUUUUAUAAGUCGAACUCACAACAUCUGACUUAAAGAGACUAUGCUGCUAGACUAAAUGAUAUUGGGUCUGACCUAUUUUUUUCUUAAUACUUGAAAGGAUGCGGCUAUUGUCAUCCCACAAACCACUUUGCUCACCCUACAUGUGAUUAAUUUAUUGAAAGACCAAAAUAACUUGAUGUAAAAUUACGGCAAGGGACAAUAAGUUGUUAAAAAUUACAAAUUUUUAUUUUUUUAUUUUUUUAUUUUUUUGGUAUGAACAUGUAUGUACUCCAUAAAUCUUAACCCAAAUUUAUCAUAUUCGAUCGUUCUAGGUCUGAAGACGCUAGCAUUCAACCUGAAUAUGAGGUGAACUAUUUGCAUUUCUUCUUUUUUUCUUCUCUUUUUUUCUUUGUUGACGCUUCCGUCUAUCAUUUUACUCAUUAUUUUUCAUAUCAUCUUUGUAUGUAAAUUCUCAUGGACAAUUGUACCGUAUUUAUAAACAACGCAUAGAUCAGUUUAAAACACUCAGAAUUAUGGAGUAAUGGAGAAGAGAAUGUAUGGUGAACAAAGUAUAAUUGAGAAAAAUGUAGUUUAGGGAUUGUAAAUGGAUGAACAAAGUAAAAUUAGGAAGAUUGUAUUUUAGGUAUUAUAAAUGGGUGAACAAAGUAGACUUAUAAUUAAAAAUAUAUAAAUAGGAUAUGAAAAAAAUGUGGGGUGAGUAAAAUGGUUUGUGAGAUGGCAAUAGACGCACCUUACUUGAAAUGCUAUUUGUAUGGUUUAAGCUAGAGUAGGUAAUUAAAACUAAUCAAAGUAGCUAUUGUUUCUAUAUAAGAAGAAACUUAAUAUUGAUCCAUUGUUUAGCUAAUGAAUCUUAGCUACUUACUUUAUUGAAGGUAUUUGGGAAAAACAUAAUGUUGCUUUCCGGAGUAAAUUUAUUGGUUGUCAAAUCGUAUUAAGGUUUUGAAAAUCAGUUGGAGACCGUUAGUUCUCGGUCUCGAUUCUCUGCUCAGAUUUUACGUAUUGGUCAUUUUACACAAGUUUCCAAUCAUCUUGUCCUUGGUAUUUGACUUAUUAGGUGAAGUGCAGUCAGGCAGAGUGCAUUUAACAACAUUGUUUGUUAUUAAAUGACUAGUUUUAUCGUUUAUCGUAUACAGUUACUCAGUUGGAGACAGUUAGCAUCUAAAACUAACGAAUUUCUUUGAGUUGUGUGGUUUUUAACCUUGUCUAUUGUUCAGCAUAAUUUGUCGAUUCAAUAAAGUAUGACUCGUACCACCCUUACACCUGCAUGUUGUCACCUGAGACAAACAUCCCAACUCGUAUCACCCUUACGUCCGCUAGAGCCCAUGUACAAGCUAGCCUAGCAUAGAGCGAAGGCCCUGCUUGAUCUGAAACCCCAAAAUAAUGUUGCCCGCCUACUCCCCACGUCUGGACGUAGCCAAGCGACGUCAAUUCAAAUAUCGAUAUUCCUUAACCUCACACAAACUAGGCACGCUCGACGUCACCCCUGAUUUGUCCAUGUAACUCGAAAUGCUUGACAAAUAACGAUGUCAAAGGGGUGUGCCAUCAGACCAGGCAUGAGAACUUGUGUAGAGAAGACGAGUAAUUUGUUUCUUCUAAUAAUUAUAAAUUUGUCAUAUUGUUGAAUAUUACUCAUCAUAUAGUGUUUGACGAAUUUUUUAAAUCUUUUUUUUUUCUUAAUUUCAUCCCACAAGGAGAAAUAAUUUAUUCAUCACAACCUAAACUAGGUUGUUGUUGCAUAUAUACUAUGUUACUCAGUUCCUAUCUAGAGCGAAGCUUCACUAUGAAAUUAAAGUGUGAAGUUCCUUAUUUGACUCAUUUUUUUGUCAUAUUUCCACAUCUCCGUCAUUCAUAUUAUUGAUACUAAUGUAUAUAUCAUUCCUAUAAAAUUUCAUCAAGAUUGAUGAUCGUUUGGGUACUGAAUUAGAUCAAAUCAAUGAACGGACCAUAAAUUUUACCAGAACUGUUUGUGUAAAUAACGAUUACGAAAACUUAAAUGAUCAUCAAAUUAGAUGAAAUUUUGUAGAAGUGCUAUGCAUUAGGUUCUAUAAACUCAACGGUGGAGAUGUGGAAAUAUGACUAAAAAGUGAGUCAAAUAAGGAACUUCACACUUUAAUUUCAUAAUGAAGUUUCGCUCUAGAUAAGAACUGUCAUGUUGCUAUCAUAUAUAUACAGACAACUAGUUAGCGGUAGACCGCACAAGUGGUACGUACAAAUAAACUUACUUAUUACACUAUCAAAUGCGCAUAUCUCAAUUGAUUAAUUAGCUUGAAACAUCAAUUGAGGGUAAAAUUUUAACAUCUUCAUCAAGUUUUGAGUUAUUACUCGAAGAUGCUUGUAAACUAUAAUACAUGGAAACCCUUCGAAGCACCUACCCUAAUAAGUAAGUUUUGUGCAUGUACUCUAGAUAGCACAUUCGCAGCCACUGCAAGGAGGAAAACUAUUGUUCUUCCAAGCCACCAACUCUAGCCUUUGAACUAGAGAACGUACAUCAUGUUCUCUGCCAUUAAGGUUACAUCAUUAUCAGUCGAUAACUUAGUCGAUAAUGAUGAUAUAAAUCAAUUAUUAGGGAAUCUAGAGAAUAUUACAAUUUUUGGAGCGGAUUUUACGCACCAAUGUGUACUUGCACCAUUACUGUGCAAGUCAUCAAAUCGUCGUAUGCGAACAUCUAAUGAAGAUCAUAGACCCUAAAUUCCUUCAUUUCAUUUUCAUUUUUGAUCGGAUCAAAUUAGAUCAAAUUAAGCGUUUAUAAUAAGAGUACAUGUUAUUUGACCUUAGGUCUUCACCUCUUAUGUUAUAAAUACUUAGGACUAUUUUUUUUUGUUUCAAUUGUGUUAACGAUAUUAUAAUACAUGUAUCAUAAUGCGUCGUGGAUGAUCGGAUCAAAAUAUUACAUAUUAAUUGCUCGGUUCACUCACACAUUGAUACGUAGAAGAAUUUUCGUUUUUGAAAAUAAUUCGAGAAUAAGAAAAGGCUUACGGACAUUUCUACCAGACGGUCGCGAUUCUCCUGUACGUGUCAUUCCCUGGUUGGUUACUUGUAUGAGAAGAGAUUUGAGAUUGCCCGCCCUUGCUAGUAACGAUAUCAACGCAUACGUGGCUGGCUACAGAGAGAGACACAUAUCCUUUCACAUUGUGUCGCGCCGCACAUGAUCACAAAUGCGGUAUCUUAAACUGCAUCGUUUUGAGACAUCGAUUUAUACCGACACAUGUGUCAAACUAGGGUGCGGGGUGGUGGGACCACAAUAUCUAAAAGAUCCUCUGUGAUGCCUCAAUCAAUAGAGUGGACGGUCAUAAUCAUUGGACAAAGUACACUAAUGAAAUCUGCAUAACUAGUUUCAUCGGUCCAAACUUCGAACUUAGAGGCUUUCCUACUGUUGCAUAGACCCUAUCUUUUCUCGUGUUAAGAGGCUAGAAAGAUCAAACAAUCCACCUCUUGUGUGAGUGUGUUAUGCGGGCAUAAAAUAAGAAGUUGUUCUAAAGAUUUAUAAGGGAAUGUUAAAUAAUGAAUCAUUAUGAAAAGUUUAUGACAUGUUUAUUUACUUCGAUCGUGAAAAGUCAUGAAUCAGACAUUUAUAAUGUAAUAAGUCAUGAUUCGGUGAUAACUAGAGUAGAUACGAAAACAAUCAUUCAUGAACCCAUAUCCCCUUUAUUAUAAAGUUAAGAGUUAUUCAUGAAUCGAGAGAUGAUACCUACACUCAUUCUGAUUCAUCCAUGUAUUAGUAACGCGUUUUUACUUUUCUAUGUGGAAUCAAUUUGAUUAAUAUUCUUUUAUUCGUUAGUAACCACAUGAUUAUGUUUAUCUUGUAAUCAUUCCCUCUACUUUUCUUGAAGCGUAAUACCUUUCAUGCUAGUCACUCAUUCUUAAAACCAGUAUUCUUAAGACUAAAGAGCCGGGUGUAACCAUUCCAAAUACGUAAACGUGCUCUUUCCUUGACCAACUGACUAAAUAUGUAGUCAACUAAAUGAUUUGCAGAUAUCUAACUUAGAUUCAUGGACCUACGUUACUGUUUUCAAAUUGUACACUAUGGUUGACGGAUGUUUCUACUAAAUUUGGGUUUCUAUGUUAGACUAUGUACAUGCUAGUCCUACUUUGACAAUUUGAUUUCUACGAGCAUGGAAAUGAUAGAGACUGACAAAUCUAGCUAUGCAUGAUCUAUUGGGUUCGUUUUGUUUUUUUUUAUUUUUUAUUUUUUUAUUUUUAUAAAAUACUGACAAGGAUUAUGCGAUAUUAGCUUCUUUGUAGCAGUCUGGUGAUUGACAGAACACCCACUCUAUCUUAAAGGGGAUCGCUACAACCGGAAACCCACCGCACGUUCCUAAUCAGAACUUUUAUUUAAAAUAAUAAAAAAAUUACAUAAAAAGAGGAAUGGGUUCUUUCAAGUUGAAUGAAUGAAUAUUCUUGAAUCAUUUGCUUAUGUCUUUUGUAUUCGUUGUUAAAAUCUCAUCCACAAUUCCAUUCAGAUUGCUCAUUGAUCCACAUACAUGUACUUUACACCGUCCUUGAAAAAUGUAAUAGAGAGAAAGUAAUCAUUCGAGCAUAGAUAUGGGUGAGUGGCAGAUAUAGUAUGAUGCAAGAUCAACUAGCUAAUCAUAUAUGAAGUUCGAUCACUGAUAUCCGUAAGUGGUAUUUAUACAAUGCCUUUCAUAAAGAAUUAGAAGAAAUCCAAAGGUUUUUGGGAGGACGCAGUCGUGGGAUGACCUCUAUGAUAUAAAUAAGCACUUCCAAUUGAAGGUGAUUGAUCCCAAACUUGUUUAAUUAAGUGUGUGUCAUUUUCUCAGAUCUCUUCCCAGGUUAGCAUUGAUCUAACAGUUGAUUUGUAAAAAGAAAGUGGAGAGUGUAAAUAUAUUAUCACUAUUAAUACUAGUUAAGUUGGUCAAAUGGACGCGUGUGACUGUGUGAGUGAAUGGACGAUUAGGCAUUCUCCUACUGAGGUUGCAAAAUCUUUUCUUAUACAUGAAAAUACAAUCCCAUUUGAUACUAUUCAUCUAAAUAGUAGGUUAUAUAACCAAGAGUGGGUCGGUAGAAUGACUAGUUUAGAACCCCCAAGUCUAGAGUUCGAAACCCCAUGAGGCCUUAGUGGCCAGCCAGUGAUGAGGUCAUGUGCAUGUUUGCGUUCCUGCCCUAUAAUGAUGCAGUGAAAUAGUCCAGCAAUUGUUGGGAUACUCUGCAUGGGUGUGUGUGUUACUUAAUCUAACUAAGGCUAACAACCACCCCCCUCUUAUAAAAAAGAAAAUAGUAGGUUCUAUAAUUAAAUCAACUCCAACCUGCCAAUAAGUAUCGUUUAAAUUAGUUGUGAUUAAUAAAUCCGGGGGGUCUACUUUGCCUUUAGCUUGAGCAGGCAAAUGUUCUAUUCAAGUUCCAAAUUCAAAACUUUAGUUAGUAUUUUAGAACUUUAAAAUGAAAUUGUUAUGUUUUAUUCCAUCAAUUGAAGAUGGGUUUUGAAUAAAAGUUUCUUUAAUUUAGAUUAGAACCAGUGUACUAACUACUAACAAUCUAACAUCAUAUCAAACGGGCCCAGGGAUGUACCACCCAAUUGUGAAAGAUUGGAUUAAGAACAUGAAACCCAAAGGCCCAAACCCAACAACCAUCUCCUAGUAACUAAAAUUGGAAGGCAAACCACACUCCCAUGUAUCAGCCUUAAACCAGCCAACCUACCUACAAAUCGACUCAAAAAACCACCAUCGGCUAAUUAAAUCCAAUCUCAGAUCACCCAACACUGCAAUGUAAGGAGUAAAAAAUCGAUAAUUUCCGCGAUAUUUCACAGAAAUUUUUCGUUUUUCUUACCAACGAUAUAUCUUUACCCUCCCGAUAUAUCCCGAUAUUUUCUGAUAUUUUCUGAUAUUUUUCACAAUACAGAGAGACGAUAAAGAUAGUGAAAAUUUUGUAUCACAUAGGUCUUCUACGUGGUUUUAAAAUACUCAUGUAAUUCUAUGUGAAAUGUAUCAUAUGUAUAUAAGACGUGAUGGCCUAGCCUCCAUUUAGGUUUCCAACCAUACAAAAAAAAAAAAGAUGUUUAAAGUAAACUUUUAAGAAUUAUUAACGGUUCAACACUAACAUUUCCACCUUAACUUACUACAACUCCCUAUAGAUCAAUGUUUAUUUAAGGUUUUCAUUUCAAAUAUAGUACAUAAUAUAGAAAACAAACAUCUCUUAAAGUUUGAUUUAAAAUUUCCUUAUUUUUCUUCAAAUUCCGUCAAUUUUCUUAUUUUUUUUACUGCAAUAGAUAUUUCCUCGAAUUUUCCAUAUUUUACAUAGUCGAAAUUUCCUUAAUCAUCGAAAUUUUCUUCCUUGCUGCAAUGUGUCACUAAACCACCAUACCCUAAUUGAUUUUUUCUUGAUUACACCGUAAGAACUAAGAAGGGGCAAACGAGGAUUUUUCCCACCUCCGUGUGCCCCCAUCCCUGUCUAAAAUUCCUCUGCGCCCCUAUUGAAUUUCUUACAAAAAUACAUAAAACAAUUAAAGUCCUAAAACAAACACUUCUAAUCGGAUUAAAGGGCAACAAUGCUACAUCUUCAAUGGUGGUUUUUAUAACACAUGUACAACUUUAUGAAUUUGAAACAUCUCCAUCUGUCUACGGAAACCUAGUAUGUUCUAACUUCUUACCCAAAGUAAAAAGUAAAAACACAGCAAAUUGUGUGCGGUUGAGAUUGAAACUUUGAAACUAGUGAUUCAUCUAGUCUCCCGCUUCCCGCCCUUUCACAAACCCUAGUUUGGGGACAGGUGGCACGAGCUCGUACAGAAAAGCUCAUCACAUUGAGUCAUUGACGACACGUAAACGUCAAACACGGUUAUGUGUCCCCAUCGCAACCACAGAUUGGAAAAAAAGCCCCUCCCCAAGCAAGUAGCUCCUUCUCGAAGACGCUUUAUUUACCUAAAAAAGCAACUUCCACCGUAAGCCAAAGCCACCAGGUCCUUUUUCUUCUUCAUAAAGCACUCUUUUCCCUCUACCUUGUACACGAUCCUUCUCCUUACACUUGGAGCUUCAUAGUUCACAGCAGUAGUAGCUAGACAAAAAUGGUGAUGAUGAUGAUAGAGAUGGAAGGGGAAGCGGGUUAUGCUACGCCCAAGAGCUUGAGGAAAGAAGAGGCGGGUUACUCUACGCCCAAACGCCGUGAGUGUAGGAUUCCUGAGCGGUCGUUGCCGCCUCCGCCGCCGAGGAAGAAGCCGUUCUUUGUGGGGGAGAAGAAGCCGGAGCCGCCCAAGGAGGGGUACUUCAACUCGCCGGAUAUCGAAGUCUUCUUCGCAGCAAUGACUCCCAGAAGCCAUACUAGCUUGGCUUAGUUCAGAAGCUAGCUAAUUCCUCUGCCUUUUUUGGUAGUUUUAGGAGGGUUUCUUUUUUGUUGUUGUGGAUUAUGUAUGUAUAUAUGGUGGUAUUGCUGAUUGACUUGUUUUGUUUGGGUCAUAUGAACUUGAUUCAAGGGAACCUUUAACAUCAGCAAGAAAGGCUUGUAGUUUGGAAUCAAUAUUUAGAACAUAUGGAAUUUUUUUUGUACUCUUUUUUUUUCUUCUUGAAUUUUAUGACAAUGAGUGGCUUGGGCAUUCUGUUAAUUUGGUAUUCAAUAAAUUGGACCGGGCCUGGACCAGCAAGAGGCCCCAUUUAGCGAUUCAUGAUUUUUGGGUGAAUGCUUAUAACUAUUUUACUCAAUCAUGGCAUACGUAGAUACGAUCGGCCAAUCAUCUUGUCCGGUCACUGUAUAUGCUGUAUAUGCAUGUGGGUGUUUUGGGUAUUCAUACAUGAGCUGUUUUGCAAUAGUAAAAAAUAAAUAAAAAACAUGAUUCACCAGACGUAUCACGUGACUUAAUUAUAUGUCGUGGCUUAAUUAUAUGUCUAUGUUGCGUAUCAUAUAUGUGGCUUAAACGAUUGUUGUUUAUGCAUUUUUCAGUUCGUCUAUUUUUAUGUGUUUCUGAGUAUGGGUUUUCCAGUUGAAAAAAAAAAAAAAAAAAUUUAGAUUUGAAAGUUUGAUGCUUCCAGAUGUUUGAACACGAAAAAAAAUUUGUUUGUUCGGAGAUUUAAACCGUAAAGAGUGUAUUAUCUUGAUAAGGACGUAGUGAAUUAAGUAAAUCCGUCCAGUGCGAUAUUCAUUUUUCCUCUACAGUAACGUGUUUUGACUUCUGUUUUGUACACCCGACUCAAAUGAAGCAUUAAGAUACAAACUGCAUUCGUGCAUAUUUAAAAAUGAUCCUUCUUUAGCCUGAGCAAUGUGAGGCUUCAAAUUGAUCCCUCUAGAAAUUGCAUCUUCAUCAAUACUUUAUAGUUUAUACAGAUAUCUACACAAGAACGAACAAAUUCAAUAGUGGAUCUUUGGUUUCUUAAUUUUUGGUAUCAUUGGAACUAAUAAGUGCCUUCUUCUUGAAACUGGUUGGUGCUGACCUUAACCAAGCAUUGGCAUCAAUCGAGUCCUUUGUCAAGAACGGUUCGACUUCUUCGCUUGUAAGGUCUCGUGCCCAUUCUACUCUUUUCGAUGUCGUUGCUCCUCGUCCAGAACAUUUAUACUGCCCAUAGUAUACGGUGCUACAAAAACAAGAACAAGAGAGAUGAGAUUUGCAGAUAUUCAUCUCAUUUCUAAGAAUGAAAUUUUAUGAGUUUCGAUCAUGAAGUACCUUAAUUGGUUGGCUGAGUUUCCCCAAUCGUCCCAACCUUGUGGUAGCACGGCGCUAGUCAUGUAACUGAAGGCAAACACCACUCUUGAAUAUGUACCCCAAGGCCUUCCCAACACAGCCGUCUUGACGCCGGUGAUCUUGCACCCGAAGAACGUGAACCCCGUGUCCUCAGCCGGAGACAUUCUUCGUUGAGCCGUUAUGGCACCGGUUCCUAGCGAAAGAGAAUGCAAAUGGCACUUCUCGUAGAAAGAAGCAGCAUUUCCACAUAUGAAGUCGACAUCUCCUUCAAUGUAACAGUUGUUGUAGUAGUGCCUCCCAGUAUCAUCAAGUAGGGUGUCUUGACGAGACAAAAUUCUGCAGCCAUAGAAUGCUGCUCUAUCCCCGGACACCCUUAAUGCCACAGCUUUUCCACCUGAUCCAUAUGUAUUCUGUCGAUCGACGAUAUAUGAUAGUUAGAUCCAACUGUUAUACGUACAAAUAUUAAAGAUCGAGCAUGAACAUGAACAUAUGUGAAAAAUAAAAACGAUAUCUGUACCUGAAUUGUGAGGUAACGCCCUACAAAAUCAGAAGCCAACACAGAGAACGUUGGAGACUCGAAAAUCUCCCCGCUAUCGUUCCAUGUUAUAACCGUGUCAGCUGCCUUUGUGCCACUUAUUGUUAUAAACGGCUUGUCCGCCGGAACUGUAACUUUUUCUUCAUAAACUCCGGGCUUAACCCUAAUGAACACGAGCUCUGCGUUGUUGGACGCCACUGAAUCAAUGGCUUCUUGUAUUUUCUUGUAGUCACCUUUGCCGGAUUGAUCAACUGUUAUGAGAAUCGCUGAAGCACUCGUGUUUGUUCCUUCGGCUUGAGAAUCCGAAAUAGCCAUGAAAGCAUAGAAAGCAAUGAAAACCAAGUUGAUCAUAAAAGUACCACCCAUCUUGUACAACUGUAGUCUAGUAGCUAGAGAGCAAGUUGUCUCAAAUGAAUGAAUCAAAGAAUCAAAGAAUAAAGGAAGAAUGUUUUGCAGCCGUGAAUGACAAUGAUGAGUGUUGCCGUUAGCUAGAGAUUAUAUAUAUCGUGCCAGGUGAAUGUCAAAGAAGAAUUUGGCGCUUUCUUGCCCAUAAAGCUUUGACAUAUUUUUGAACCAGUUUCGACGUAAACGAGUGGAGGCCAGGCAAGAGGAAAAAGAAAAUGACUUGGUUUCCAUAGGUAUAGAAGUAGCCGGCAGCAAGAGAUUUGUGCUUGAGGGUGAAGAAACAAAUAAAUGUUUGGAAAAAAAAUAGAGAGAGCAAAGGGUUUGGGAUAGUUUAGUAUGAAAAAUCGUGAGAGAGGCGGCGGUAGUGAAUUAUUGAUGCAUGUUACACAAGUCUUGUGGUAGCUUAAGAACCAGGUUAGGUAUGUCAUUUGUGUGCGAGUUAUUGUUGCUCACCCAUGAAGUUAUAUGUUGAGCGGCUACAUUCCUUGGAUUGGGGCUUGCUCUUCCCCCAUGACUGCCGCCGUUGGACAAUAGAUACGACCUUUUAUAACAUAAGGAAGAAAAGAAUGCAGUUCUAUGCUACCAAUAACUUUUUUUAGAAGAAAAAAUCCAUAUAUUAUGGUCUAAUUAUGGUGGAAAUGAUAUGGUAAAAAUAUAAUACUAUAUAUGAGGCCGGAUCCGGAGCGGAUGUCCACACCGGCCUUAAAGUGUGGACGGCCGUCCGUUCACCACCCUCCGGCGCCGGCGACGGCACGCCUCCACCCCAAAAGACUCCAGCAUCGUCUCCGACCACUUUCCCUCCCCGGCGAGUUCGUUCUUUUCCAGUUUUCCCGCGAGAUCACCCGAAACUUCAAACAAAGUCGAUGUCGCCCGAAAACUGGAAAAAAACAGAGUCGCCGGGGAGGGAAAGUGGUCGGGGAUUGGACGCUACUGGAGUCUUUUGGGGUGGAGGCGCGCCGUCGCUGGCACCGGAGGGUGAAGAACGGACGGACGUCCGCACUUUAAGCCGAGUGCGGACGUCCGCUUAUGAUCCUCUCUAAAUACUAUAUAUAUAUAUAUAUAUAUAAAUGUAUAUAUAUGUAUUACACUGGAUGAGUGUGAUUCUGGAUUUCUGGACAACAAGAUGAAAAAGUAGCUAGUAUCACCUCUUAGGGGUUUUAACGAGGAUCACUAAGUUGAAGACUAGUUGAAGAAAAUUACAAACUAAUGUGAAUUCCACCAGAGUUUUAGAAACAGACUAAUGCUUUAUUUACCGUUAAAAUUCUAUGAAGGGGGUUCCUUCUAUGAAUUUGAUGCUUUAAGUGAAAAAAUUAAACUAAAAAAAUGUAAAGAGAAAUUUAUGUAACUGACAGAAUAUUUUCAAUUAUUGACUUUGUUAAUUAAAUCAAUACAACAAUGUUUUUAUAGGUGUUGGUAUGACUAAGUAUAUGUCACAGUGCGAAGCUGCUAAAUUUCUUGAUCUCUAACCAAUCUAAUGAUAACAUGCAUGUGCCGAAGCUCACUUAAAUUUAUUGGUGUAACAGCCUUAAGAUCAUUCAAUGCUAGAAUUUUGUAAAUCUCAUACGAUCACCCUCGCUCUAAGUAUAUAAGUUACAAAAUAAAAAUGUUGGGAAGAAAAAUGUAACCAAACAAGCGUAGCUACUUUUCCAAUUACAAGUAUAUCAUAGGUACCGAUUAUAAUAUGUAUUGUUGUAGUGAUUAUCAACUCAUUCAAUUCCUCGUUGACGGAAUAAUUUAUUUAUGAUAUAUGUAUGUGUUUAAGCUCAUUUAAGUGUUAUCACACUAAGAGUUCUAACUAAUGUUAUAUUUAAUUUCCCCGAAUAUCUUAGAGUCACAAAUCUACCAUUCCAAACAUAAGUCUACCGUUCCCAAUUGUUUGAAACAUAUAUAUACCCUUAAAGUUAACUCGACUCAUUGAUGGAGAGAUUGAAAUAUUCAAAUAUAUACUCUCAAAGCUAACUCGACUACUCAUCUUCAUUUCAAAUACAUGAUAAACAUUAGUUAUAUUCUAAUUACUUUCAUGCAAUCGACAUAUAAAAUGUGACAACGUGCAUUGGCGAUAAGCUCGACUAACACUGGCGAUAAGAUUCAUUAUAAUCGUAAAUAUGCAGAUUUACGUCAUUAAACCAUUGUUUAUACUUUAUAAUAUGCUUAGCAAAUGCUGGUCACAUCCGAUGUGGUGUGCUUUUACAUGUAGAGUUCUCUAAUUGCCUACUUUCUGUAUACUACUAUUUUACAUGCGUCUUGGUCUCUUUGGAUGUAAUGUUUCAUGUUCUGGAGUAUCACAUUUUCAGUAUAUUCAUAGGAGAUAAAAAGCUAGUAAACCAGGAAUUUGUGCUAAACCGUAUAUGGAUCGAGUCCGUGGUAUAUAUAGAACUUUAGUCGAUAAAUUUGAAAUUUAUUUUUGCAUUGAGAAUUUGUGAUUGGAUUGUGUUGCCAGGAUGUUGCUGGCCUAUUCCUGGUGGCGAACUCGGCCGCCGGAGACCUGGUCUUCAUCGGUAUAGUGAUGGUGGUGACCCCAAUGGGGUUUCGUGUACCUUAGAUUCUGGGCCUUAACAAGAUCAGUGCCAUCUGGACCAGAUUAGGGGGCCAUGAAAGGGUUUUCGAGCUUGGGCCUAGCCAUUAGUCUCAAUUCAUUGCUUUGGUUUGAUAUUUUUAGACCAUAACCAACUAGGCAACGACAACUGGUUCUUGGUCUCUUGGAUGUUAUAUUUUUCAUAAUUUUCUCCCCAUUUUAGUCUUAUUUCACAUCAGUAUUCAGCGACCCAGGACUACAUUAUACCUCUUUAUUUUUUAAAUACUAACAUGGACUCAUGUGGCUUGUUUUAAGUUAUACUCAUGUUUGGUGUUGCACGAGAUUAGAAAGUAGUUUGCUUAGUUUAUGGUUUAGAACAAUGUUGUUAUCUACGGAUGACCAAGUUGGGUACCCACCAAAACACAAUCUAAGGAGGCCAGAAUGAAAAUAAAAUGUUAUAUUAACCCAUGAUUUUUGUACCCAGGAGUGACACCAAAUAUGGUAUUAACCAAACUCAACUCCUUAUUUGGUAUUGCUGUGACUUUAAAAAAAAAAUUGAUCCUGCUGUUUUGUGAAAAUAAUCAGCUGUGAAUUAAAACAGUUUUGUGUUUGGUAAAUAUUAGUUUUAAAAGUGCUGCCAAGAUAAAAUUUAUUAAUUUCUAGUGUUUUUAGUGACAACUGUUUUUAAAAGUAACAUUCAGGUUGCUUCUAACAGUUGCUGCUAGUGACAUGUAAUUUUCAAAAAAAACUGUUUUUCUUUAGUUUACCAAUUAAACACUAUAAAAUCUAAAAGUUUAGAUAGAAGUUGAUUUUUUUAAAAGCGAAGUUGUAUCAAACUAGGCCUUAGUCCAAUUCUACUUAGAGCUAGUUUGGUAUUGCUGUGACUUAAAAAAAAACUUAUGUUGCUGUACUGCGAAAAUAAUCAGCUGCGAAUUAAAGCAAUUUUGUAUUUGGUAAAUAUUAGUUUUAAAAGUGCUGCCAAGAUAAAAUUAUUAAUUUCUAGUGUUUUUAGUGACAGCUACUUUUAAAAAUAAACCUUCAAGUUGCUUCUAAAAACUACUGCCAGUGAUAUGUAAUUUUCAAAAAAAACUGCAUUUCUUUUAUUUACCAAACACUAUAAAAUCUAAAAGUUCGGAUAGAAGUUGAUUUUUUAAAAAGCGAAGCUGUACCAAACUAGGCCUUAGUCCCAACAAACAAAUAUGCAAAAGUGAUACCAAACUGGUUAUGCCUUCUUCAACUAUGAGAGAUACAUACGCGAAUAUGACACCUAAAAAAAAUGUAAAGACCUACAAAUUUCACCAACCAAAAGGUUCAUGUUCAAGCACCAUUGGAUGUAAAGUCCAACGGUCAUGAGAAUUACUGUUAAGUAGAGUUGUUUGUUUCAGUUAGUUUCAUGCAGAAGCAACCAAACGGGUCCAUCCAGACGGGUACAAUAAAUGUCGAUACUCUCCCUGUUUUAGCCAUUGGAUGUAUGACUCUCAAGGGCAGAAUCAGGAUUUGAAUCUUAGGGGGUUGACAUUUGAAACAAAGAGAGUAUAGAGGAUAAUAAUGUUUUAUUUAACAAGUUUUACGUACCUUAUUAAGUCUAUAAAAUAAAGUAAUUGAAUAAAUUAGACAUUAAUAUACUUAAUUACAAAAUAUCCUAAUUCUAGGCAACAUUUACAUAUUUCUUUCUAUAAAUUAGUAGUACAUAUUGAGUAUUAAUAGUUCUAAUUUUUUCUCUUUUAAUUGCUCUUACUUGUUUUGGUCGUUGAUUAAGGGGGUUGGGUGAUGGAAUGGAAUUAACACUAAAUUUCUUCAUUUAGAUGAGAUUAUGUAGUGCAUAUGGGAAGUUUGAAAAAUGUUGACAGGGGUCUGGACCCCUUCAAGCCUGAAGGUAGUUCCGCCCCUGAUGACUCUAAUCUAAACCAUAUUUUUUCAAAAAGAAAUUUUAUUAACACAUCUCUAAUUAUUAGAUACGUAUCUCAUACUUAAUACACCACCUAUUAACUUUAUUAUUUUAACAUUUUACUAUAUACACAUACCCAAAUUUCCCACAAUACCUUAUUUAAAAGACACUAUUCACUAAAUAUACAACUCAUUCAUUAAAUACACAUACUUUUCUAGAUCUGCUCCUCAAUUAUUCUAAAAAAAAAUAAAAUCUCAUUAGUAAGAUUUUCCUCAAAAUGUUUCAUCUUUCCUCACAGUAAAAUUUAAAUUUCCAAUUUCAAAUUGUACUAUCUAAUCAAACAACAAACCCUAAAAUCUAAAUUUUGUAGUAGAUCAAACUAAUCAAAGAUGAUGACGUCAUACCACGCUUAGGGGUUGAGAAAUACACUACCAGAACAAGCACUUUAGCUUAAUUGGUCGGCUAAGAUCUUAGCCGACGAAGGCUCGUCGGCUAUGGUUUCGUCUGGAAAGAGUCGUCGACGAUGACUUUAGCCGACGACAUUAGAAGACGUCGUCGGCUAAAGUAUGUAAUAAAAAAUUUAAAAAAUAACUAUAGCCGACGAAACAUAGUCUGUUUCGUCGGCUAAAGGUUUCGUCGGCUUUAGAAGGGUUUAACCGACGAAACAUGCCAUAAUUCAUCGGCUAAACCUUAUAAAAAAAUUAAAAAUACUAUAGCCGACGAAUAUCUUACAUGUUUCGUUGGCUAUAAGUCCAUUCUAGUAAAAAAAAAACCUGAAAUUUCUAAAUUACCAUUCAAAGCAACCUGCAAAAUACACCAAAACAAUUCAAUAUAACCAACAACAAGCACAUAAAACUAUAUAAUUGAUCAACUACACAAAAUUGAAGUUGUUUCUUACUAAAGUUAGCAACUUUCUGAACAAAACCACCCUAAUCACGCAAAAUCAUCUCAAUUUUGAAGAAAAAAAAUAGCCAAAAACUAAACCCUAUAUGCACAAAAUUAUCUCAAAAAUACAAAUUAAUAAAUUCAAACAUAAAAGGGGAUAAGUAAAACCCUAGAAAUUGAGAAACCUGGAAAAGCGCUUUUGUGAGAAGCAGAUUCUGGAUGAGGAUCUGCCUCGCUUGCUGCUGGUUCUGUUCUAUCAGACUCUAUGUUUCACAAAACGAAGCAAUUGAAACACCAACAUUACUCCAAUUGGGAAUUUUCAAUUUCGUGAAGCAAGAUUAAGUAAUAGAAGUAAAUUCGAGAGAGGGUUAUAUACCUUCAUUUGAGACAUGAUUUCGUAGAGCUGGUUCUUCGACAUUCCCGCUAUAUUCGCCGGUAGGCCGUCGCCGGAGGUUUGAGGGUUGCUAGAGGUUCCCUCAGAUGAUUCAGACAUUUGGCCCUUCAAACCUUUUGUUGAUCUAAAAUUAUUAUGGUACAGAUUCGAACCAUCAUUUGUCAGGUAAAAGUUGAUAGGAUAUAAUCCAAUGUCAAAUAGACCAAGCCAAGAAAAGCAUGAACAACCACAGUCAAAACAACCAAGGAAAUGAACUUUUUGUUAUUUCAGUGGCAUUGCAUAUCCAUUGCAAUUAUAUAUCACACACUUAUCCUUCUCUACUUCUCAUGAAAGGGAUAUGUAGUCAAAAGAAACAGCCAGCAAAAACUAGUGACAUUAUCACAAUCCUGUUUAAAAUAUUAAUUUGAAUCAAGGCUGAGGGAGAAAAGAGUUACCAUUUGAUGGGUGGAAGUGAAAACAAAGAUGAGGAAGAUAGUGAGGACGGUGAAGAGGAGGAGGGAUCGGGGCUGGAGUAGAACGGAGAUGGCUCGAGGAGGAGGCUCGAGGACGGCUCGAGGAUGCUAUGGAGGGCUCGAGGAGGCGGUGGUGGGUUUUUUAGGGUUUUUUGGAGCGCUGUGGAGGCUGUCAAGCGCUGGGUUUAAUUAUAUACCCUAUAUCUUAGCCGAUGAAAUAAAAAUUUCGUCGGCUAAACCUGUGAAGUUCGUCGGCUAAAUCUAUGAAUCUCGUCGGCUAAAAUAAUGAAAUUCGUCGGCUAAAUCUGUGAAUCUCGUCGGAUAAAGUAAUGAAAUUCGUCGGCCAUAGUACUUUUUAUUUAAUAUUUUCAAUUUAUUUGUUUUAUUUUAUUUUAUUAACUAUAGCCGACGAAUUUUCAAUAAUGUUGUCGGCUAUAAUACUUUUUAUACAUUCAGCACAUUGUGAUUGUGAUGAUCAAACUUGAGAAACGAAAAUCUGACCGUCAGAUCUGACCAUCAUCAUGAUAAAAUACAUGUAUGGGAAAAAAUUCAACUUGAUCUGACAAAGUUAAGGGCUCGAUCUGGACAGUCAAUCCCGUAAGUUAAACCCCUAAACGCACGGAAAAGGUUAUUGGACCGUCUAAAUUACGUAUUUUGGCUGGACCUUCAACUGAAAAUAGUUUCAAAUCGAUGAGACGCAACAAGUCGUAUAAAAAUUUUACGGAAAAUAACCACCGAAGAUAGGGCUACUCAUAGGGAGAAAGAAUGGAAAAUUGCAUUGUCCGCAACUAUCGGCACCAAGACUUUACCAGAAUAUCGUGAUUUUUCAACCGUAGACGUAUUUCACCAUUUUUGUCAUAUCUUAUUUCACGACUUUUUUGCGUUUGAAGGUUCUACGUAUAGUUUGUUUCUGAAACAGAACAUUUACUUAACACUUGUAAACAAGUUAUACAACAUUAGUAGACAUGUUGUGAUUGUGAUGAUCAAACUUGAGAAACGAAAAUCCGACCGUCAGAUCUGACCAUCAUGAUAAAAUACGUUGUCUUCAGUUUUUGCUUAAAACUAUGGUUGUUCAUGAUAAAUAUCGUUAGUUAUAUCUGAUUAGGGCUUAGUAUCUUCACACACGUUCUCGAAGAGGAUAAAAAAACUCUUAAGCGAGAUAUUUUAUUAGAUUUAUUUACUUUUAAUAUGAAUGUCUCUUUUGGUAAUUUUACAUAUUCACCAAGUCUUAUAUAAUUUGUAUAAAAAAAGAUAUGUGUAUCUAAUAUUUAAAGAUGUGUUAAUAAAAUUUGCUUUUCCCGAAUAUCGGAAAAAUAUUUAAGACUUGAACUCUCGGUUAGUCAAUUGAUUUCUCUCCAAUGGAAUAUCGUUAUUAUCAUACUCCAAGUUGGAAUACAAAAAGCAAAGCCGGCCUGGUUCUAUUGGGUCCUAAAUUAUACAUCUUGUGAAAAGUUGGAAAGCUUGUGCGAUCUGGGUCAUCAGGCCUAGCUAGAUUAUACAUUCCUCCCACGUGUAAAAAGCCAGAUCCUCAGGCUUUUAUAUAGAAAAGCUUGCGUUCACGGUUCACCACUAACAAGUGGCACCGUGUUUCUCUUUACAUAUAAACCCUACAAUCCCUCCCUUCGGUCUCUCCCUUAGAUUUCGAUUCGCAGCAAAUCUAUUGCUUCUGCUUUUGUUUGAUCCAUUAGAAUUUCAUUCAGGUGGAUCUUCCUUCUGUAGUUCUCUGUAGUAAUGAUUCAUAGAAUAGCUUUUCUCUGCUUUACUCAAAUCCUUUCGGACUUUGUUUCUACUUUUACUUGGUGGAUUAAUUUGUCUUCUUUUUAGGGUUAGGGUUUCUGCUUUUCCAUCUGCAGUAAUAUGCAUGGGGGCGAUGAUCUGCGCCACUCGGUCACAGUGAUACUAGUCAGUUCUUGGUGGUGCGGCAUCAUCAAGAUUCACAUACUUUUAACCGAAAGGUUCAUGCCAUUGAAGUAAGUACUGAGAAUCUUGAUGAUGCUGCAUCAGCUAGUACAUGACUCUAUAAGAUUGAGAUAUUCCCAAUCUCUCCCCAAUUUGAAGCAGGACCAGAUCAGAUUCAUCUGAUUGAGAAGAACAUGGUAAGGGUUCCAGCCCUAUUUCAUAAAUAGGUUUCUUGUAAUUUCAGUUGAUUAUAUAUAUAGCCUAUAUCUAACUUGUUGAUUGUUUCCUUCGAUUGAAUUGCCUUACAGACGAGUGUAAAAAUCAAUGAUCUUCUUUCAUUUCUUUUGGCCAAUACAACGAUCUAAUUAUACCGGAGUUUUUUUUUUUUACAUAUAAUUUUAUCUAUGCAUAUAUACAAACACACACACACACACACACUCUCUCUCUCUCUCUCUCUCUCUCUCUCUCUCGUAUAGUAUAGUAUGGUCCAGAUAAUUUUAUCAAAUUCUGCAUUUUUAGUAUGUUUAUACAAAUUGCACGAGGGCAGGGUAAUAUUGUAUGAAUAUUGCUUCGAUCGUAUCAUUAAUCUUGAUUUUCACUCUGGCGCAAUCAAGCAAUCUAUUAGGCUUUCUAUUUAGUUGAUCAGUUUGAAAUAUAAUGUUGAUUUUUGAAUCAAACCAUUUCCAGGUUUGUUUCAGACUUUCAUAUUAUUAUUAUAUCCGAUUGAGGCUUGUUCUUUUGUUGUUAUGACAUUUUUAUGUAGCUUGGAGUUGGAGCUCAGAUGUUUGUUUGACUCCUAGGUUGCUUCAAAGCCCUUAAUUUAUUGGUAUAUAUCUAAUUUAGGGAGUUAUCCAAGAAUGUCAGGAAUCUGAUGUCUUAUGUUUCAGAGAUUUCAGGUUUCCAGUAUAAAAUACUGUUCAAGGUAGAUUACAGGACACUUACACAUGAAUAUCUUUAUUAUGUAUUUGUUUAUCUAUAUAUAUAUGAUGGAUUAUAAAGCUCCUAGCAUAAUCUAGCUAGUUACUGUGGAAGAUAGAGUGAUGAAUUAAGUUGCAAACUAUAAAAAGGAGAAGAGUUGAGAUUAAUACAGUAAAAAAUACUGUGGAAUCUGAUGUUUUAUGUUUCAGAGAUUUCAGGUUUCCAGUUUAAAACACUGUUCUAUGCAGAUUCCAGGACACAGAAUAUCUUCUAUCAUAAACUAGUUACUGUGGAAGAUAAAUUGAAUUAAGUUGCAAUGAUAAAGGAGAGAGAGUUGGGAAUAAUUAAUACAUUACAUAUACUUAAACAUUUUGACAACUACUGAAAAUAGGCUCCGAAUAGUGAUGAUUUCUGCAUAAGGAUGGUUUUACCAUUUUUUUUUAACGCAUGAAGGAUGUUGAAUAUAUUCUCUAGUUUCAUGCCUGCGCGCAGCAUACGUUUUCUAAGCCAGGCAACAGUACUUAGAGUUGAUUGCAGAUAUUUUCUUUGACAGCUAGCAGCCUAAACAUCAAAGAAAGUUUUAGAUUCGGGCAUUUCCUUGACUCAGACUUCAUUCUUCAUUGUGACUGCUGUUUACAGUAGCUUGUUACAGCUUCUUCGGUACUAGAGGUCAGUGUUACCAUGCCACUUCAAUAUAACUUUAAUGUCAACUUGGACUUUAUAAAGAACAUUUGCAUUGUUGAUCCAGCUACGUACUCUAUAGCUAAGUUCUUUGAUGCCACUAUUACAAGCCGUGCAUCAGGUGCAUUAUGCCUUAUUAGUCCUGACUCGCUUUGUACUCCUUGCCCUGUGCUCAUCCACAAACAGAAUAACUGAAAGUGCUACCAGUGACACCAUUGCUCAUCCACAAACAGAAUAACUUGAAAGUGCUACCAGUGACACCAUUAUAUAUAGAUACUUAAACUUUCCUUGUGAUGUUGAAUAUAGCUAGGUUAUAGCAUAUACCGAUUGUUCUAAUAUGUUAGAUAUCUUUGUUCUUAAAUCUAACCUGUGUUAGCGGACCAUCAUGGUUUCCUUAUAACUUCAAUCCUUCGUUGCCUUGCAUGAUAUCAGAGCGUGAUUUACACAAUGGCUUAGGUUCAAACCUCCAAUCUCUGUUGAUUCUGGAGGGUGUUUGGUAAGGCUUCACCCUUGAUCUUUGUCUGUUCCUCUUUGACCCUCUCCAUGUUAGGAACGUCAAUCGGUUGUCUUCCCAAUUUUCACCUGCUAUUAGUGCUAUAGCAUUUCAAGUCUGGUUAGGUCUCACUAUGUAGCCAGAUAGUCCAUUUGUUCCCGAGUACCUUGUACGUUAUUACUACUGCAGUUACAUGAAUCUAUCCUCUAGGCUCAAAACAAUCCUGCCGAGUGAAACGGUAGUUUUGGUAAAGAACAGUGGAUGAUGGAUUAUUGUUCAAUAUUUCUACCCCAUUGCCAACAAGAAGGACAACAUUCAUGAGGGGUUGGGCCCUUUUAUGCAGUGGGGGCUCCUUCCUCAUUUGAUCUUAUUCUGCCAACAGAGAACUAGUCAAGCACAGAGCCAGCAAGCACAUCUUUAGUGGGUUUUUCUUGGGUCCAUUUGCAGAUCUGGGAGUGACACAAAGUAAUAAUGGACCCAAGCAACUGGUGCCAUUAUCAGUUUUGAUAUCUAACCUCUGCUGCAGUAAUCUCAAUGUAUGAUCGUAGCCACAAGAAUGACCACAUUACACAACGAUCCUCAAUGAUUAUAUGGAGUUGAGAGAUUCCUUCAAGGGAUGAGGAUGAUAUUCUAGAAAAGAGCUCAAGAAGGUAACUAAAGCCAAGAGAGAUUACAGAUCACUGAGAUCAGUGACCUCAUAACUAGUCGUCUCCCCCUAAUGAAAUUGGUUUGGAGGUUCCAAAACCGCCUGGACUAUUGGUUGUUUCGUUUCUGGACUAACUUUAAAGCUCAGUGUUUUCACAUUUCAAUUUUAAGUUGUUUUUUUUUUUGGAUAAUUUCAAUUUAAAGCAGGUAGCCUGUAGCCAUCUAGGGUUUCAACUUAGCAAUACAAUUGCAAAUUUCUUUUAAGCAUUGUUUCAGCAGCUUUGAUUGACAAGAAUAGUGAUGUGAAGACUCUGUAACCUCUUGUUCUUACAUAGACUAACUGUGAUCGAGGUUUACCGAUUUAAAAUGUACUAAAAUAUGUUAAAAUCGAAUCCGAGAGUGGAGAUAUUACGAGUGUGGAUGAUCAACCAUCGUUAGUCUGCGCGGGCAAAUCAGUCAUCGCUCAGUCGUUAUUAUCAUAGGAAGGAUGAACAUUACCUUAUUAGGAUCUAUGUGUAAUCGAUCAAUAAACGUACAUAUGAUACUUGUUAAGUAAGGCAGUGAUAGUCGAUCGGUCAUGUUAUGUGUGCUUGGUCAAGUGUGCACCCUUUGAAGUUUGAAGUUAUGAAACAAACCCAUCAAUGCUGGCAGAAAUCAGAAUAAAAUCGAACCCCGAAACCCCCCAGAAAAAUAUACAGCCCGAUCGAUCGGUUUCAAACGUCAGACUGACAUUGUUGUCUCUGGGAGCCAAAAUAUGAAUUUGGCCAGCAACACUGUGAAACGUGAAGACCCUCUUGCAGCUUGUGCUGUUUAAAUUUUAAUUAAACGAAGCUGCAUAGACAAAAUCAUAGAGGUGUGGGGAUUGACCAGUUUCGUUUGAGGGUAGAAGAAAGGGUCCACGCCCUUCUAGGGUUCCCAUCUAAUGCUGCUCACAUGUGUGCAUGUGGGUCACUCCCCAACUCGAUCCCAAAUGCUCAUAUUCUCAAUCCCACAUGACUUAAUUUUGAACCAUCUAUAAUAACUUGGUUCAAAACAAUAUUUUGAACACCCAUUUUUGCUAGAUGGAAAAGUUAAAAGGGAUGCAUUGUAUACCAAUCUCAACAUAGCAUGUGAUGUUUAUUUGACCCACGAUCAAACUUUCUUUGACCAUGUACUCAAUUUUGUUUUGUCAUUGAUUAAUUCUAGAUAUUAUGAGGUUUUACAUUGCUAUUUUAGUCUAGUGGGAAAUUAAUAAAAGAUAGCAAACAGAAAGUUGUUUUUUUUUUUUAACAGUUGGGUGUCAAUCCAUUAAAAGUUCAAAUCAUUAAAAACUAGAUAACUCUAUCACCCUAAGAGAGCUACAAUACGACACGAUUGAGUCAUUCUUUGGUGACCAUAUUGAUCUAAAACCACGAUGCAAGCUAAACAAGGCCACCUAGAUGUUGUAACAAUUCAUCAAAACGAUAAAAAUCAAGAAACUAGAGAUAAUAAUUUCCUAACAAUGCUAGGAGAUCAAUAUAUUGAAAUGAAACCAAAUCACUCCUAGCUUAUUCAAAAACAAAAAAUUACUUAAGUGUCUUUCCUGCUUGCGCUUCAGCACACAUCUCAUCCAGCUAGACAAUUUUCGGAGCCUCCACAUUAACCAAUUGUUCCCCACCAUUAGCCUCCUCAAAGAUCAGAGCUUUGAUCAUAUCACAUUUACGGCGAGUGUUGAGAUAUGAAUCCUACAUUGGAAAAAUGAGACAUUGCAUGUGGGUUUAUAAGGGUUUGGGUCACUCCAUCUAUUCCCAAUUAGUUUUGAAUGUGAACCCCAUACUACUUUAUCAUGGUAUAAGAGCGGGUUACCUACGUCCACGUGUGAAGCCCAAUGGUCACAUGAACUCCACGUCACCCAAAAUGUUGUCCACGUGUUAGGCUUGAAAAUUCACUACAAGUGCGGGGGCGUGUUGAGAUAUGAAUCCCACAUCGGGAAAAUGAGACAUUUAAAUGUGGGUUUAUAAGGGUUUGGGCCACUCCAUUCAUUGUCAAUUGGUUUUGAAUGUGAACCCUAGACUACUUUAUCAGCGAGGUUUAAUCUCACGUUGCACACCAUCAAGCUUAGGGUUGUUCAUCCUACCCUGAGGCCUGUCGGCAUUGGCUUUAUUCGUUGGUGAAACUAUAAUCACCCUAUUUGUAAUUUUGAUAGAAAUCUCUAGUUCGAAACUUAGGUUAACCUCCUCAAUCUCAAACUUAAGUCAUCACCAUGUUGGCACGUUUACUGUAUUAUACCCAAGUGAGCACUGGCGGAGGUAUUCAAGGACCAAGGGGUGCCAUGACACCCCUCCAUAUUCUAUCUCUUUGUGUUUUCACUACUAAAAUUUGGCUGAAGUGAAUCAAACCUAACUCAACCCAUAUAUAGUGGCACCCCCACCCCCGUGUUUUAGUAGCUCUUUUGGUUAAGGGGUCUUAAUUACUUUUUUUAAGAUUGGUUGAGAUUUAAUAAAAAUAGAGAAUAAUAAAAACUAUUUAUAAAGAAAGAAGUUAAUUUCGUCCUAUUCCUAGUACAUUUAUGCUUUUACCCUACAAAUUAAUCUAAAUAGAUCACUGAAACCUAGAUUUUGUAAAUUUGUAUUGUACUCUAUGACCCAUUNNNNNNNNNNNNNNNNNNNNNNNNNNNNNNNNNNNNNNNNNNNNNNNNNNNNNNNNNNNNNNNNNNNNNNNNNNNNNNNNNNNNNNNNNNNNNNNNNNNNNNNNNNNNNNNNNNNNNNNNNNNNNNNNNNNNNNNNNNNNNNNNNNNNNNNNNNNNNNNNNNNNNNNNNNNNNNNNNNNNNNNNNNNNNNNNNNNNNNNNNNNNNNNNNNNNNNNNNNNNNNNNNNNNNNNNNNNNNNNNNNNNNNNNNNNNNNNNNNNNNNNNNNNNNNNNNNNNNNNNNNNNNNNNNNNNNNNNNNNNNNNNNNNNNNNNNNNNNNNNNNNNNNNNNNNNNNNNNNNNNNNNNNNNNNNNNNNNNNNNNNNNNNNNNNNNNNNNNNNNNNNNNNNNNNNNNNNNNNNNNNNNNNNNNNNNNNNNNNNNNNNNNNNNNNNNNNNNNNNNNNNNNNNNNNNNNNNNNNNNNNNNNNNNNNNNNNNNNNNNNNNNNNNNNNNNNNNNNNNNNNNNNNNNNNNNNNNNNNNNNNNNNNNNNNNNNNNNNNNNNNNNNNNNNNNNNNNNNNNNNNNNNNNNNNNNNNNNNNNNNNNNNNNNNNNNNNNNNNNNNNNNNNNNNNNNNNNNNNNNNNNNNNNNNNNNNNNNNNNNNNNNNNNNNNNNNNNNNNNNNNNNNNNNNNNNNNNNNNNNNNNNNNNNNNNNNNNNNNNNNNNNNNNNNNNNNNNNNNNNNNNNNNNNNNNNNNNNNNNNNNNNNNNNNNNNNNNNNNNNNNNNNNNNNNNNNNNNNNNNNNNNNNNNNNNNNNNNNNNNNNNNNNNNNNNNNNNNNNNNNNNNNNNNNNNNNNNNNNNNNNNNNNNNNNNNNNNNNNNNNNNNNNNNNNNNNNNNNNNNNNNNNNNNNNNNNNNNNNNNNNNNNNNNNNNNNNNNNNAAAACUGAACGGCGGAGAUGUGGAUACGUGACCGAAAAGUGAGCAAAAAAAGAUAUUCACACUUUAAUUUCAGAGCGAAGCUACUUCUGCCAAGUUUCAUCCAAUUUAACAAUCGUUUGAGCUUUCACAAUCGUGAUUUACACGAACAAUUCUGGUUGGACAUAUUUUAGUCUGUUCAUGCAUUUCACACAAUUCGGCACCUUAAUGAUUAUCAAAUUGAAUGAAACUUAGCAGAAGUGAUCUAUACAUUAGGUUCUAAAAACUAAAUGGCGGAGAUGUGGAUACGUGACAGAAAAACGAGCCAAAAAAAGACUUUCACAGUUUAAUUUCAGAGCAAAGCUUCGUUUUGGAUAGGAACUGUAUAUAUACACACACACAAUAUCGACGAGUCAAUUGAGGUAUAAUUUUUUAAGACUUUUUAUAAUAAUAAGUUUUAGCCAUCAAGUUUUUUUGUUUGCCCCGGAAUUAUAAUAUAUGGCUCCGAUAGGCUCAUCAACCAGAACUCCGAUGGAGGUGGUGAUGCAACACGAAAGACUGAUGAAGAGAUCUUGCCAAACUGACAAGUCAAAGUCUCAUAUAAUCGUUCUUUGUAAAUUCAGUGAAAGCCUUUGGUUGCAAAGUCUCAUAUAAUCGUUCUUUGUAAAUUCAGUGAAAGCCUUUGGUUGCAACACAAGAUUGAUUGGUUCAGAGUGAAACCUCAUCAACCUUGGUGCUUGGAUGGAAAAUCAUGAAAUGGUGUCAUACGUGAGUGACAUGCUUAAUUUUGUACUUGCGUAAUUUAUGAUCGAAAUUUGUAUGUCACACUUUCAAGAUAUUAAGCAUAUCACUCACGAGUUUAGAUAUUUCUAUCACAAAAUAAAUGAUUGAUAGUUUAGUAAUUUUGCAUACUAAAUCAUCUAAUUUUUUUACUUUUAAUUCGACAUGGAUACCAGGCACGUAGUACGGGUGCCUUGCGCAAAAAAAUUUCUUCACUAUGAAUCACUUUUACACCGCUAAAAUUAAAAUGAACAGACAAUAUGUACAGAAAGUCAUCUGCUGGAGAUUGAUUUUCCAGGUAAAUGUGUAUUAGCCAAGGAAAUCAUAACUCGGUUAAAGUUACUUUUAUCUAAAACUCAAAAAUAGUUUCCUUUUGAAGAAAAUUGUCAGUGAUUAUACAAAGACACGACCCAUAUCUAAGGUCGUGUUUAAAGUCCGUGUAACAUUCUUACCUCCCGUAUGACAUACAACGAAGUAAAAAUGAAUGACUGAAUGUACAUAUGCAAAACGUAUUUCAUGACAAAAAAAACAUACGCCCCUUCCGCAGGAAAGCAAGUUUACCUUACCAGAGACUUGCUAGGGUUUACUUGUACUUUUCACUAAUAAUUUACUUAAUCAAGUUGAAAUUUAUUGAGAACUCGAUCCCAGUUCCUCUUAUGGUCAAAUAUUCCCUUAACAAUGAUUCAAAGCUUCUGUUAGGGUCACAUGCGAAUAGUACAUAUUUCCCUCUCAGUCAUUCACAUAGGUCGAUUUUGAUUGGUAAUAUGUUCACAUUAAGUUUAUUUUAUGACAAUUAUUUUUCAUUAAGUCUAGUACAGUAGUACCUCUCCCAUAUUUGGGAAAAUUGUAGAAGUUUGACCAGUCAAAUUUUCUAUCAAACAAAAAUAAAUGUCUGGUUACAAGAUUCCCCUUGCCCAUUUUCUUUCAUUUCGAUUUGGGUUAUCUUUUCAAGUUAACCUGAAGGGCUGUAGGUACUGUGUACUAAUUUUCACCAUUUUGCGUUUUUCAAUCACUAGCUAGGGUUAAUUUCAUGUACGUGGGAAGCAUGGAGAUUUUAGGAUUUUGGCGUCUUUUCCAUCAUUUGUUGAAGUUAAACCACUAGAUCGCUCACAGAGCUAGCUCUCCAAGAGCUUCCCUACAACAUCUAUCAACUGUUUAUAGAUCGAAAAGCUGCAAGAGUCUCUCCAAGAAAUUAUAUACGUACUUAGGUACCUCUAAUACCCUUCGAUCGCAAGCACUACAAAGAACACCGGUUCCGGUUCGAGGCCCUUCCACACUGCAAGCUAGGAUUGAACAAACCUACUAAGAAAAUUAACCCUCCAAAUCUUUGUUUGCAAAUCGCAAUCAUCACCGGUAAACAUAGAAAUCAAACUAACAGAUCGUGGGGAGAAUCCGAACAAAGGAUCAAGAUCUUAAACAGGUAUUGUGAAGACUGGAGAGAAAAACCUUCGUAGAUCGUGAUCGCAGAAAAGAGCGUCGAGAGACUAUACUAUACGGAAAGACAUGAAGAGUAUCACAAGUAUUAUGUAUGUUCAUUUUAUCUUCAGCAUUGAUCUAUGUUCCUAGAGGAAACAUUAUGAACAUUGUCGAGGAGUCAUAGAAAUUUUCUUCCUUGGUAUGCAAGAUGAAGGAAAGCAUAUAUAAGAAAAUAAAACGUUAAAUUGCCUAGGUACAAUUCAAUUUCAACAUGCACAUGAAGGAAUCAGCACCAAUGAACACCGCAGAAAUUGAGUUCUUUCAAAAUUGUUUACUGCAGAAGGCCAGCCACACCAUGAUUAUAUAUAUCGCCCAAGAUUUCAAACGCUCUGACUGCUGCAUGCUGAUCCAAAUGGGUGAUACAUGUGCAUGACAAUCCUAACCUCUUACAUGCACAUUAUAUAAAACCUGCAUCCUACAAUUCUUUUUUCUACGAUGAAAACCCGUUUAUGCAGUAGUACCUUUCGAUUCAGUGGUAUAGUUAAGUCGUUAAGAUUAUCUUAAUUAGCCCGAAAUUACACCGAGGAGGUAUCUGUGAGACUGUGACUAAUUGAAUAAUUAUAAUUGAAAUUACACAGACUGUGCUUGUUUUAAUAUUAAUUAUUAGUAUGGAAGAAGAACAAUAGGAAAGGGCUAAGAGUUAUUGUUUUAUUUUGAAUUAAUCCAAUCUGCAGGCAAAUAUGAACAUGAAGAAUGGGUCAAACAGAAACAAAAAGCUAGAGCACACUGCUUACAAGAUUGAUUACAUUACUAUUAUUCAAAGAUCAACUUGCAAACCCUAAAUUCUAAUAAGUUAUAAAUCAAUCAUUAACACUAUGCAACUCAAAAGCUUGAAGGAAAUUUACAAAUCUUAUGUAUCACCUGAAAGAAAUGCAUGGUAAUUACCUAGAUUGGAUUUGGAGGAAAAGAGAAGGCAUUUGAAUUUUGAAAAAUGAGAGUACUCGCUUGUAUUAUGGAGGAAGAAUAAUUGGUACAGCUCUAGCUUUCACAUGAGGAGAACGAUUGAAGUGCAGGGUCCCCCGGCAAGUGUGUCCUCUAUUUUCUCAGAACUUGUGUGGUUUGUAUAAAUUCUAUGGACAUGGAUUUUAACAUGGGGCAGAAGAUGUGUCUCUCGGCAUCGUACUUGAGCAGUGUUUCGACAUCGAAAUUUAGCAAAGAGUGAAUCUCCUCCUCAAGAAUAAGGUACACAACGUUGAUAUACAAGUGGAAAGAAGAAGAAAAAAAAUCGAAGUUCCAAAGGAAAAACCCAGCGAAGCAGUCAAUGACAGUGAGCUAUUUAUAUGACUGUAAUAUCAUCAAUGUUCACAUGUCUGUAUCAACCACCAAUAUAUAAGAACUACCAUGCCAGCAACCAGCCUGCUUUCAUUUUGACAAGCCUGAAGUAAAAAUGAAAAAUUAAGUUGAAUUAGGGCUAAGUGGAUAUGUAAAAUACUAGUCUCCGUUCUUUUUUACUGUCUUCAAAAUUUCGGUUUUUGAUUUCGAUCUUGCUAAUCAUAUAUAUGUCAAACAUUCAUCAAUGUUGAAAUUGUGGUCAAUACAAUUUUUUGUGUAUCAAACUCUCGGUACUUAUACUGAAAAUUGAGUAAGUUUUACAAUUAACUGAAUUAAGAUUAUUUUAAAUCAUUUUGACUAGCCUGAAGUAAAAAUGAAAAACUACGUUACAUACGCAUGCGUCCACUGAAAUUAAGGUUAAGUGGAUUUGUAAAAGACUUGAAGUUUCCGUUCAUUUUUACUGUCUUCAAUUUCGGUUUUUGAUUUCGAUCUUGCUAAUUAAUUAUAUUUCAAACAUUCAUCGAUGUUGAAAUUUUAGUCGAUACUUGUAAUAAAAAUUGGGAAUCAUAAUUAGGUUUAGUUUAAGUCAUGAGCUAGUAAGAACAGAAGAAGUCAUGAGCUAGUAAUAUAGAAAUACAAUUGGAUCAGAGUAUUUACAGGUUUAUUUUACCACUAAGGUCGAUCAGUGAAAUUAUUACUAGUAAAUGCCGGUGUAGAUUUUGAACAGAAAUUAAGAUAGAAUAUCAGCAUAUAGUAAAGAACAGCAGAGGGUCCAAACUCAAUAUCAUGAGUACGUAAUCACCCAUACAAUUGGUCAGACUUGUGCUUUAAGAAUCACUUAAACGAAUAGCUCAUUCUCUAAACCACACUAUAUAUGAUAACACCAUUAACCACCGACCCCAUACUCUCUCACACCUCUGUUUCUCUCUCUCUCUGGCUAUCAGUCUUGUUCCUCUAGCUAGCUCUUCUACCUGUCUCCAUUUCAGACCUACAUUCACACAAAGCAACCAAAGUUUAUCUAGCUAGCUAGCUAGAUCAAGAUCAACCUCUAAGGCUUUGGAGCAUUAUACAUUAUUCUCACAUAUGGAUGAGAAAUGGAAGCUACCAAAGAAGGAAAGCGGUUCUUCUUCUUCCAAGUUCGCCUUCACGAGAAGCUCCUCCACAAGAAGCACUUCUUCCAAUGCUCCACUUCUGUCAAGAAGCUAUUCCCAGAAAAGCAACGUCGUGUCUUCCAGUUCCAACUCCAAGUGCCCUCCUCUUCCAAGGAGCUUCUCGCAAAAGAGCUCUUCCAUGAGCCGAAAGUGCAGCAGCCUCGCCAAGGAACACAAGGCCAGAUUUUACAUCAUGAGGAGAUGUGUGGCUAUGCUUGUUUGUUGGCACAAGCAUGGAAGUGAUUCUUGAUAAACAAAAACCACUUCGAUUUUAAGUCAUUUCCUUCAUAUAUGUCAUCAUAUCUUCCUUUGAGAUGGGUCGGGUUUGUUAAUUUUGAACUCAUCAAAUUUUUUGCCAUCGGAUCAAGAGGAGAAUGAUUGCACAACUUUCUCGUGUAGUUUACUUAUUUUCUUAAUUACCCGGUUUAAUUAGGUUUUUCAGUUGUAAUUACUAUUGAGAAUACAAUGUAAGAAGAGAUUAGCAUAUAUAUCAAUACUAGUCUUUAAAGCAUAAACCAGUAUGUUUGAUUAGUUCAUAUAUAUUUGUUUGAGAUUCAUUAUGCUAAUCCAAUGACUCGUAAUGCUUUCAGAAGACUUAUUAAGAACGUAUGGCCAUAGAGUUUGAGAUUCAGUACAAAUUCAAUUAUCAAGUCCCCACAGUACCAAGAUCCGAUAGAAAUCAAAUCUCAUAUCACUGACCCAAUUUUCUCAGUUUUAUCUUUUAUCUUAAAAUUUGUUUUUAUUUUUUGUGUUUUGAUCGAAGAGGGAAAGAUUCUCUUUGGCUGGUUGGGGGGGGGGGGGGGGGGGGGGGUGGGGUGAGGGGGAGCCUCCUGCACUUCUAUAUCUGCCUCGGAAAUGCAAGUCAUUCACACCUUUUCUUUGCUUUGGGAAAACUUCAGUGAAAAAUUCUCUUAAAAGUGAAGACAUGCAUCAAACUUAAGUUCGAUCUAAUCUAGGAAUGUGCCUUUUUCUAACAUUUAUGAUCUCUAUGUACUUAUCUCAAUGUAACUUCUAAUUGUUCUACAGCUAAAAAAAAAAACUUCUAAUUGUUCUAUGCUGGUGCUGAAGUUAAUUAGAUCUUCUAUUUAUCUAGACACGAAGCCACGCCAAAUAAAUGAUCAUGUACCAAUCUUUCGGAUCUUCUAAUUCUUCUUUACAAAAAAAAAGAAACAAAGGAAUCAAGUAUCAAAGUGUAAAUUAAUCUUUUAAUGAAAUAUGAGAAUAAGUAAACAAAUUGUAAUCACUUUCAUUAGCUUUUUUCAUUUUCAGCUACUCUCAGUAUUCAUAUCCAUUCCACUCUUUCGAUUUUCUAAUCCGUUCUUUUCUAGUUUCUUUGAUGUUUAACAACAAAUCAGCUUUUAUUGAUCAUUUCAUUUAAAAGAAACGAUGCAUUAAAGCAUUACGCAAAAUACCUAAUCUCAGAUGAGUGUCCAAAACAAUGAGCGCACUCACUUUCAUUUACCAUGAGAAACAAAUUGUUCUCCACGAAGAAAUAUAUUUAUGGAAAGUCUUGAAAUUGGUGUUACAGGCAAGAUGCAUAUGCAAUCCACGAAGCAAAUUUUGAGGGCUGUGACAUGAUGGUAUCGAUGAUUCAAAGUUUAAACUUUUAAGAAGCAGUCUUGGAAAAGAUACCAAUUAUUGGUAAUGAAAUCAGUUGAAAUUUGGAUUUUCAAACUAGACUAUCCUAGCAUAUGACCUUAAUGUUUGAGCAAUCGAAUCGCUAGUUCCCUUAGGUAUAUCAAGCGACGUCUCUUUGUUAAGAUAGAGGAAUUCGAUGACCUCGCAUAUUACAAUGCGAUGCACCAAACAUUGCACGAACACAUAAAACCAAAAAACAACCUAUUGUUGGGCCUAUGUGCCUCUUGAUGUUGAGACCUAUGUGUGUCUCUUUUGUUAGGGUCUUUAAUACCUCUUGUUUAGUGUUGUAUUAGGUGUUACUUGUUGCAUCAUCUAAUACAUUACUUUUCAUUGACCAAAAAAAAGAGUCAAGAAUAAAAAAAGAAGACCCUACACUGAAUCAAAUUAACCUACACAAGCUCUGAUCGAGGCUUAGAUAUGGCUGGUAUGGAGUACAUCACCACUAAUCGGCACAAAAGCUUCAACCAAUAAUUAAGGAGAGAAACACGAUAAGGGCUUUAUUCCAAAUUACAAAAACAUGCCUAACUCGCAUGGGAUAGGGUAUCCAUCUCCAAAGCUGUCACAAGAUCUACUGUUACAACCUUCGAAACAUAUACUUAAGUUUGUUUCGAAGACCAUGAGGAUGACCUAAUGACCUAUCUUCUUUUCCGGCCUCCCAACUGCAAUAAUCGAGAUAUCACCAACCCCGCAUAACACAUCACGAGUUCUCGCCUGUUACCCAGUCACCGGUCCUGACCGGCCGCCUAGAAGAGGCUUGGGGUUUAGGCCCAAGGGCCAUUGCAUUUGAUGACACCACAUUCUCCACCUUGAUGAGUCACCAUUGCGGGAAAUAUAUAUGGUAAUUAUGGGUAACAAGCUAGCCCACUCCUAACCCUACAAAUACAUGUCUCUCCUCUCCAUUAUUGUAAGUCUCUAUUCUCCACUUCACUCUUGCCUAACCGCUACACUCUCAUCAAUUGAUCUCAUUUAGCUGACAUAGUUAGGCAUCAAAGGGUUGAAGGCUGGCCAGCCCGAUCUUCUUGUUGACGUCGUUUGCACAUGACUGACUUUGUGGACAUCGGAGAUGGAGUUUUCUUUCUGGAUUCUAUGUAGCUCCGCCCCGCGACGCCUACUCGAUCGGAAGUCAGAAACAGAUCACUUGGAGCUAUGGCCCAGUUGUGUUUCAGACAUUUUCCGUUCAGCAGAUAGAAGACCAGAAGACUAUUAACGCCCGCUGCUGUCCUCAGCCUCACUGCCCAAAACCAUAUCCUUACUACCCAAUUUCAAGAUAACUCAAGUACUCGACCCAAGUCCAAUUAUCAUAUAAUUGUAACACCCAAAUUACAUAAGCAGUGCAUAUAAGUAAUUACCAGAAGCCAUCUUACCCUAGCAUAUUACCUUUAUAUCAAGAAUAAUAAUGCUAGAUUGGUGAUUCAAGAAGAUUGAACUACAGAAUGAUCGGUACGUGUGAUACUGAAUAAUGCUAGGUUGCCACAUUUCCGAAUACUACUGCCAUUUCAUCUCAUCUAUAUAUCUUAUAUGAUCGAUAUAAAUUAAUUUCAAGUCAUGCCAAUUACUUCCGUGGAAGUGAUUUCAAUCUUCGAUACUUUACCUAUUUAUGCAUGCACAUGUUAGAAUGAACUUAGCAUUAUAAGUCCUAAGGCACGACAACUUCUAUAGAAUAACAGAAUGAACAUUGUGAAAUUAUUAAUUGCAUUAUCAUGAUAUGUUUAUCUAAAUGAAAUGGUUAGAUAAACAAUGAAAUACAUUUGAAUUAUCUUGUUAUAGGCUAAUAUUGUGGUAUUUGUGUGACACUCAAACUCUUUGAUGGUUAAGAGUUUGAGCUAUCCAAAAUGCAGUAUAAAAGGAGGUUUUUGUGCACACUCUAACUUACGCCAAAACCUAAUCUCUCUCUAUCAAAGCUUUGGUACUUGAGUGUUGCGCAAAAGAUCCCUUUUUGGAAGCUUCUUCCCACCUCUCUUCAUCCCGAUGGUUGCCCUCAACAUUGAGCAAGCAAGCAAGGUACUAUUUCUGUUCCUUGAGUAUAUAUAUCAGUACAUGUACAUAUAUGUUGAUGUAUGUCUGAUGUCAUGAUCUGUGAUCUUGUUUAUGUACAUGUGUUUAUGAUAAGUGUUUUGUCUUUGUGGUUGUAGUAUGUCUAAGAGCACAGUACAUGCAUGGUUGAUUGAUGAUCUUUGUUUCUUGCAAGCCAAACGCAAUUUGAAAAAAUUCAAUAACAAUUGAACAACGUACAGGUCGAUCUACGCGAUGUUUGACAGGUGAUAAAGGUCAUAAAACGUAAACUUAUAUUGGACUGCACUUAUUGUUUCACAAAUGCCACACAACCAAAUUUGUUCAAGUAAGUACACUAAUUGGAACUAAUCCCAGAUCAUAACAACUGCUAUGACUCCCACUCCAAGAAGCACAGCAAGAAACUUGUAAGAUGGAGUGUCAAAGUCGCAUUUGGUUUGUGGUUUAAACCCUUUGGCAAUGAGAUGAUUGAUUGCAACAUAGACGAAAACUCCACAAGCAAGUCCCAUGGAAAUUGCAUAUACCCAAUCAGCUGCAGCUCCUUCAGUUGUGGCAUCAAUGGCAAUCCCUAUGCCUACUCCAACUGGACUUGAAACAGCAAAAGCAAAAGAAUAAGCUGCAGUUACUAGAAAUGCUCUCUUUGGUAGCAUCCUCAGUAAUGCAAUUCCCAUUGCAACGGCUGCAAAAAUCUUGUGUAAUGAUAUCGUCCAUAGAUUCCUCCAUGCAUCUCCCUUUGUAUCUGCAAUGUUACGAACAUAUCGACAACUUAUUUUUGCUCGAGAUGAUCCUUUAAAAAUUGAAUGAUUCAUUGUAUUGGAGGAACAAACUAGGUAUAUAACCAAGAAUGUUCACAAAACUAAGUUCAUGUACGUACGUAAUGGCUCAUAGGCAGUUAAAUCCUAAACUUUGAACAUGCAUAUAUAUAUGCUAAUUAAUGGCCUGGAGCAAAUCUAUGGUUGUUGCAUGUAGGGUUUGGGCAUCCAAGUUCAUGAAAUCAAUAUAUAUUGAGUGUAUAUAUGUAAAAUGUUCAGUGUAGAAUUUGCUUACAAAAAAUCUAGCAUGUUUUAUAUGCUGUCAGUUCUACACAAUAGAUACAGAAAGCUAUUAGUGAUCGAGUACAUAUGUAAUAUAUGGCGGAUAAGAGCCAUUGGAGUUUGUCCAAUUAGUUAAGGAAUAAGGGGAAUCAAUUAGGGCAAGAAUACAAAGUACGUACCUGCAACUCCAACAGCAAUACCCUCGAAAACUGAAUGGAAACACAGCGCAAGAAUAAGAAGUAUGGUGUCUCCAAACGAAGUUGUUUUCAAGAAAGCUGGGUUGAGCUCAUCAUGUCCAGUUGGAACUUCCUUAUCCCCAUGCUCCUCAUCCUCAACCCUAAUUCCCUCCUCCACCUCAACUCUAGCUUCUGUUUCACUGGGCCUAGUCACAAACAUCACCACGCAAUCGCCAAACAUGGUCAGCAUAUAACCAGCCGAAGCUAGCAUGAAUGCGAAAGGGUACGUUUUGGUGGUAAGGUCUCCGAAUGUCUCAGCUGCAUCGCUCAAGAAGUGCAUCAAAGAGGUACCGAGAAAAACACCACCAGCAAAUUGAGUUCCCAAGAGAAGAAAGCUUUCGUUCCAUCGAUAAAAAUAGGGAGAUAUGCCACCAAUGAAGGUGGUCACAAGUAAAAUGAUCAAACACCAUACUUUCACCAACACCAAGCUCUUCGAAUGCAGAACUACGUGCUCGUCGCUGCUGCUAUCGCUGUCAUGGUCUACGCCUCCAUGACCAUUGAUUAGGAGCGGUUGCAGGAGUAGAAGCGCACAAAGUGAGACAGAGGUUGACUUGAGAGUCUUGAAGAUGAGAAAAGUGGAAGCCAUGGAUGAGUUUGAUGAAGUUUCCUAUCCCUACCCAGUACGUAAUGGCUUCUGAUAAUUAAGUACUUGUUUGGCUGUACAAAUCGGCCAUUUUCUCUUUCCAGUACAACAUUGACUUUCUUAUUCGAAGAUCGUAUAGCUAGCACUGUACUGCAGAAUAGACAAUAGUUUAGAAGCCUGAGAUGAGUUGAGAUUAAGCGCACACUCGGUCCAGCUAAAAUUAAAAAUUGACUAAUCAAAAAUCAAUCAUGCACCAUAUAUAAGCUUAAAAAUAAAUGAUACCAAAUUAAUCUGUGGAAUUAUAUAUUAAUUUCACUUCCUUACCCCUUACAUCACCCACAAUUGACAUGUUAUAUUACCUUCUUCCUUGUGUACUAAUCAAGCAGCAUCUAUAUCCAUUUAUAUUAUCUACUCUUGUACAUAGACAAAUUAAAAAAUCAAAAUAUGUUAUUAGCUGUAGAUCGAUUUCUAUGGCUUCUGCAAUAGCUAUAGAUAUGACUAUAUAUAUGAGUAUGUCCAGCGAUCAAUACCAUACUUCAAACCACCCGUCAGCAAUAUGCAUGAAAGUUGCAUGCAUUAUGCUAGCUACUUAGCUGAGAGAAGUAUGUUUCUGUAGGAAAGCAGAACAGCACAAGUUCGUCGAUGGCGAUCGAGGAGGACAAGAAUGAGCUAGAGAGUAAGAAUGUUUUGGCGUACUCCUGUCAACAAGAUAACGCCUGAGUGAUUGAGUCCCUUUGAUCAAUACCAUCCUUCAGUGUUGUUGAUGUCUCCUCGCUUUGAGUGAUUGAGUCCCUUUGAUUUAGGUACCUAGUAACUCUUAAUUACUAUAGAAAUUUCAGUAUGGAGUGAAGAUGAAAGGUAUAUAUUGGAAUGUCGCCGCUGAAUAAAUAAAGAAAGCCAGACCCCAUCACUGCAUAGAUUGAGUGCCCAGGAGGCCAGGAGAUCGAGGAAAGCUAGCUUUGGUUUCAUUGAUUAAAGUACAGGGAGAUGUCACCAAAUCACCAAUGAAGGUGGUGAUAGUAAGUAGAUUUUACACACCACACUUUCAUCAACAAUUCAACAUGCACCACCAAGCGUUAUGACCGCAGAACUACCGUGCUCAUCGCUGCUGCUAUUGCCAUGCAUCAUGCAUGACAUAUGGCAUAGGCCAGCAGGAACGGUCAGGAUAUAGAAUCAGAGAAAGUGAAAGAGAGGUUGGACGUACUUGAGACUUAGUGAAAGGAGUUGAAAAUGAUGUUCCUAUAUUCUUAUCCCAAGUUCCCAACCCAAUAAUGGUUUGUGAUAUGUAAUGUGAUGAAGCCGUGGUGGGUUACUCGAUGGACUGCGCGGGUAUGGCAGUGAACACUGUUGCUGUUUUGCCAGGGACACAUCUGAUGAAGGUGCAGGCUGCAGGGUAGCUUUGGCAGCGGUCUUGAAGCCUUCAACCAUGCUUGCAUGGACCUCUUGGGCUGGUUGACUUUAUUUGUGUUUGGCUCGUUGUCUUUGGGCCUCUCUCUGAUCUCCUAGUGGAAUGGAUCAUUGCAUUGUGCAUUAGAUUUGGCUAGGAGAAUACCCUAGUGACUUAAUUAGUUUCUAUUAUUUUUAUUUUCAAUUGUAAUUUUAGUUUUAUCUUUCCAAAACCAAAAUCAAUAUUCACUCCCAUUGUUCAUAUCACUUUGUAAUUACGUGUAUUUUUAUACUCGUAAUUACUACGUAAUUAAACACUAUGAAUUAGUUAAUCCUCAUAGCAAUUAAUAUGUAAUUAAUUCAUUUUUAUUUAUUUUGUAUGAAAUAAUGAGAGUUGCGGAAAAGAGCCAAAAUUGGAGUAUAUGGAAAAUUGAUGAAAUAGACAAUGCCGGUCACCCAUGUUCGUGUCAUCAAGAGAGCAGAAAAGCAUUAAGCAAAUUGAAGAACUUGACGUUUAAGCGUCAAUGUUUUAUUGGCCACCGAUGUGUCGUUUUAGUCUUCGAAUUAACGAAGAAAAAAAGAGUUGGAUUGUUUUCUAGCAUAUAUCAUAGUCAUAAACAACCCGUCAAUCGACUACAACAAAGAUUUUGGGGUUCCAAAUUUGAAAACCUUGGUCGACCAGGCUCCUAAGUGUGAUUGCAUUCCUAAUACGCACCUUGUCAUUCAUACUUCAUUUUUCAAUUCAAGGACCCUUGUCACCAACUCGCACCAUACACUUUGGCAAAUCUGAAUCAGUCCAAGCGAUGAGAUCAAAGAGACGAGAUCGAGCUGUACGUGUUCAGACUGCUUAGAUACUCGUCAGUCGUCAAUCACGUCUAGCAACUUGGACUCUUUCAAAGACUAUUCUUGAUGACAAUGGUAGUCAUGGCCUCGUGGGACCUAUCAUAAGAAAAUGAAAUCCCAGUUCAGAAUAGCCCAAUAUAUACAUGUCAUGGUUAUCCUUCUUCUUCCUCACCGAUCCUCGAAAACAAUGGCUUCCCUCUUCCAUACUCUACUGUCUUCUUCGUUUUCCAUGUUAGCUCUUCUUCUAUGCAUAUGUCUGAGCGUAGAGUCUGCUAUAAUUCCAAGCAUUACCACUGACAAGGAGGCUUUGAUCUCAUUCAAGGAGGCCUUGCUCAGUGCCCCUCCAUCUUUAAGCUGGGACCAGAAUUCAUCACCUUGCAGCAACUGGACUGGAGUUGUUUGCAGAAACGAUGGUCAGAGUCCGAGAGUUGUUGGUCUUGAUCUUUCAAGCUUGGGACUUACAGGUAUGGUCUGAGACGCAUAUCCAGUAUCUUAAUUUCGAUACUAUCUACAUACUUUGCAUUAUUGUACGCAGAGGUUGUCUACGACUUCUUUACUGAGAUGUAUAUGAUCCACUCAUUUUACAACUAAUUCAACCAAAAUUACUAAUUGAUUGAACCAAGUUCACAACAAUAAAAAUAAAAUUAGUACAUUUGUUUUACAUAUUUAUAUAUAAUUAAACUAAAUUACUAUAUCGACAACAAGAAGUUUGAAGUGUAAACUUAAUAAAAAAUAUUGUGUAGUUUCACUUCUAUAUCCUUUAUAUUUCUUUGAUAGUUGAUAUAUGUUGCUUACAGGGACCAUAAGCCCUCAGAUUGGUAACUUAUCCUUCCUCCGUUCCCUUCAACUUCAAAACAACAAGUUAACAGGAGCAAUUCCUACUCAACUUGUUAACCUUUACCGCUUGAGAUCUCUGAACCUGAGCUCCAACACCAUACAAGGUCCACUACCUUCAAACAUGAGCAACUUGAAUGCACUAGAAGUCCUCGACUUGGCUGGGAACAACAUAACAGGGAGGCUCCCUGAGGAGAUGUUCAGCCAAAAGAAACUUCAAGUCUUGAAUCUGGCACGAAAUAAAUUCUUUGGUUCUGUUCCUUCAUCCAUAAGCAACCUUUCAUCCACACUCACAUCUCUGAACUUGGGUACAAAUAGCCUCAGUGGGAUCAUACCUAGUGAGUUGGGUCUACUUAACAAUCUCAAGGAACUUGAUCUUUCUGGUAACAAGUUCACUGGGACUGUUGCUCCCUCCAUAUACAACAUUACUUCAUUGGUUCUGUUUACUGUUGCUUCCAAUCAACUUUGGGGUGAGAUUCCCAAAGAUAUUGAUCAGACACUUCCAAAUCUUUUAUACUACCGGAACUGCUUCAAUCUAAUGACAGGGAACAUUCCUGCUUCUUUGCACAACAUCACCAAGAUUCGAUCAAUUCGAAUGUCAAACAAUUUUCUGGAAGGAACAGUUCCACCAGGGCUUGGAAACAUGCCAGACCUUGAAAUGUACAACAUUGGCUUCAAUCGGAUCGUUAGUAAAGGCAGUGAUGGUCUCAGUUUUAUCACUUCAUUGACAAACAGCACCAACCUGCAGUUUCUUGCUUUCGACGACAAUCAGUUAGAGGGAGUCAUUCCAGAAUCACUUGGCAAUCUCUCGAAGGUUCUCAACAAAUUGUACAUGGGAGGGAAUCGGAUUUCCGGUAAUAUUCCUGCCUCAGUUGGUCGUCUUACUAGUUUAACUUUGUUAAAUGUGAGCUACAAUUCAAUAUCUGGUGAAAUUCCUACUGAAAUAGGCCAAUUGGAAAACCUACAAGAGCUUAGUGUAGCAGGAAAUGAUUUGUCUGGUCAUAUUCCAAACUCCUUGGGAAAUCUCAAAAAGUUGAACAGCAUUGAUUUAUCUGGGAAUCACUUUGUUGGCCAAAUACCCUCUUCUUUUUCAAACUUCCAGAAUCUGCUUUCCAUGGACUUAUCAAACAAUGAGCUCAACGGAACCAUUUCCGGUGAAACUCUCAACCUCCCUAGUUUAAGCACCACUCUCAAUCUGUCCCAAAACUUUCUAAGUGGACCUUUGCCUUCAGAACUUGGGUCCCUAGAGAAGGUUGUUACUAUAGACCUCUCUGACAAUGCUUUAUCUGGAGAUAUCCCGGGAUCAAUAGGAAAGUGUAAAAGCUUGGAGAGAUUGUUGAUGUCAAGAAAUAGAUUUUCAGGUUCUAUUCCCAAUGGUGUAGGAGAAUUGAGAGGCCUUGAGUUUCUAGACCUUUCCUCAAACCAGCUUUCCAGCUCCAUUCCAGAGAAUUUUCAAGACCUACAUGCCCUUCAGUACUUGAACCUAUCAUUUAAUCACUUAGAAGGAGCGAUUCCUAAUGGUGGAUUAUUUGUUAAAAAUUUCACUAAUGUUCAUCUUGAAGGCAACCCAGAAAUUUGCCUUAAAUUUCCAUGUGUGAAGAAUAGUAAUGGUCGUCGAAGCAGAAAAAUACUAGUCCCAGUUGUGAUCAUUACAACUGUCUUAGCAACCAUAGCAAUAUGUGUUAUAGUGGGCUGUUUGGUCUAUGCUAAGAAAAGAAAAGGUUGCAAAACAAAAAUUACAGGAACUUGUGAUGACUUCGUGGUAAAAGGGCAGCAUCAAAUGGUUUCGUAUGAAGAACUCCGUGGCUCAACAGGGAAUUUCAACCCAGGAAAUUUGGUUGGAAGGGGGAGCUUUGGUUCUGUAUAUAAAGGGUUUCUUAGAGACCAAGGAAUUGAAGUUGCAGUCAAGGUGCUUGAUAUAAGACCAAAAGGGUCUUGGAAGAGUUUCUUGGCAGAGUGUAAUGCUUUAAGGAGUGUGAGGCACCGGAAUCUUGUCAAACUGAUUACUUCCUGCUCAAGCUUAGACUAUAAGAACAUGGAGUUUCUGGCUUUGGUGUAUGAGUAUCUGAGUAAUGGGAGCUUGGAAGAUUGGAUCAGAGGCAAGAGAACAAAUUCAGACGGAAGCGGUUUAAGCAUUGUGGAGAGAUUGAAUGUGGUGAUUGAUGUUGCUUGUGGAUUGGAUUACCUCCACAAUGAUUGUGAAGUUCCAGUGGUUCACUGUGAUUUGAAGCCAAGCAACAUUCUUAUGGACAAAGACAUGACUGCAAAGAUUGGAGAUUUUGGGCUGGCAAAGUUGCUGAUAGAGGAAACAUCCACUCAACAUUCUAUUGGCUCCACCAAUGUCCUCAAGGGUUCCAUUGGAUACAUACCCCCAGGUUAGUAAUGAAUCAAUUUGCUAGCUAGCAGUUUUCUUAUACAAGUACUUCAUGAGUUCAUUUAACAAUUAAAACGAUGUUCUUCGCUCCUUCAGAAAGUGAUCCUCCUACUUAAUAACUCGAUGAUUAUGAAAAAAUAAUGAACUCUCAGUGUUGAUCAAAUGACUGUCUGGGAUUGUGGAUAGCAUCUACCUAUAAUAAUAUGGUUGUUUUAUAAGUUGUUGUCCUUGAAAAUGAAAUAUAUAAUAUUUGUGUACAAUGCAGAAUAUGGUUUUGGACAAAAACCCUCCACAGCUGGAGAUGCAUACAGUUUUGGAGUAAUGUUGUUGGAGCUGUUUACUGGAAAAAGUCCAACCGAUGAGCGCUUCACAGGAGAAGUUAACCUCGUUCAAUGGGUGCAGUCAUCAUUUCCUCACAACAUUGCAGUAGUACUAGACUCUGAGUUGUUACAUUGUCAGCACGACGAAGGCUCAAAUCUCAUCUCAGAAGAAGAGCUGCAUUGUCUGAACUCAGUUAUCGAGGUUGGGCUCUCUUGCGCUUUCACCUCUCCUGAUGGACGCAUUAGCUUGAGGGAUGCUCUUCACAAACUUCAAACUGCUAGAGAGACUUUUUUGAAGCUUGCUCACUUUGACAGUCCAGAGUGCAACUUUCAACAAGAAUAGGAGGUUGAGGUACUAUUUGUUAAGAACUGAUUGUAAUAUAACACCUGAUGUAAUGAGUUCCUGUCCAUACAAGGUACCAAGAGCUCGUUUGUAAUCAAGUUCUAUAAAUAAAUAAUCACACCUUUCAAAAUAAAAAUUAUCAAACAAAAUGCUGCUUUUAAUUAUCAUCCAAAUUAAUUCGAGCUGAAACUGGCCUUCAGCUAUAAUGUACUGAACCAAGCAAGGGAUACAUAGCCUAAGAUACUCAAUAACCCACUUGAGGUUUUCUAUUUUCUUCUGGGUGAUGAAUAAUAGAGGCCAGGAAGUUCAUAAGGGAGGGUCAUUCCUAACUGGUGAAACAAUUAAUCUAGUGGAUUUCAGAUUCAAGGGGAAAAUCUCUUUCAAGAAACUAAAGAACUGCCAUUCUUGUCAAACUCCAACCAAAUGCAAAGGCCCUGCUUUAGAUAUUUAUUAUACAUCUAUAUUUGCACAAGCUAGGCAUGAGUAGGCAGGACUUGACUGCAGUAGAUGGCCAAAAUUUGAAUGACUGAAGUCCAAUAAAAUAGCAUGAGGUUUUCCCACACAGCAUUGCACAAGUACUAGACUCUGAGUUGAAUACACUAUGAGCACAAGGAAUGUUCAUAUACCAUCCAUGAAGAAGAGAACUGAAUUGCCUGAUCUCAGGCCUGCACUUUAGUUUCCCCUUAAAACGCAUUAGCUCGAACAAAAUGAUCAGAACUUUAGCUUCACAAACUUGAAACUGCUAGCUAGUUUCUUGCAAAUCUUUGAGAGUUCAAAGUUUAUAUUUCAACAACAAAUGGAAGUUGAUGAUCCUAAUAGCUAAGCACUGAUUGUGAUAAUCUGGAUCAAGAUUCCUUUUCAUUUAGAUAUCCACUUGAAUUUUUUUAAUUUUCUUUUGGGUGAUGAAUAAUAGAGGCCAGGAUGUUCAAUAUGGCUUCACUCCUUACUGAUGAAACAUAUAAAUUUAAACUGGUGCUCUUCAGAUUCAUGGGGAAAAUCCCUUUCAAGAAAAUAAAGCACUGGUAUUCUUGUCCAGUUGCAACCAAAAUGCAAAGGCCCUGCAUUAGACAUUUAUUAUAUCAUCUGUGUACACAAGCUAGGCAUGAGUAGGCAGAUGGCCAAAAUUUGAACGAGGUAACUUCAAUGGUGCCAUUAUCUUUUAGUUUAUUCCACCCGGAUUUCUUUAAUUUUCAAAUAGGAUACUUCAUAAUGAAAUACAAGACUUCUGGAAAAGCUUUCUUCACAUUAGCCCCUAAAAUGGUUGCAAUUGAAAGAAAGCCUCCCAACUAGAAUUCACACUUGGAAUCCAUACUGACACAUUAAUAGAGCCAUUGAUGCUACGACUGUAAACAAAGGAAAGGUUGACUGUGUUUUAAGGCCUCUUUUGCUAGUUGGUGUGCAAAAAAGAGAUUGUAUGAGAAAAUUAAAUAAAUAAACCGAGAUAUAUAGAAUCAAAUCCGAACACUCAGAUUUGUAUUUAAAGUAUUCCUGAUUUCAAAAAAAAUAUUAAAUAAGACAAGCGUGUCACCUGAUAUGUUUGUCUCAUCGAUGAGAUACGUAAUGUCUAAAAUAUGACAUGUAAUUUUACAUUAAUACACGCGUAUUAUUAGAUUUAAUGAUUUAACCAACAGACAAGCUUAACUGUCCAACUUCCAAAGUAAAAAGCAUUUUCCCAAUUUAAAGAGAAACCCUAAUAAAAAGAGAUCACUCAUUCCGUCAUAGCAAUCAGUCGGCACGUUGUUGGCGCCAAUCAGCCAGCUAAGCUACACAAAAGAUCUUUGAUGAUACCUAAUUUUCAUCACUCCCGAGAGAUAUGACACUGUUAACAUAUCAGUGUGUGUAGCUCAAUUAUUUGAGGCCACUAAACUCUCCCAUACCAAGUGCCACAUUUUCUUAACAAAUAAGCCAAAUACCACAUUUGAACAAACAAAAAAAAAAGCCAAAACUAAUAUCUUUCUGCGCCAGAAGAAGCUGGAGCUUGAAUUAUACAAUUAAGAUUGAAAAUGAAAAUGCUACAAUGUAGAGGCAAAUUUGCCCUAAAAAUAUAUACAGUGAUGAAUAUGACCAAUCUGUAGCCUGGAAUGAAUAAACUUUUCACAUAUCCCAAAUCCCAAUCCAAAAAAAUCUAAUAAAACAAAAGAAAGAAACAAAAUUGUGAUCUUUUUGUAUUAGCUGUAAAAUCCAGCUUUUUUUUUCUAAUCAUCCAACACCCAAGCCCGGCUGCGCCGCUGCACGUACCGCCCGAACACCGAGUUUGAGUGGCUCCGACUCCGACUAAAUGCCUCCGACCCGGUUUCUGACCCGGUCCUCGAAGACGAAUUUGACCUAAACCUCCCAAAGAACGACGCGAAAUUACGAAAAGCCCUCCCAAUCCCGCGGCUCUCUCUUCCUCUAUUUCUCGAUGCCCAUAAUACCCUUCUCGGCGCCCCGCUUCCGUUGAACCCUCCGUCCAUUUCCGUGUACACAACCGGCAAUUCACGCUCCCCGGGUCUUCUCGCGCCCGAGAACCGACCCACGGCGAACCCGCCUCCGGGUAAUCUCCAGAUGGUUAACCCGGUUGCCUCCUCGUCGUGACCCGGCUCCGAGUUCCGGUCAACGGGCAGCUCGUGGCGGCAGACCGGGCACGAGUUUCGCAUCGAGAGCCACGGCAGGAUGCAGUCGGAAUGGUAUAUGUGGCUGCAAGGCAUUUCUCGGGCCUCCGACCCGAAUUCGAAAGCUUCUUUACACACCGCGCAGUGCGACUCCGACCCGACGUGAGACUCGUCGAUUUUAACCACCGGCAUCGACUCCACGGCUGAUUUAGAAGCCGGCGGGUUCUCGGGUCGGCCCAACCCGGUUAUCUCAAUCUGCGCCAGCUGCUCCAGCAGCCGAUCAAACCCCGACCCCAUCAGAAACUCCGACAUGGUCGGCGGCAGCGGCCGGAGCCCCGACCCGGCGGCGUCGUCGUAGUAAAGCUCGAACGAGCUCGACUCGGAGUCGUCGGCCGCGCCACGUAGGACGAUGACCGGAUUGAAAGGCGACCGGUCGCCGGAGCUCCGGCGGACCCGCCGCGACGUCGGGGGCGGGUUCUGAUCGUGAGUAUAGGAAGGCGGGAAGCGGCGGUGGAGGUGAGUCGGGGCCGGCGGCGGGGUGGUGUCUAUCUCUUCGAGGAAGCCGGUGUCGCAGUAAGGGCAGGUGACGGAGGCGUCUUGGAGGAGGAUGCGGACGAAGCGGGUGCAGCGGUGGCACCAAUACGACGUCGUCGGAGACGGCGAAGACAUGGCCAUGGUAGAUCUGAGAGGGGAAGAGUCAGAGAGAGAGAGAGAGAGAGUUGUAGAGAGAAGAAUGAGGAAAUGGGGAAAGUGAAGGAGGGAGGCUUUUAUUGAGACACGCGUGGAAUGUGAAAAGAGGACGAAAUAGGGUUCCUUUGACGCGGCGCGUAAGUACACGCGGAAACGAUUUGGGGAUGGAUUCACAGGGAGGGUUUAGUCCACUAAUGGUAGUAUUAGAGGACAAUUAAGAGCACCCGCGUCAGUAACAUAACUGCUCCACUACUCUGAUUAACUCAUUUUAAUUGGAUUUUUGAGAUCAACGCCGGAGAACCGGCGAGUAAUCGCAUUCUCUCCUUUUAUUCUUUUUACUUGUUUGGAAUGAUCAAGUAAAUCACAUUCGUAUAUGUAAGGUAAUGUACAUAAUUUCUGAAUAUUGUUUUUUCUUAAUUAAGGAAGUAAUUCUAUUAAAAUUAUCACUCAAUCGAGCGAGUUGAAUACAAAUGUAUCGUAACAUAUCCAAAUAACUUGUUGGGAUACAAAUGUAUCGUAACACAUAACACAUCUAAAUAACUUGUUGGAGCGUCAUCAAAAUAAGAAAAAAUUGUGUUAUCAUCAAUUCAAAAUGGCGAUUGCAUACCCUCACGUUGUCAUAUACAAACAGAACAAAAAGUUAACGUAAUACCCACAGUGAUACAUAUGAAUAGGGUCCAUUUAUUCAACAAAUCAAACUUCGCUAUAGGUUAACUUGAAUCCUCUUUUGGUACUACGUCAGAAGAUUCGCUAUGACUACUUGUGUCAACCCAAAACAUAGUUCGUGUCAUACCUUCAGAAUUCCAUACACGAAACGCUAGAGAAUUAGAGUCCAUUAUCCUUGUCUACAAAUGGACACCCAACGUGUUUCAACAAAUCUUGGCUUUUGACAUGUAAUGGGUCACCCAUUGGGCUUUGAAUUUGAUCUAGGCACCCACCCAAACAUUAAAUGUUGCUCAAACCCACUCGUCGUCUGUCGAAAGAGAGGCAGAUUAUAACAAGAGACUCCAGCCACCACUUGUUGAACCUUCUUCGAAGUCCAUCUUUGUAUGUAAGAGCAACUAUCAAUGUCGGUCCACAUCAAAACCCGUCCCAAAUCAUACGGCCAAAUCGUCCUUCUAAGAUUCGCCGCCUUCCUCCACCACUCAAGCGAAUCAAUCAUUGUUGAGUGUCAAUUCCGACCGUCGACGAUUCCUCCCUGUCCUCGAUUCCACAUACCUCGACACACCCCGGCGCGCAUAACCUUACGUUUCAGUCAUCGGAACGAAGCCUAACAUUGGAGGUCGGCGAUUUUCUCCUCAAGGUCAUUAGGUAGUCACUAGAAUUAAUGAAAUCAUAGUGACUGCCUAAGAAAAUUACAAAUCCAUUAUUUGUAGUAUAGAUUAGCGAUGUAAUUGGGUAAAGUAAUUUCCCAGAAAGGAAAGGGAUGACAAAGUAGUAUAAUGACUAUAAUCAGUAGCGCAGCGCGUGUGUUGCGGGAGUGGGCAAAGCAUUUAAAAUAAAUCGGCAUGUGAUUAAAUGAUAACAAAAUACGGUAAAACUACGAUAAGUUACUAAGUUAGAAGCUGAUCGCGCGUGAGGAGCGUGGGUGUGAGACGUUGACUGGGAGCGAGGUCGGACGCCGAGUUUGAAAAUUCAAAUAGUCGCCGGUUUGGAGCAAACAAGAAGAAGAAGGAGGAGCAAGGAAGAUUCCUGAACGAGGCAGAAAACAAAUUUUAAAGGUGCGUCGCGUGCGCUCGUCUCUACGGACAAUAUUACAAAUAUGGGCUAUGUCUGAUUGGGCCCUACUUGAUUGCAAUUAUGUAGUCAAAUCCAACUGUACUGUGUUGCUGGAUUCAUUUAAUUCAGUGUAAAUAAUGGUUUUUCAUUAACAAAAAUGAAAAUUAGACAUAUGUCAUUAAGGUUUUCUCGAUUAGUUUUCUAAGUAUUUCUUAAAUGAGAUUAGUAGAUGUCUCUUAAUCAUCAGUCAGCUGACGCCAGAAAAAUAUGGGACGGGUGGUAAUAGGAUUAGAAAAUUUAUAGUAGGAAUUUUAAAUCAGUAUUUUAAUUAUUUUUAAAACAAUUUAUGUGUUAUUUAGUGUCUCAUGGUUCAAUUUAUAUAAUUUAAAAGAGAUAUAUGUUUGUUAAUUUACUUGUUUGUUUGUGAAAGUGUUCACAUUAGAAAUUUAAUUUAAUGAUCCAUGAUUUAUGUCUUAAAAUGUCGUGUAGGUCAAAUUGGCGACUGAUCAACUUGUUCAUGACAUGAAUCUUAUGUUGCUUCACUAUGGAGUUGCAUGCUCUUCUCAUAGCAUGUUCCAUUUUGAAGGAUGAAAGCGGUGGAAAAGCUCUUAUUCAUCCAAGCAAAAGAUCGGUCUUGCAUUCAUCUAAUGUCAAAAUUAAGCAAGUCGAUAUUCAUCCAAUGUGACAAUCGAGCAGGAAUAAUGAGGUAUUCGGUAUUUGAUAUUCAAUAACGUUAACAAAUUACAACAAUUACACAUCAUCAACCUCUAAAAAUAAAACAUACCGUUAAUCCUUAUUUGCUUUUAUAUUUUACAUCACAUUAUUCACUUUUAAGCGGCUAUUGUAAACUUCUCGAAAAGUGAAUAUGAUGGGAACCAUGUUCUCUUCCAACCAUAGUACGCUCCUGUUGUUCUAUCUCCGUUCAUAUUGUCCUUACAAAAGUAAAUAAAAUGUGUUCUUUAGUGCAAAAUGCAAGCAUAUGCUUGGUGACACAUCAAUCAGGAGAAAUAAUUUGGCACCAUGUUUGUGUCUCUUUCUUGGCUUCCCGGAGUUCCCUCCACAACAAUCAUGGUGCAUAUUUUGCUUUCAGUUGCAUGCGUGAAAAGACUAGUAUACAUUUCAACAUCCUCUAAAUAUGCAUAAUGAUAGAGUGGGUAUCUUAUCACAUUCUACUUUCUGGCAAAUUCGUUAGGUUAAACUUGAGCACCAGAAUGCCAUACAACCCACGGAACCACGAUCCCAUCCAUGAUCCAUCUCUACUGUGGAAGACUCAACUCAAAGGAAGCAUCAAGGCCUUAAGGAGUUGAGGACUUGAGGGUGUAGUUUAAGUGUUUAACUAAUGACAUAUCCUAUCAAAAAAAUAAACUACAAGAAAUGACACUAAUGGAGAGAAAGAGUUGCAUCAAUCAUUUUUAUUAAUUUUUUUUUUUUAGUAUUACAACAUAAAUAAAAGAGAACCUAACUCUUAUCUGGAUCCAGCGUUUGUUUAUGUUUUUUUUUUCUCUCUCUCUCUCAAGUCUCAAUAAUGUAAAACCUUAAAACAAUAGGCUAACGCUCACAUUCAUUUUCAACCUGUCUAUAAAAAUACAGACUACAAAAGCACUUUCUUAGCUAAAAUAUACACCGCCUAAUUACAUUUCCUACGAUACAAUUCAAAGUUUGAUCUAAAAGUUUAAGAAUCUGCCUACGAUUGCAAAGUAUGCUGAGAGAUGAUACUAAAAAAUGUAUUCAACAAAGGUGCCAUGUCUUAUCUUGUGCGUCUACUAAAUAAAGUUGCAUUAGCAAAAAGAUCAAGAGAUGAUGUGGUUUCUUAGACCUUUCCCUGGUGCCAUUUCUUCUUUUCGUUACAUGGGAUUAUGCUUAUUUGAAUGUCAUCUUUCUUUCAUCACUUUUCCAAGAAAAUGAGACAGAAUUGCUUUCUCAAACGUAAUAUUAGGGAAUUGCUUUUCAUUUGUGUUAGUGUUAGAGACAGAAAGCUCUUUCCAUGAUCUCUGCUACUGUUGCUUAGACCAGCCUAUCACCAUCAAAGUGGUUCUGAGAUCACGAAUCCAACCUCGGUUGUUUUGGAAAAGGAUACAAGGACCUAGUCCAUGCCUCAGUUUUCUAUGAUCAAUCGAUGGAUCAGUUUGAAUCAAACUUUGAGAACAUAAUUUUGAUACAGAUGAGGUUUUUUUAUUUUUAAUAUUUUUUUUUAUAUUGCAGUUCAAUAAAUUAGAACUCGUCAACUCUUGGAUUUGGAUUUGCAGUUCAAUAAGAAUCAUAGUUGACAGCAUCCUUUCAUGCGUCUCGAUCCAUCGGAUGGUAUAGUACUAGUAAUUUAAACUAUAUAUUCAACAAUUUUUUCUUUUUUGUUAUAACGGAGAAGACCAACCAUUUGACCACUUAAGCUAAUCCUGAAUUCAGGGUUACUGGGUUACGAACAUUAAUUCAAGUCUGUUGAAAGCUUCAUGAUCUUUUUCAAACUUCUGAUUUUGAUGUUGCACUUCUGCACGUACGCCCAUUCAUUGUUUUCAAUCCUUGCCUUAGAGUUGGUCAUGCUCGCUCAUCUCUACUUUUUUCUUUUUGCUCAACACAUCUUGCUAAUGAUUCUAUGCAUAGAGAUUCUACGAGUAAAAACACAUUCAAUCAACCUUCAUAGUUCUUAAAAAUCCAUCAAGAACUUGCUGCAUGUAGACCUCCAGAUGGUAUUCAGUUUUACUUCCCAGUUCGAAUGGGUCAUCAACAAUCCGAUAUGGAAAAUGCUUGAGACACCAAAUAUUUAUAUAAAAAUUGGAUACCGAAUGACGUGGUGACCGCCAUGUCAACAUUUGACAUUGAAAAAAUAUUGAUGAAGUGGAAUGAUUAAUAAUUUGUAUUACAUUCGUUACGACGGAAAAUUAAAAAUUAAAACCAGUGUCUUCACCAUUCACUUAUGGUUUCCUCCCCUGUCACCAUAUCAGUGCUACGAAAGAAUUCAAUCUAAAGUUCUCUCCUAAUCGAUGAAACAUCAAAAAAGACACCCGAGGAGAUAGAAAGCAAAGAUGAAGAGAGGACUAGACCUUAGAAAAUCCUAGAUUGGACAAUUGCCUAGGGUUAGGUGAAGGAGGUCAACCAUGUUGAAUGAGCAUGUUUGUAUGUAUAGGAAGAUUGUUAAAGGAGAUCAACCAUAGAAACACCAGUUCGAUCACCAUGAUUUCCCAAAUUACCAAAACCCAUCAAGCUGCAAAUCAUUGUUCACAGAUAAUAAAAUAUCUCUCAAAUGCUCAAUUGAAGUCCUCGAAAGUGUUGUUAUUGACAACUAAUCUCAUGAAAUUUGAUGUUUGUAGAUGAUUCCAUGGUGGCAUGGCAGUUUGAGUUUCUUUAAUAUCUCCAUUUUAUGAGAUUAGGGUUCCAGAUCGAUUUUUAAAAGGGAAGGAACAAAUUAAAGGAAUUUCAAUUUUUAAUUGUUUUAUUAAGCUAAUAAGAAAAACCAUGUCCCCAAAUAUCAAAACAAAAAUGUUGAUGUGGCAAUGGCCACAUCAUUUUGUAUUCAUUUUGGUAAAAAAUUUGGUGUAUGUGGCACUACUCAUCCGAUAUAAACCUUGGAGACAUGUGAAAAAAAAAAAGUUUUCCAACUUUUACAAAGAAAAACUAAAAACAUCAAUUCGACGUUUUAACUUUUUCAGUAUCUUAUGAUAUAUGAAAAAUAUUUUUCACACUCAAUUGCCGAAUACAUUUUUAAAAUUACAAAAUUACUAUCUCAUUUUCUCUUUUUUAUUUUAAAAAUUAUUUCUCAAAAUCGCUUUCAAAAGCGUUAGCUUUGUUUUUCAGAAAAAAAAAAACGAAAAAAAAAAUACCUGGAAGUUCUUUAAAAUAGUUUGGGCCGCUGUCAUCUGAAAACAUUGCCCAAAACGUUGUCCAGGGCCCAACUUAGACGCUUGAAAAUUUAGGGUUUCUGGAGUCACCACCCCACAUUUCCUAUUAACUACAGAGGCAGCAGAACAGAACAGAACAGAAGUGAGCAGAGAGAGAGAGAGACGGUAAUGUAAAUUAAGUGAUGCACACGUUGGGCCAUUCAAUUCAAACUGGAACAUAUCUAGACGAAGAAGGCAAAGACACUGCCUCUCUUAGAUCCUCUUGUUCUAAACAUAGCAAUGGCUUUACAUCCCUCCUCAAUCACCCAGUUGCUAUUUGCUGACACAAUGACCUUUCCUAUCGACGAGGGUUUUUGCUUCAUUUGGUGAUCCAAUUCCAAACCAAUUAAAUUGCUUACUUCAGGACCCUGUCAUCCUAUCCAGGCCAUGCUGUUCUGUUUUGGGUUCUAUUGGCCUAAACUGCCACUUCCACCAAUACCAUUUCUGGGGCUAGCUGUUUCUCUAUUUCUCUGCAAGAUAGGGACACACUACUGUAACUUUCUUUUUAUCAUUUUACUUUUAGGUAUAUGUAUGACAGUUUCACCGGCUUGCAUACGAUUUUCACCCCUAAAUGUUUGCGUAACUAGUGCAUGAGUAUAUGUUGAUGUUACUGUUAGCUAAAUGACUGUGUCCUAGCUGUGUCCUAUUUCAGAUUUUCAUUAGAGUGUCGACCACCGUAUUUUUUGUUUCACGACUAAUAUGUCUUUAAUUAAAUAGAUAAGAUAAAGUAACAAAAAGAUGUUCAACUAGCUUCGGAUUUGUGAUCAACACCUGAGCAAUGUUAUUGAUGAUAAGACUUGUAUCAAUGAGAAAAUGAAUAACCAUGUUAAAUAUAUGUUACUAGACAGCCAUACGACAAGUACAAGCAUGUUGGGUUACCCGUUACAUUAACUAGGGUUUUGCACUACAAAGUCUUAUUGUGAAACCACCGUGUUUAUAUAGAUAUUAUAUAUAGAAUUAUAAAAUCGUUGACAAGUUUCGACAAAUGACAAAUCGAUAUAAAAUUUUGAUGAUAUAGAGGAAAACAUGUAAUCAUUACACAUCUUAAGGAAUAAUGCUCAAAUAUGUAUAAUUACUUGUAAAUCAACAAUAUCAAGUUAGGUUUAUAUCUAUUUGCACCAAAAUGAGUUUAUACUUUAUCUUUAGGUCCAUUCAGCAUAAACAUUACAAGUUAAGUUUUUUUUUUUUUUUUUUUGUUAGAAAGAACAUUACAAGUUAUUUCGAGCUUCUGUUUUUGUUAAAUAUUUCGAGCCAUUUCCACUUACAAAUAACAAUAUCAUUGAAAUUUGUAUGAAGUAAAAAAAAAAUUACUAUCAAAAGCAAAACAUAUAUUGGAGAGUAAACCCAUGAAAUGCCCAGAGUCCAUACCCUCCCAUAUGGUCCUCCUAUACCUCAAAGUCCUAGUUGAUAAACUUGGUAAGUGUGAUCCUUAUUCCUUAGCUAGAUAACAAAGCACAAUCAAUGACAGGUGACACACCCACCUACUUCCAUACCCAUCACAACAAAUAUCUGUGGAAUUUAUUUUGUUUGGUCAACAAUGCCAUGCAGCAUAGGAAAAAAGAGCCAGGUACCAUAGUAAAAUUUUCCAACCUUCGUAGCAAAAUGACUCAAUUCAUUACCCAUUUAAUUACCUAAUUAAACACAAUAAACCAAAAAAUGGUUAAUGUCACCCUAAAAACUUACCCAUUUCACAAUAAUUCCACAUUAUUGCUCAUAAAUAUUCUAGCUCUUUUCCUGUCAGUUUUUUGCACAAGAAUUUAUUGUUUAUAGUUAAAAGUGGGGUAAAUUUGAAAAAAAAUCUUGAACCCUUUGACUAAUUAUUUAUUUCAUAACAACUUAUUACUUACAUAUGAUUUCGAUUAAGAUAUGGCAAAGAUCAAGAUUAACUAAAACCAAAACCGUAAAAAAAAAAAAACUACAAUUACAAUCCUAUAUUGAAGAAUUUCUCAAAAAAAGUCACAAUCUUCACCUCAACCAAAACAUAAAAAAAAUUCUCAAUUACCGCUAUAGUAGUAUAUAAAAGAAUUACUCAAACAAAGUCCGCUAUCGUAUUAUAGAGAAGAAUUUAUCAAACAAAGUCCAAAAACAUGUACAUGAAUUGAACCAAAUAGAUCUGAGUUAGAUUUUGCACCAUAAAAAGUAAAAAGGAAGAGAAAAAACACAAAAAGAAACAAAGAUUUUUACAAUAAGUUUCUACUGCCCAGUAGCUCAGUUGUCCUUGCCCUGUUUUCACUGGCUUCUAAAUUUAGGUUUAUACUGAGGCAGCGAAUCUUUAGAGGUGACGUGUCAGUCAGAGAUUCUUCUAUAGGAAGACGGAAAAAAACUAAAAGAAACAUCAUUUUCAUUAAAAAAAUAGAAUUUAUAAAUUAAUUAAAUUAAAUUAUUUUUGGACUUUUAUACAAAUUUGGAUAAAAACACAACAAAAGCCGUUAUCACCUGGUCAAUUAAUCCCCUAUUUCCCAGAGCUUAAUCAGAAUUUAAAAAAAAAAAAUUAAAAAUCAAAAAAGGAUUUUGGAAAAUAUAUAUUUAUUUAUUACUCUCUCUUUUAUUUGCUUUCUCUCUAACUAUCUCACAGUGUAUUUAAUCGGCUCCUUGAACUGGAACAAAACCCUAACAAGGGUUCUUGUAAGAAGAAAUCGCCGCCGUAUUGAUCUCCCGCCGUCGGUUUUCUCUUUAUUUCUAUCUGACUAUCUGUUUUUCAUAUUUGACGACACUGCUCUCUUUCUCUCUAAGAGCUCAAGGUCCCCUGUUUGUUUCUGUUUACUAUUUCCUCACAUCACUUUCUUCACAGUCAAUCCGCUUGUGUUUUCUGCUCUUGUUUUUGCCGUUAUGGGAAUUUAUGGGAUUGAAUUCUGGGCAAGGUAGUUUUGUUUACGAGCUCUGAUUGUUGUUUUGGGCUGAUCGUUUUUGGGUCGGUUGAUUUUGAGGGAGUAUGGAGUAGGUUGUGGAAAAUUUUGAGUCUUGAUCAGGUUAAAGGUUUAAGCUUUGAGCUUGUAAAUAAGCGGUGGGGCUAGGUUUUGGGGAUUUCAAGGGGUUUAUGGUUUGAUUACUGCGUAGUAGUUGGUAAUGAUUAGUUUAGGGUAGUGGCUCUUGAGGAUGUUGUCUGAAUUGGGGAGAAGACCAAUGCUUGGAGGUAAUGAGGGUUCGUUUGGGGAUGAAUUUGAGAAGGAGAUUAGUAUGUUGCUGAGGGACCAGCGUCGGCAGGAGGCUGAUGAUCGUGAGAGUGAUUUGAAUAUCUAUAGGAGUGGGUCAGCGCCUCCGACUGUGGAGGGUUCUUUGAAUGCUGUGGGAGGGUUGUUUGCUGGGGGUGGUGGUGGAGGAGGCGGUGUGGGCGGUGGUGUUGCUGGCUCUUUCCUAUCGGAGUUUCCUGGAGCUAAAAAUGGAAAUGGGUUCUCGUCGGAGGAGGAGAUGAGGUCUGAUCCAGCUUAUCUGAAAUACUAUUACUCGAAUGUGAACAUGAAUCCUAGGCUUCCACCUCCAUUGUUGUCAAAGGAGGAUUGGAGGUGUGCGCAGAGGAUGAAAGGAGGGAGUUCAGUUUUGGGUGGGAUUGGGGACAGGAGGAAAGUGAACAGGGCUGAUGAUGCUAGUGGGAGAGCCAUGUAUUCGAUGCCACCCGGUUUUAACUCGAGGAAACAAGAGAGUGAUGUGGAGCCGGAUAAAGUACGUGGCUCAGCAGAGUGGGGUAAUGAUGGGCUAAUUGGUCUGCCUGGUUUAGGACUUGGUAACAAACAAAAAAGCCUUGCUGAAAUCUUUCAGGUGAUUGUCUUCUGCAAUUGUUAUUGAUGUUUGCUAUAUAGUACAUGUGUUACUGAAGCCAUGCAUUCAUAUUUGUAGUGUGUGAUCGUAUUUUUUGAGAAUGGUUUUGCAAGACUUUAUGUUUCUUGAUUUGCCGUUUUGACGUUUAUUAUUGUUGUGGUUGAUCUUUGAUAUUUAGAACAUGUGUUACUGAAGCAUUUCUCUUUUUUCUUUCUUCCUCUAUACUUGCAUUUGAUAAUGUGUUUAGUAUAACUUUUUUUUUAUUCUUAGAAUUCAUGUGACUUUAUUGCUUCUGUGUUGUGCUUGAUGUUCAUACUUAGUACAUGUGUUACCAAAUCUUCUUUGUUAGCGUAUGCAUGCUUUUGUUGAUAACUUUUGAGCAACACUUUUGUAAAUGUUCCUUGAAUUGCUGGUUCUGACAUUUAUUUCCCAUUGAUCUCUAAGAUGAUAUAAUGUAUAAUUUAGGUGAACAUAGAGUUAUGGGGUUCAAAUUAUUGCUCUGUAUUCAAAAUGGAAAUGUUUUCCUGGUCUUACCAGGACCAAAACGUUCUACUGAAUCUUGUCCUUAACCUUAUAGUUAUAUGAGAAAGUGGAUAUCUAGGAGGUUUACUGAGAAGGGAAAUUCUGUGACUAUGUUGAGACCUGGUGAAUAAAAUUGAAAGCCUUUAGAACAUAAAGAACUUUCUUUUUUAUGGCUGCAAGUUAACCAAGAUCACUCUCUUCAUGAUUGCAUCUUGGUUAUGGCUGUGUAAGUUGUACUCGUACUCUGGUCUAUCUCAUACAAUGCAACUAUCCCUUAUUCAUCUGCAUCUUUUUCAGCUACAUUCUCAAGGUUGUCAGUCUACACAUUGUUUGACCUAAAUAAUGUCCCACAGAGCAUAGUAGUAUGACUACUUCAAAUAAAAUUUUGCACAACCCUAUUUUCGCUAGGCCCUUGCUUCUUGAAUCUAAUUUAGAUGAGUGAACUUGUUGAGUCUUUGGUUUGAUUUAAGUACAACAUGGUAUUUUUUGCAACCUCCACACAAGAGUAGUAAACUACAAUCUAGCAAUGCCCAGGGGAAGUCCUUGUGCAAUUGCCUUUAAAUUAUUAAUUAGUACAUGACCUCUACUGUGCAUUAGAUUUUAGGAGCGUUUUCCAAAUCUUUGAUAUUUAUCUUACUAUCCUUAUUUUAGGAGUCUUUUCCUGGGAAAUGUUGACACACUGAUGUACUUUUCCAGCUUUGUGUUCUUGUGCAGUUCUUUGUUGUUGCCUGUUGAUUUUACUUAUGAUCCUCACUAUUGACCUGUUGUGCUGAUGCAUUUUUUCCCCUUUUAUUUUAUCCUGGAUUUAUCUCUGUACUCUUAUACUGCUGAUGCAAAGUUUGGUUGUGCAGGAUGACAUGGGGCGUACAACUCCUGUUCCUGGGCUUCCUUCUCGUCCCGCUAGUCGUAAUGCAUUUGAUGAAAAUGUGGAGGCACUUGGUUCUGCUGAAGCUGACCUGACUCAUUUGCGCCGUGACUUGAUGACAUCUGAUGCUCUACGAUCUGGUGCAAAUGGACAGGGUUCUGCAGCCCAAAGCAUGGGCCCACCUUCUUCAUAUUCCUAUGCUGCAGCUUUAGGUGCUUCCUUGUCAAGAAGCACGACCCCUGAUCCUCAGGUUAUUGCUAGGGCUCCGAGCCCUUGUCUUACACCUAUUGGAGGAGGAAGAGUUAGUGCUUCAGAAAAAAGAGGCAUUUCUAGUCCAAGCUCCUUUAAUGCUGUCUCAUCUGGCAUUAAUGAGUCCGGAGACAUAGUAGCUGCCUUAUCCACCAUGAACUUGUCUUCAAAUGGUGUGAUAGAUGAUGAGCCCCAUUUGCCAUCACAGGUUAAACAGGAUGUUAUUGAUCACCAGAAUUAUCUCUUUGGCCUGCAAGGUGCUGAGAGUCAUGCCAAGCAACUUGCUUACUUAAAGAAGUCUGAAUCUGCGCAUAUACAUAUGCCUUCUCCACAGUCAGCAAAAGGUUCGUACUUGGAUUUGGGUAAGAGCAAUGGGGUUGGCUCAGAUCAGAACAUCGCAUCCUCUGACAGGCAAGUUGAGCUGCAAAAAUCUGCUGUUCCUUCUGUUAACUUGUACAAAGGAUCAUCUGCAUCGAAUCUUAAUGGUGGAGGUGGAUUGCAUAAUCAGUAUCAGCAAGUGGAUAAUGCAAACUCAUCAUUUUCUAACUAUGGUUUAAGUGGCUACUCUAUGAAUCCAGCAUUGGCAUCCAUGGUGGCUAGUCAACUUGGUACUGGCAAUCUGCCACCUUUGUUUGAAAAUGUUGCUGCAGCAUCAGCUAUGAUACCUCCUGGAAUGGAUUCAAGAGUUCUUGGAGGAGGUUUGGCCUCUGGACCAAACUUAGCAGCUGCUGCAUCUGAUUCACAUAACCUUGGUAGAUUAGGGAGUCCGAUAGCUGGGAACGGUCUCCAGGCGCCUUAUGUUGAUCCUAUGUAUCUUCAAUACUUGAGGACAUCUGAGUAUGCUGCAGCACAGCUUGCUGCUCUGAAUGAUCCCUCUGUGGAUAGGAACUACUUAGGUAAUUCAUACAUGAAUAUACUUGAACUUCAAAAGGCAUAUCUUGGAGCCUUGCUGUCACCUCAGAAGUCACAGUAUGGAGUUGGUGCUCCCUUGGGGGGCAAGAGUGGUGGUUCAAAUCAUCACGGUUACUACGGAAAUCAUGCCUUUGGCAUGUCUUAUCCUGGAAGUCCCAUGGCAAGUCCUGUUAUUCCCAACUCUCCAGUUGGCCCUGGUAGUCCAAUGAGGCACAAUGAUCUUAAUAUGUGUUAUCCUUCUGGGAUGAGGAAUUUGAAUUUGGGUGGGAGUGUCAUGGGACCAUGGCAUCUGGAUGCUGGAUGUAACUUAGAUGAAAGCUUUGCAUCUUCACUCUUAGAAGAGUUUAAGAGCAAUAAAGCCAAGUCCUUCGAACUUUCAGAAAUCGGUGGACAUGUUGUGGAAUUCAGGUAUGAACUACCGAUUAGUUUUCUUACAAUGCCAGUUUUAUGGUUUGAUAGAUUUUUGGUUGUAAUAAUUAUGCAUUUUGGUGAGCAGUGCGGAUCAAUAUGGGAGUCGUUUUAUUCAACAAAAACUUGAGACAGCCACUACGGAAGAGAAAAACAUGGUUUACCAGGAAAUCAUGCCUCAAGCUCUCGCUCUAAUGACCGAUGUAUUUGGUAAUUAUGUGAUUCAGAAGGUAAAUCUUUUUCGUGCUUCCAAUCAUACUUUUUGUUUGUUUUACUUACUAGGUACAUUACGUGUAACAUUUGUUCUCUUUGUAUUCAGUUUUUUGAGCACGGGCUUCCGUCUCAGAGAAGGGAGUUGGCCAACAAGCUUUUUGGUCAUGUGCUGACACUUAGCCUCCAAAUGUAUGGUUGCCGGGUGAUACAGAAGGUACAGCUAAUUUGUUGUCGUUGCUACGUUGUCGCCUGCAUUUCCUUAAUUUGGAUAUCUAUUCCUAUUCUAGCAUUGAACCAAUAACUAUUAAGUCAUUACAAUUAGCUUUCACACUCUUUGUCCUUUUCUCUAGGUUUCUAAAAGGUAGAAUAGUCUUUAUCUCAUUGGAACCUGUAUUUAAUUUUGGAAAUGAUGGUGUACUGAGGAAUUUGCUCAAGUCAUCAUUAAUUGUGGUUCUGAUGUGAAUGAUACUGUUUGUUCAAUCUAGCUUCCGCUAAUGACUAAAAUAAAUAUAGUUACUGCAGUCUCUCACAUGCAUGAGAAAAUGGUUAUUGCAGUGAGAGAAAAGUGAGAUAAAGUGGGUCAGUUAGUUUGUUAUUAUUUUGUUAUUGUCACAAUAUCCUUGAUAAUGAAAUUGAUUUCCAAAAUAUUUGAUUUCUCAAGGUCAUUUUGUCAAAAAAAAUUGUUCUGGUUGAUGUGUGUCUUCUCUCUGUUUGUUUUGUGACGAAAGCUGUCUUCUCUUAAAUAAUAGUACAAGCACAAUAAUUGCUACAGUAGAAGUUGUUGAUCUGGACAGUAGAAGUGGUUUUAAAAAAUUUUCAGGCAAUAGAAGUUGUUGAUCUGGACCAAAAGAUCAAAAUGGUUGGAGAACUUGAUGGCCAUGUCAUGCGCUGUGUGCGUGACCAGAAUGGGAACCAUGUGAUUCAGAAGUGUAUUGAAUGUGUCCCUGAAGAGGCCAUUCAUUUUAUAGUCUCAACGUUUUUUGAUCAAGUUGUGACCCUUUCCACCCAUCCAUAUGGGUGUCGUGUAAUACAGGUAGCUAGACUUCUUUCUCUUUUGUUUUUGUGCUUGUUAACUUCUUUUAACAAGCUGAAGAAUGUAUAACAAUUCCCUUAUCUGCAGAGAGUGCUUGAGCACUGCAAUGACCAGAAUACUCAGAGCAAAGUUAUGGAUGAGAUUUUAGGAGCUGUUAGCAUGCUGGCACAGGAUCAGUAUGGCAAUUAUGUUGUUCAGGUUCAUAAUUUUUCUUGAAUAUACUCUUUAUGGACUUUGUUUGGUCACAGUUAUUUAUUUUCAUGAGUUUUGUUUUUGAUUUGUGAUUUAUUGAUUUUCUUUUAAUCAUGGUUCAAAUUUGAUGUCAAAAAGUCAUUCUAAACAUAUUGUAGUCAUGAAGUGUGAUCAUAUGUAUUUUUUAUUGCUUUGGUUUGAGUACCAUAUCUUUGGUUAUCUAACCAACAGAGUCUCAUUACCAUAUAUCAGUCUUGCGCCUGUCAAAAACUAUUUAUCUGUUAGUUUCCCUAUUAGAUGAAGGUCACCUUUUGUUUUGUUUUGUUUUUCACCCCAUUACAGAUAUUUCACUUGCAAUAAUUAUUUGUUUGUUGUUUUCUUUUUGUUGUGAUCUCGAUUAUUUGUUCUUAGUAUGAAAUUGCAACCCUUGCGGCUUGUGAUAAAUGUCAGCAUGUCAUGUGUUGACAUUUGAAGCCUAAAUGAUUUUUCAUUGAAACUUGACUGUUCUCUUCGAACAGCAUGUACUGGAGCAUGGAAAGCCACAUGAGCGUUCUGCUAUUAUAAAGGAAUUAGCUGGGAAGAUAGUCCAAAUGAGUCAACAGAAGUUUGCCUCUAAUGUUGUAGAGAAGUGUUUAGCUUUUGGCGGUCCUGCUGAGCGUGAGUUACUAGUGAAUGAGAUGCUUGGAACUACUGAUGAGAAUGAGCCUCUUCAGGUUUGUCAAACUUCUGUGCUUAUUGUACACUUUUAUGUAUUUAUUAGAGUAAUGAAUUCAUCGUCUCCAAUAAAGGAUAACUAAGGUGUGAAAUAAGUAGUGGGUGAGGUUUUGUGGAAUGUAAUGGAUUUUAGUUUUGUAGAAACUCUCGUUAUGAGAACGCUCAAUUUAGAAUCUUGUGCUUUGUAAUUGGAUGUGUUAAAACACUGAAAUUUGAAAGGUUAUCAUUUUAUGAUUUAGUUUCAUAUACAUCAAGGGAAUGAGUAUACAAUGAAACUCACAAACUCACAAACACAAUUUUUUUCUUCCCUGAAUCUCCCAACCCUAAGCAUGAUCUCAGUUUAAUUUGUUUUUUCUUGUACAGGCAAUGAUGAAAGAUCAGUUUGCAAACUACGUUGUACAGAAAGUGUUGGAAACUUGUGAUGACCAACAACGUGAGCUGAUUCUUUCACGAAUUAAAGUUCACUUGAAUGCAUUGAAGAAAUACACUUACGGGAAGCAUAUCGUUGCUCGUGUAGAAAAACUUGUUGCCGCUGGGGGUACUUAUUCCUUCCUCUUUGCGAUUGAAUUUUUAUAACUGUGCUUUAUAUUUUAUGGAGAACUAUACACCUUUGAAAAUACAGAAGGCGGAUGUGUUAAUGUCAUAUCAGAAAGUGUUCAAAUGUUUUAUGAUUAUAUCUGAACAGUUGACUUGAUGCUUUCAUUCCAUCACCCUUUAUAUCAGAUUACUCUAGGUGAUUUAGUAUCUAGGGCACAAAGGUUAUGGAUUUUUUUUUGGAGUUAGUAAAUCAGGUUCAGGUUAUGGUUUUUUGUUUGGUUGAGUUAGUUUUUGUAAUAUGUUAAUCCUUACGUGGUUAUUUAAUGGAUGCAGAAAGGAGAGUUGCUGCUGCUGCUCAGUCGGCUCCUCACCCUGCUUAGGCAGUGUAGGAAAGAAAGUUGUUUGUACAGCUAACUGAGGCUAGUGUGUGUUUCCCUCUCUCCAUCGUUCGUAUCUUAGGAUCUCUGACUCUACCUAUCUUUUUCAAGACAGGUAGGAGGCAGGUUGGAAAUAAAGUUGUUGCUUUGUACUGGAAAACUGUACAUUGUGUAGUUUAAAAGUUUAUACAUAGAGUCGAAGCUAGCUGAGGUUCAGAUGUUGAAAGUUCGCUCGCACCUGAGGCCCCUGCAAGAGGAGAUAAAUGCACUAUACAAGUUUUUCUAAGGGUGUAAAAAUGAUUAAUGGUGAGUUGGUAGUCGUGACUGUACAAAAAUGUUGCCAUGUGGAGAGCUGUUCAUGAUUAGGCGAGGCCACAGUUUUUUUUUUAUAAUGUAUGGUAAUGACUUGUUUCUUUUUCUUCUAAUUACAUAAGGUACAGUUUCUAUCUGAUCAAGUAUAAUGAUCAAGGUUUAUCCUAUGUAUUUGCUGCUGUUUUUCAAUGCAUCAAUGAUCUUUUUCUUACACAAAACUAAUAUCUACUCCCUUUCAUCUUUGAACCACUUUUACGAGUAUAUCCAAUCUUGGGGCUUAGUUAUAAAAGUUUCCUUUCCGGUGCCUUUACAAUCGAAUUUUUUGUUGAUGUUUUUCCAAAGUGGGAUAACUAUUUGAGGAAAACACAAAAAAAAUUGACUCUUUUAUUUUAAGUUCACUGCAGUGUUUUGCACAUAGCUUCUUUCACUGAAGAUUUUGGGGAUUUGCAAAUAGAACAGUCUUCUGCACUUAUCUAAAUUGAGUUAAAUUUUCAGGUUAUGAUCUUUUCGAUUUUGAUUCCGAUGGAAACCUCUAUGUUGAUGUGAAGAGCUAGAAAGUCCUUUUAGUUCCAAUUUGAGUUUUGGUAAGGCGUGAAAUUUAGUUCAGUCACUUCAGUGUUUGAAAUUUAUAAGCAAGACAAACACCCCCAACCCCCUGCCGCAAGACAGGCACUUGUUCUUCGCCUAAAAGUCCCCCCAACCCUCCUCAUUUCUUCGAGGUCCCUGUCUCAAAAUUAAGGGCUCUAUCGAACUUGACACCAUCUCGAAUGUGUUCGAAUUGAAAACAUGGGAGCAAAAACCUUGGGAUCAACCGUUCAACAUCGCCGGCAUCAGAAAAAUGUCAUCGGCAAUACCAACUUGGUAAUGUUAAAUAUGUUCAGUACUGUUUUGAUAUAUUUCCCAAGUGCGCUUCUUGCAUAACAUUAUUUACAUCCCAAACUGAACAUCAAUCUCUGAGCUUUUAUAAGUUUUAUAGGUAAAAAAAAAAAAAUCUCUGAGCUUUUAUAAGAAAAUCACUGUUUAGGUGAAAUUUUCAAGCCUUUAUAAAAUGAAAACCGAAUUAAAGCGCUGGAAGGUUGAGUAACUACAAGUCUACAAGUUAACUGGCACUGCUGCCAGUGGCUUCAAGGGAAUCUACUAUUAACUCCUGGCUCAGCCACAUUACUUUGAAUUGUUAAGAAAACUUCAUAAUACAAGCUACAAAAAAGUUGAAAUGCUUACAGGAAGCAAGUGCAUACGUUUUAAUCAUCUUCAAACUCUUCAACCUUUUGUCCAAAUCCCUUAGGCCCUGCUCUUGCUCUCAGCCUCCUCUUCUUUCCACCCUUUUUCUCGUUAGCUUCCUCUUCUUUCUCAAUCUUCUCUCUCUCCCUCUUCUGCAAGUAAUCUGUCACACCUAGGUACACAACCUGAAUCCAAAACCCACAAAAUUCUCAAAACCCACCAAAAUAUUACUAAUUUAAGCAUUAUGAAAUUGAGAAGGCAAUUAAUUGUUCUGAGUUUACCCCAAUAGUGAGAAUGGUGAGACCAACAAAUGCAACAAAGAGAAGAACAGAAAUGGUCAUAGAGACACCAUCAUCACUAGUGGUGGCCAUUAUCUGCUGUGUGGUCUCAAUUGGGUUGGCUUCUGAAGCCACAGAUUCAACAGAGCUUGCAUAGGUUCUCCAAACUGGGGUGCUUCUUUGGUUGAUAUUGUCAUGUGGGUUGUGGAAAGUUGAGGUCUUUUUGGUUGAAAAAUUGGUUUGUGAGAGGAAAGGCAAAGGAUUUGGUUUCUGGGUUCUGAGAUAUUGGCAAUGGCUUGGUUUGAGAAUUGGGGGAAAAGUUGAUGGGGAUAGAGAUAUGGAUGUGGUAGCCAUUCCCAUUUGCUACCACUUUGUCUAUCUUCCUCUAGCCUCUGUAAUGAGUGAAGGGGUGAACUCUUGGGUACUACUCUAGUACACCAUUGUAAUGUGGUGCUCUGUACUGUUCUAAUCUCUGUUGGAAUGGUUCUUGAGAGGCCUAGUGCAGGAGGAUUGGGUCACAUUGUUCAUAGGCCCAAGGUUUUUUGGUUUUGUGUUGCUCAAUUGUGGGGUGUUAGAUUCAAUGGGCUGGGCCAUGGACUGUUGUCUUGCCAUUGAGGGUGGGCCUGGCCUAAGCGGUGGAACUCUUUGGACAGAUGGGUCGUUAAAAUGGUACAUGACCAAUCGUUUCAGAUCAAGGCGGCUUAUAAACGAGGAGAUGCUCAUAUUUGAUCGUCAGGAAAUGACUUUCCGUUGUUACCGCAAUUGUGAUUAACUAAGAGCAAAUGCACCCAUUUUAAGUGGGUUGGACCGAUUUUCAAUCCGGGUUAACAUACUAUUCAUCUAAAUCAGUCUUUGGCCGUAGGCUCGACAAUACAACAAUUAGAUUAAUCGAAUGACCAAUUGCUAUGUACAUUGUAGAAAAAAUAUUUUUAUAUUAACAUUUGUAUUGUUUUGGACCAACAUCAUAUGCAAAAUGGUGUGUAUAGACCCCCUGGAUUAAUCCGUGGGUUGAGGAUUACCCCAUGCAUUGGUCGGGUUAAGUGGGCUCCACAUAAGACCCAUGUCUAACCCAGACUAAUUCCUUAAUAGUGGAUGAUGUUUUUCAAUCCCAUCUUCGAUCCAAUCCCCAAAUUGCACCAUUGUUGCAUUUGCUCUAAUGGGGUGUAAAGAUGAUUAUACAAAGUUUCUUUGUUUGACAGAUUUCAUCGGCUGUUGAUCUAAUGAUAUGAACGUCUAUAUCGAUGAAACUAUAAAACAAUUUUUUUUUAUCAGGUUACAACUUAAUGAGUCGAACUCAUAACCUCCCACUUACUAAAGAGAGACUAUGCCGCUAGACCAAAUGAUAUUGGACUUAUAAAACUAAUAGCAAAUUACAUUAAAGUUACUAAUCAAAUUUCAGUUUACAAAUACAUCAAUUACACAUUAUCUUAUACAUUUAAGGACAAAAUUUAACAAAUUAGGACAAAUUAAUAUCCAUAUGCCAACUGUCACUACAAUUUUACCAAAUUACCCUUCAUUACAUAUUCUACUGCUACUGCCCACAACUCCAUGAGAAAUGUGCUACUGCCAAGUAAGAAGGUGCUACUACCGACGAAAAAUGUGCUACUACCAUCUGUCACUUCAUUACAUAUUCUACUGCUACUGCCCACAACCCCAUGAGAAAUGUGCUACUGCUAACAAAAAAUGUGCUAAUGUUGGCACUGUUGUAAUUGUUUUCCGACAACUCUCUGAUGCUGGCGUGCUGCUAUUGCCGACUCUGAUGCUUGAGCGCAACUCUAAUGCUAGAGCGCUGCUACUGCCUUCUGUAAGAUUCAUUUCUGAGCAUGUAUUGUAUUUGAAUUAGUGAGACAUUGAUUUUUUUUACUUUCUAUUUUUUGAAAGUGAAGACAGAAUCUAUGGGUGCUACUGUAUCUGGGUUUUUUGAACAUGUAUUUUUUGAAAGUGAUCGGCUGGUUUCCAUUUUAUGUUUGAUAGCACUGCUACUGACCUAUAGCUAAUGCGACUAUUACAUAUUAAUAGCAUUGCUACUAAGCAACAAAAUUAAUCUAGUACUGUUAUUUUGCUAUAGUUCCCAUUGCAAAGCAACACCCAAACAAGAGUAACCAAACUCCAGCCAACAAUAUCAGCAUAAUGCUUAGCCUCGGUAUCAAAACUAAUUUCAAAUUGCUAAUGAUGCCCAACAUUAUAUGCAAAACAUGGAAUUAAAUUUGCAAGAUAAAAAAUCGAACAAAAUUUUGAGCAAAUUGGGAAAGCAAAGAUUAGGAACCACAAGAAACGAUCUAUAUGGCUCAGAUUCCUCAACUUACAUGUAGCGGCAAAUUUACCCAAUCGAUAAGAACAGUUGCAAUUACCCUAUCAAGUAGAACAGUAGCAUCAAUUCCUUGUAGCCGUCUCCAUCGAUAGCCUCUGCGGCCAACAGCUUUCCCCUUGUACUCCGAAAAAACGAAGUUAGAAACCUCGAGCCGCUCUCCAGGCAGACAACAACGACCUUUUCUACAGCUUCUCCCCACAACACCACGACAUGAGAUCACCGCUCUGCUUCACGAUGUCGGUCUACUCAGUGAACCUAAUCGGUUGAUAGGAGGCGCAAGACUGACCUGAAGCUUGAUCCGAUNNNNNNNNNNNNNNNNNNNNGAGAGAGAGAGAGAAUGACAAGACCCACCCCGAAUUUCACCCUAAAACCCGGAGUAAAUCCUGUGGGGACCACCUCCAAGAAAGAUAUUACCGAAAAUUCGGCAUAACCUCCCUUGAAAAUGGACAACCCUUCUUAAGAAAACCUGCAAACACUUCCAAAAUUUUCAAUCCAACCUUAACUUCUGGAGCCUACGUGCUCCCUAAACACAACCACCACCAACAACAACAACCAACAUUAUCCAAACAUCAAAAUAUAAUUAUCCAAAGAAGAUAACAUAAAUCCUCCGACAAAUAUUCUAAAAUGUCAACAAGCCUUCGCCCACAACCGAAAUAAUAUUAUACAAUAUCCCCAAAGGAAAAUCAGAGCUACUAGACACUAGAGGAAGCAAGAAAAAACACAGGUAGGUUAAACAGGUAACCUACUGGUGAAAAGUGGUGGAAAUGUGGGUGACUAUGCCUCGUCUCCUAUUAGGUCCAACCCGAACUCUGCAGACUGGGUAUUUUAAAAGGAAGGGCCCGGGGGAAAACAUUUAUUAACGUUAGAGUGAGUGGACAAAAAUAAAUUAAUAAAAUAUUUAUGCUUCCCCAUUUUAAUUUCCAAAGAAAAAUAUACUGCAUGCGGCAGCUCAAAAGCGCUCAACUCAUAAACUGGUAAUUUCACGACUAGCUCCGGCUAGUCACCAACUCAAAUAAAAUGGAGUCUCUCAGGCUAAAUUAUAUAUAAUCAUAUAUUCGUAUGUAUUUACACUCGUCAGACUCCUUGUAUGAAUCCUAGAAACAAUUUAGAAAAAUAGAAAUUCAUACAAGACUACAACGCUGGCGUCUAACGCUCACAUUGCACCAUAAUGGUAUUUUUCCUCAUUAUGACCGAAGAGGACGGUGUAUUUAUAUACGUGUGGACUCCCUAUAUGAAAACCUAAAUAAACUAGAAAAGAAAAUAGUUUUCAUAUAGGGCUAUGACGCUAUGACGUUAGUGUCUAACACUCAUGUCACACCAUAAUGACAUUUUACCUCAUUAUGACGGACCAAACACGUAUGGCUAGCUAGCAUUUAUAUAUAUACUAUACUCAUAACAUCCAUAAACAUAUCUACCGAAAAUCUCAUUUUCGGGAUCUCUCCAAAGGAGGAAAAUUGCCAAAUAUCCGAGAAAGAAAUAAAUCUCAGGAAAAGAAAUAAAUGAUCAACAAGAUAAUUCAUUGCAUGCUUUGUAAUUAAAAUAAAGGUCCACUCACAAAUUAGGCCUAAGCCUGACGACGCUCCGAGGCUUCCUCUGCUCGGGCCUCCUCUCGUCCUGUUCCAAAUACAUAAUUAAUUUCCAACUAAAAAUCUAAUAAUUAAACACAAUGGGCAAACUUAAACGUGAGCCUCCCACACACUCAUCAUUGCCCAAGUUCGCCAUUCCUAACUCAAUAUGGCUCAAACUUUACCGAACAUACCGGCAGCCUUAAUUCAACAUUCUACAGAUUAAUGACUUAAAUCCUACGGCCGGAUUCUACAUUAAUUAACCGCCAAAAAUACCAUACUCCGGAAAUUCACAAACCUAUCCAAAACUCAUCCGAAAAUUUCAUAACUCACAUCAAUAUACUCCCCUUAAUAUUCCACAUUUAAAACCCUAAAAAUCUCCCAAGCAGUGGCGGCUCCGCCGGUAGCGUCGGCCGGAGGCCGAUUCCGGUGACCUCCAAUUCUUAUGAAAUUUUGAUAGCAUAAUCCUCUCAUCAUGCUCUACAACUUUUCUAACUAGCACAAACCCAAAAUCCAAGCCUAGCUAUGCCUAUCGAACAAAAACAUAAAAAACGCCCUAGAACUUCCACCUCAAAUUUCUCCUUACCUGAACCGGAGUGAGUCCUUUUAGGGCAAGACAGCUGGGUUGGAGACCUACAAAACCGUAUAUGGCUUGCCCGGAUUGGUGGCCGGAGGAGGGAGUUUCGACGAUGGAACCACCACGGCAGUCGCCGCUUUCGGGGGGAAGAACUCUUUCACGGCAGAGCUAGGGCAGCCCUCACCGGCCUAGAACGGAAGCUGGGUCGGAGGCCAACCGAACGGGACCGGUGUGGCGGCAGCUGGUGGCCGGAAGGCGGCUCACGGACGGCAAGAAAAACCGGCUGCGGGAGGGGCUCGGGUGGAAAACCGAGAGAGAGAGAGAGAGAGAGAGAGAGAGAGAGAGAGAGAGAGAGAGAGAGAGAGAGAGAGAGAGAGAGAGAGAGAGAGAGAGAGAGAGAGAGAGAGAGAGAGNNNNNNNNNNNNNNNNNNNNGAGAGAGAGAGAGAAUCAGAUCAGUGAAGAGAUAGAGAUGGAGUGGCAUAUUGAGGGGAAACGGGGCAUUUUCGUCAAUUCAAAUGUAAAAUUCGGGUCAGGCCUUCUACUAUUUCGUUUUUGGGCUGGCUUAUGUCUUAAUUUGUAUAAAUAUUAUGGUAAGUGAUUUUUUGUAUAUGGAUAUUCGGUCAGUAACUUAAAUGUAAUUUUCUCUAAAACUAAUUGCAUGUUUGCAUUUACUCAAUAAUUUCAAUUAACUUUCAUUCAAAAAGAAAAAUAAACUUGUGCGGGAGGUUGUGCAAUGUGUCCGUUACAAUUUUUUUUUUUUCCAAGAAAAAACUAUCAAACCAAUUCUAUCUAUGUUUUUUGCCCAAUCAAUCCUUUAUAUGAAUGGGACAAGAUGUCAUAACUUAUGAAAGAAAAUUGUACUUUCAUUAAUAUAGAAUUCUGAAAAUGAAAAUGAUGUGAUAAUCACCUAAUUAUUUCCAUGCUAUAGGCCUAAGGACAAUUUGGUGACAUACACAUGUGGUCUGGUAUAUAACACGUCACAUCACCCUCAUAUUUUGGUCAACAUUUUCUCCUCCUCCCAUUCUAAACCGUACGAUCAGACAUCUGUGAUAAUCCUCGGUUAUUAAAGCCCGCACCAAAGAAGCCCAUAAAGUACCCAACCACAACCUCCCAUAUUAAGUCCAGCUGUCCACCAACACCUCUCGUUCCCCAUUGGUCCACCCACUUGUUCUAAGCCCCAACCUUUUUAUUACAAAAAAGUCCCCAUUUCCAAAAGUCGGUACUUUUUUAACAAAACAAAAUUAUUCACUCCCCUGAAUUACCCAAACCGCCCUCCAAAAAGCGUGAUCGCUUUGCUGACAUGGACACUCCCAUCGAAUGACACACCUUUAUUAGAUUCUCACCCCCAUGGGCCUUCCCGUCAUUUCUCCUUGAGAUAAACCACACUCACGAAAGCGGAACUAUAGAGGCGUGUACCCAGUGAGGGAGCGAGUAAGGAUUCGAAUUAAAAGAGUGCGAGUGGGCAAGUGAGAUAUUUAAAAUAUCUGGCUAAGUCCGCCACGUCGGCAAGAGAUAUUUGCACUUUUUCCAGGCUUUUCCAUCACAAAUCGCAAAAAGUAAAAAAAAAAAAAAAAAAAAAAAAAAAAUUCUACCCCCUUUUUCUUCCUUCUUCUCCAAUUUUGUUCUCCGAAUCUCACGAAAUAUCUCUUUGUAUGAAUAUCGAUUUGCUUCAUCUUCUUCUUGUUUUCAGUCUUCGUUUCUUUCCUGAAUUUUCUCUCCAAUCGGAUCUCGAUCCCGACACGGAUCCGAAUCCUUGACCCGAACAAUUUACGGUAAUAAUAAUUUUAAAAAUAAGAAGAUAGAGUCUGAGCUUGGAUGGGUGAGGAGGUGAGGAUGAGCGAGUACGAAGGAGGCGGCAGCGGCGGCGACGGCGACGAGGAGAGAGUUUCCGAGUGGGAGACCGGGCUUCCGUCUGCUGAUGAUCUGACUCCGCUGUCUCAGCCGUUGAUUCCGGUCGAGCUGGCCUCGGCGUUCAGUAUCACGCCGGAGCCGUGCCGGACGUCGGUGGAUGUGAACCGGGCGUCGCAGAAGACGGUGUCGACUCUGCGCGGCGGGGCCCACUCGCAGGCGUAUUCGUCGAACUACAAGUCGUUUGACGAGAACAACGACAACAACAACCGGAGCGACGAGCCGAUGGUGGUGGAGGUGGACGAGACGGAGCUCUACGGCGGCGAGGGAUCCGAUUCGAGGAAAUCGAGGAAGGUGGACAGCCCCGAGGAGGCAGACUCGGCGCUCCGGAUCGAGAAUUCGUCCGGCGGCGGAGGCGGAGGGGGGGACGACCCGUCGGGUAGGGCGGUCAAGCGGCCGAGGCUGGUGUGGACCCCGCAGCUGCACAAGCGGUUCGUAGACGUGGUGGCCCACCUGGGGAUCAAGAACGCGGUUCCCAAGACGAUUAUGCAGCUGAUGAACGUGGAAGGAUUGACUCGAGAGAAUGUGGCCAGCCACUUGCAGAAGUACCGCCUCUACUUGAAGAGGAUGCAGGGUCUGUCCAACGAGGGCCCCUCCUCGUCCGACCCGCUGUUUGCCUCGACUCCGGUGCCGCAGAGUCUACACGAGUCAGGCGGUGGCGGGUCGGGUCACGGAGAAGGGCAUGGGAAUGGACACAUGCCCAUGUCUUACCCGCCGCCGGGAGCUAUGAUGGCUAUACCCAGUUACAUGGGCAUGCCCGGCGGGUACCAUGGGUUCGAGUCGCAUCCUUCGUAUAAUAUGAUGCAGCAACAGUAUGGUGGCAUGGUGUCGUACCAACCACAUGUUGCGCCUAAUGAGAAAUGAAAAUGGACUAGUGUUGCACAUUAAACUCAGGUAUGUCAGUUUUUUAGUAAGCUGUUACUGAUUUCACUGCUCAUAGUUCUAGCUUUUAUUGCUUUUUGGAUUCAGUCUCAUUGAAUUGAAAUUAGACCGUAAGUUUUUUGUAAUGGUCCGUUAGAAUCUAGACUGUACUGUGCAGUUAAGUAUUUACAUAUCAGUAAAUCAUGGCAAUUAUUUGGAGCUUUAAAUUAUGAUUUCCAUUUGAGUCAUUAGGCAUGCCAUGGUAGCUAGGAUCCUGUUUUAGGAAGGCUUAUAGUAGCUUCUCGGUUUUCUUGAGUCCAAGUUUCUUUUGUGGUGUAUAAUGCAGUUUUCUGUUGAUAACUGCUUACGAAUUUCAGGUUAUUUGUGGCAUGUUUUUGUGUAGAUUCAGAAGUUUGAACAAGUUGGCUGAAGCUAACUCUUGGAACUCAACCUGUAAGCUUGCUUGAUUGCUAAACUUGAACCUGACAGGCACGGGAAGGGUUUCUUAGGAAUUAUAUCAGACCUUUUAGAGGCAUAUUCCAAUAUCAUUUUGGGUCUUGUAUGAAUCUGGAAAUGUAACUAAACUUCCCUCUUUAAUCAAAUAUAUCUACCUUCCACUUACAUAACUGGGGAGGUUCAAUCCUAGUCUACAUAGUUGACAGCGAGGCAUCGAGUAAAUUCCUAACCUGUUACUAGUCUACAUAUGUUAUUCUCCAUUGUAUCAAUGAGGUAUUGGACCUUUUUUUUCCUGAAUCAAAGGAAACACUCAAUAAAAGAAGAAUAAAUUUCAGUUGGCUGUCUCUCUAUGCUCUGUUGAAUGUUUUUUAUCACCUUCUACUUUGAUCGUCAUGUUUACACAAUUAUGAACGUUUCUUUAUUAUCAGUAAAUUGGGCAGUUGCUUCAGUCAUUCAGUCAUCCUUUUUGUUCUCCUUUAUCUAUGCUUUUAGGAAAAUGUAAUAAUUCGUGGUGGAACAAAUUGUUCAUGAUUUGUGUACACUAUGCGUCUAUGCCUAGCUAUUGCAAUGCCACAAAUUGUUUUCCUUAUUUAUUUAUUUUUUUUCAAAAGGCCCUGAACAGUGAGUCAGUAGAGAAAUCUUGCUGAUGUUUUCAAGUGAUUUGAACAAUCAUGCUACUAGUUGGCAGUAUUUGUUUUUCCAUAUAGUGUGGCUUGAAUCAAUUUUCUCUUCAUCCGAGAUUGAUACAGGAACUUGCUGUUGAUGUAUUUCUUGCAUCCAGUAUCCUUUAGUGUCUUUGUUUUUACUUUUUAGUGGCAAGAUUUUGCAUUAUUUGCUGUUUAACUAUACAGAAAUUCCUCUAGUUUAUUAUUGGGAUUAGAAAGGAGGUUGAAUCAUGGGGUAUAAUUAGUUUGAUUUGUAAAACAUAAAGUGCUAUGUUAUUUCAUACUGUGUAAUUUAUCAUCUUAUACCAGAGUUCAUGUAAUUUAUUUGCUACUAGCCUAAUCAAUGGAUACCAGGAAGUUUUAGGAUGCUUAAACCCCAAAAAAAAGAGGAAAUAUGAGCAUAUGAUGAUAGGAAAAUUCUACAAUGUGUUAAUAUUGGUGAUGUAUCAACUUUGUCCUAAAGUCGUAAAAUGAGUCCUGAAAAUAGUAAUCUUAGCUCUCAAAGUUGUAACAUGAGUUCUUAAAGUUGCAAAAUUUUCUAGUUACAACAUUAGUCAUCAUAUGUCCUUAAAGUGGUAAAAUGUGUACUUAAAGUGGUAAUUGAGUCUUUAAAGUGAUUUAAAAAAAGUUGUUACAAUUUUGAGGACUUAUAUUACAACUUUGAGGAUUCAAUUACUACUUUAAGGACACAUGAGGACUAAUGUUAUAUUAUUUUUUUUACAACUUUAAGGACUCAUAUUACAAGUUGAGGACAAAGAUGAUGCAUCACAUACAUUAACACACCUUAGCCUUACCCAUGAUGAUAAUGCCCUAAUUAUACUGGCCAUUAACAUAAUUAUACUGGCCAUUAACAGCUACCACUUAGUUUUUUGAAGCCAGAAUUUUGUUGUGGAACUUGGGUUUAAGUACGGAGAAGCUUACCGAAGUACUUCUACAAGAAAGUGUUUCCCAUGAAUUUCUAAGUGAAAUUGCUAAAAUAUGGAAUAUAUGCAUUCUGCUUAACCCUGUUUGUUUGUUUGUUUGUUUUUUUUAAGAAACUUAUCCCUGUUUUAUAUGUAAUAACAUCAUAAUCAUUACUUUGUAAAAACUCUCCUUCAACCGAGUAGAUUUAGUUGAAAUGUUUGGUUCCUUGUUAUGAUUUUUGCCUUGGAUAUGAAAUUGAUAUGAUUGAACUAUUGUGUACAUCACUUGCAGAUGGUUCCACGGUACUAGAGUUGGACUUCAUCGGAAGAGUUGUAGAUGGUGAUAAGUGCUGAAUUUGCUGAUAUCCAAGGUGGCAUAUUAAGCUCCUAACUAUUCAUAGUUUAAGAUAGGCUGCUACUCCUGCUACCCAAGAUUAUAAUUGUUGUACUACUCGACUGGUUGUGAAUGAACUCUAUCUGUUCUUGUUGUAAAUUUGAGGCUGAAUUCUAGUUGAUGAAUAGACACUGAACAAAAAAUUGGGUCAUGUGAUUGGAUUGGUUUCUGAUGAUCAUUAACAUUUUAGCUUCUUGUUAUACCAUAAUAAUUAGAGGCAUUAGCAGUUUGUAUUCUGAAAUCAGUUGCCGUUGAAUGGUCAUUGUUGGUGGAGGAAACUUGAAGGGUCUGAGCUUAUAGUAGGUGGGGUGAAGAUGAUCGAUGGCUCUGAUAUGCUCUCCUAAUUGUUUGGGGAGACACUGAGAACCUUUUUCUUGUUAACGAAAUCUGGAACGAUUUCUUCUGUAUCCCAUCUGAGGUCUGAACAAUACCUUCGACAUUCCAAAGGUUAAGUGACUGUUGAAGUCCCAUUGUAUGCUGACCUAAACUUUAAAGCAACUGUUCGGUAUUGUUGCAGAUUCCACUUAUAUUUCAAUAGCACGUAGAAAAUCUCAUACUUUGAGGGUCUGCUCUGAGUUUCUUACCAUAAGUGAUUAAUAUCAGAACUCCAACAACCAAAAACACUUGGAAUCUGUAGAAUUCGCAGAGUUUGAAGGGUAACUUCGGCCAAGAAGGUUGAGAAGCAAACGCUAAGAAAUAAGUUAAUGCUCAGGUGCCUUGUACCAGGAGAUUUCCUUCUCUUCAGGUCUCUUCCGAAUGAGGAAUUGUACAGAAUCGUCCUUGAAAAGGCAUUAUAGUAUAUCAGGCAGCUUCCGUCCAGCUGCAUCCUGGUAAUUUCCUUAACUUCUUUUUCUUCAUCAUUUUUUUCAACCUUGCAACAUUUAUCCAGUUUCCAGCAUCCGCAUAUAGACUGGAUAAUAGCAAAUUGUUUCCUGCACUAUCCGGCUCUAGUUCUGAUAAAUGCUUAGCUGCUACCUCAGCAAGUUCAAUAUUCCCGUAAUUCCGACUUGCUCCUAAUAAUGCUCCCCAUACAAACAAAUCUGGCUCCAUAGGCAUCGCCUUAAUCAUGUCAUAUGCCUCAGUGAGAUUCCCUGCUCGACCUAGAAGAUCAACCAUACAUGCAUAAUGUUCUAGUCUUGGCAUGAUCCCAUGGUCUUCCUGCAUCAAUCUAAACAAGCUUUUGCCAAGCUCAAUCAUCCCAGCAUGACAACAAGCAGUAAGGACGGCAACAAAGGUCAAGUAAUCAAGUUUCAUGCUGUCUUCUGUCUUCAUCUUGUUGAAAAGCUCUAUUGCUUCAGUGCAAUACCCAUGAUUCGCGUAUCCAAAAAUCAUUGAGUUCCAUGUUACCGUGUUCCUUUCAGACAUCCUGCAAAACAAUGUCUUUGCUUCGUAUAUAAAUCCACAUUUAGCAUACAUAUCAACAAGAGCACUCCUCACAUAUACAUCAGCUUCAACUCCAAUCACCAAUGCAUAAGCAUGUAUCUCCUUACCACACCGCAAGUUUGUCACAGCUGCACAAGCAGGCAAGAGGCUACUGAUUGUAGCCGGAGUUGGCAAUAUUCCACUAUCCAGCAUCUGCUUAAAUGUGUGAAAAGCCUUACUAUUCUGAAAAUUCUUCACAAACCCAGAUAUAACCGAAGUCCACGACACAACAUCAGGUUCAAUCCCAUCCACGGGCAUCAACUUAAACAGCCUAGACGCCAUUGCCUCAUCACCCUUCUGCGAAAACCCAGCAACCAAAGUGUUCCAAGUAAUCAAAUUAGCCUUAAUCCCCACCACCUGCAUUUCCUCCAACAAAACCAAUGCUUCAUCCGCCAUGCCACGCUGACAAAACCCCGAAACAACAGCAUUCAAAGCCACCGAGUCUUUAUCAACCAUCAUAUCAAAAACCCGCCGCGCCUUCUCCACUCUCCCAUUCUUCGAGUACAUGUCAAUAAUUGCACUACUAACAAAAGCAUCAAACUCAAACGCGUGCCUGAGCACAACAGCAUGAAGCUUCUCACCGGUUCCGACAUCAGACAAAUGCCCACAUGCCUUGAGAACACUGGGAAUAACAAUCCUAUUGGGUCUACAACCCUCUCUUUGCAUCUCACUGAACACAUCCAUUGCCUGCUGGUAAAACCCAGAGCGAGCGUAGGCUCCGAUCAGAGCAAACCAGCGGCGUAUGUUCGUCUUGGGAAUUCCAUCGAACAGGUUCCGGGCUUGGGUUAGUUGGCCGCAGGCAGAGUAUAGAGCAAUGAGCUUGGAGGCGAAAUGGGUCAGACGGGCCAACCCGGUGGUGAUCAAAUGGGCGUGGAGUAGUCUUGCUGAGUUCAGUUCACGAUCACGGGAGUAGAUUCCGAUCAGCUUUGUGUACAGGUCAGGCGAGGAUUGAAAAGCACGGUGGGUGAAGGGAGUCAUUGGAAUAGUGAGCGUAAAGGGCGGGAAGAUGAGUGUGAUUUGGUUUCAUGUAAAGAGAAUGACUAUGCCAUGCAUUCUUCUGAAUUUUCCUUAUGACUAUUGGUAUGAACAUGUCCUAUUUCAGUGACAGACGAUUUUAUAGCCAUUAAUUGAAACCAACAAAACGUCCAAGGUAUCUAUGAUAAUUUGAACUGUUUAGAAAAGUAAAUGAAAAACAUAGUUGAGAUACCGGAGGUAAUUAAAUCAAAUUACUAGCACGAAGUGAUACAAAUGUGGUGAAAGGCGAGCUUCUAUAUGGUAGAAAUGUGUGAGACAAUUUUAAGGAUAAAAAAACUAAUAAAAAUAACUUCCUUCAAAUUUGAUGUUUUCUCAAGAUUUUAAUAACUCUAUAUGUAAUUCUAUUAAUUACAAAAUUAUUUAUAGAAAAAUGAUAGAUGUCAUGACUUUCCUUCGUUCUCAUGUAUGAGUGUGAUACUAUAUUUUGAAUAAAUGAAUAUUAUCAUUUCAUCUUAUAUGAUUUUAGUUUGAAAUUACUCAUACAUGUAAAGAUGAGUACAAUAUUAUUCAUUCUAAUUCAAAUGAGACAACAUAUUUAAUCGUAUGAAAUUAAAUCAUAUGUGUUAAUAUUUACUCAAUAAACUCAACUUUUAAGACCUCUCUAGUCGAUCUCUACAUAUCAGGCAGAAACAACUAUUCAUAUUUACGUUUUUAAUAAGUACUUGAUAUUCUUUUUUUUUACAAUUAGAACUUGACAUUUUGAGGCCUCUUCUACUAUGGCGGAAAUAACUAUACAUAUUUAUUUUUUCAACUCAGAAAAUAGAGAAAUGCCCCCACAAAAUUGGGAGAAAUAAUAUAGCCAAUUUUCCACAGCUAACAAAAUCUAACCGUUCAUUGGGCUCAACAGAUACGAACACCGGAGACACCCGUAUCAUCAUCGAUUUCCCAGACCGCCCAACACACAGAGCCACCCAACCCAAUCGCCAUAUACAAAGCUUAAGCUUAGCUUCUAGGGACAUGAAAGUAAUUAACCACUCCAGAAUCUAGUUUCACCAAGAACAUGCAUGGAUUUCUGGCUCUUCUGCCACAACCCCACACCCUCUAUUUCUUCAACCUCUCUUCUUCAAGAUCCCUUCUCUACCUCCAAAUCAGACCCAAAUCCUCCGCACCCAAUUUGGGUUACCCUUCAAAAACCAACCUGAAUCUCGUCGUCUUGUCUUCCCACUCUUCGAGUUUCUCAAGUUUCAGUAGCAAACGACGACGCUUUGUUACGAGAGCGAGCCGCAGGGAGUCUCCUUACGAAGUUCUGGGAGUGUCUCCUUCUGCUACUGAUGUGGAGAUCAAGAAGGCCUAUCGCAAACUUGCUCUUAAGUAUCACCCAGAUGUUAAUAAAGAGGUUCGGGUUUCAAGUUCGAAUUUUUAUUUUUUGGUACCUGGUUUGUUUUCUUGUUUGGUUUUACUGAAAAUGCAAAGAGUUUAAUUGAGUUAUCUAGUUAGCUCCUUCGUAAUCGGAAUUUGAAAGAAGUCUUUGCUGGAGUUCUGGUCAUAAAAUACAUGAAAAGUGUUAGCCAAUUGUAGAAACUAAUAUUGUUGAUUAGGAAAAGCAAUUACAUUCUUGACAUUGUUGAGGCUAUAAGCCUAUAAUGCCAAUCCAAUUUUGUGUUUAUGACAGCAACUGUCCAAGCACAUCAUUUUGUUUGCUAAAUUUUUAACUGUGUGUUGUGCUCUUCGAAAUUUCAAAUUUUCACUAUAUUCAAUAUUUUCAUUGCUUGGGAGUGUAGUCAGUCAGGGUAGUGGAUGUCAAUUGGUAUUCUGAUUCUGUGGUUUUAGCAUAUGGAUUUUAUCUGUAGUGAUUUGAACUUCUAGUAUAGUUUUGCUGGUCUAACUUUUCUAUGCUGUACAGGCAAAUGCGCAGGAGAAAUUUAUGAGGAUUAAACAUGCGUAUAGUACAUUGCUGAGUUCAAAAUCUCGGGGGAAAUAUGACUCUAGUUAUGGAUCUGACUAUUCCUAUUCUGGAUCUCAAAGAAGCCAAAGGAAGAAGGCUCCAGAGGAAGAAGAGUUUUAUGGAUUCGGUAAGUGAUUAGUAAACUUAAGUGCUUGUGGAAAACAUGUCUGCUCUUUUACAUAAAUAUUUUCAUUGUGAAUCAGUCUAGCUCAAUACCAAAUAUUUUUCAUUAAAAAAUGACAUGUUGCCAUUCAAGUAUCAACCUUGGCAAUUAUGAGUGAAGAUUUUAAUAAUUGGAUCAGUCAUUAAGCUAUCUUUUGGGCUAACUGCCAUUCAAAUCUGUAAUAUUUAUCCAAAUAAAUGGCUUCUUCAGAGAAGUAACGUGUCUGAUAGACCAAGAUAUUGUACCUAGGAGUCUAGGACCAAUCUAUUAUUAGGUAAAUAUUAGUAUGUUCUUAUUAUUAAGCCCUUCAUUGUGCAGGUAAUUUUGUGAGGGAUGUUCAAAUUACAAUAGGUAGAUAACUCUGUGAGACAUCAGACAGGCCUUAAUGUUUGCUUGCAUUGCCUCAUGUCUCAGCAAGCAUCAAUUUCAUUUAUCCUUUCUAUGUAAGUAAGAUUAUAGCGUGACAAGGUUUUUUGGUGCUACAGAGGACUUCUUUAGAGAUAUUCAAGCAGAAUUCCAGAACUGGGAAGAAAGUGCUUCUAAACAAGGAAAGCCAAGGAGUCUGUGGGAGGAACUGUCGGUAUGAUAUUAUAAAUUUCUCGCUGUACUUGAAAACAUGACCAUGUUAAUCUGUCUCCUUGUUGUUUAGAUUUAUGAUACAUGUAUGCAAAUACCAAGGUAGCAGGGAAACCUCACGUAUAUUCUGUAUUUACUAUUUACACACAUUGCAGGAAAUUGGAGAAGAAUUUGUGGAAUUUCUCGAGAAAGAACUCAACAUAACGGAUCCGGAGGUUGAACCAAAUAACAUCAAUGAAGGGCCUGAGAAGGGCAAUCCGUCCAGAAAUUCUGGGACAGAGAGAAUGGGAAGUGCAAGUAAAAAGGAAUCCACCCCGGGGGCUAGUAUUGAAGAGAAUAUUGAUGAGAUAGAAGCUACUCUUGCUCAGUUGAAAAAGGAAUUGGGAUUGUAGCACAGAAAAGCAGCUUUUCAAUUCUUUAGGAAACGUUUUGAUAAGAUGGAGGGGAAGAAAAUAGGAUAAGAAAAGGCAGAGGUAGAGGAUUGAUCUAAUACUUUCAAUCUUGGACAAAUGAUAGAAGGUUCUCAAGUCAAAAGAAAAAAUUAUUUCAGUAUUCUUCAAUUUCAUAUCAGGGCACCAUGUAGAGUAAGAUUACAGUGUUUUGCUUCCAAGAGUGUUUAGGCUUGUAUUGAAGCAUAUGGUUAUGAUUUCUCUUGUAUUCAGAUGUGGAUAUAUGAAAAUCAAGUGCUGUUCUAAGGAUUGUUACGCUGAAGCUUGGUCCUCGAUAUACUUGUAUCAGUUGUCUGUAUCCUCGACAGUCCCCAUGCUUCUAUGUCAUUAAAUUACAUUUUUUCUUACUUGGUAUUGUUCCUUCCAAGUACCAAAGUUUUGUUGCGUUUUGGUUGUGAUCAUUGGGUGGACAGUGUUAUGGUCGAGUGCAGUAGGAACGUGUUCUUGUUUUUUCAACUACUGUGCCCAGAUGAUCCUGCAACUUACAUACUGCUAUCAGAUGUGUUGUUGACAAGAGGCUAGAGGCUAGUGGGAUAAUACUGCAGGAUUAUGGAGCUCAUGUGUAUUUGUUAUAGUUGGAUUUGAUCAACAAAGGCGAUAUGUUUUCUUUAACUCUCUUUUUAGAGCCAGAGGUAUGAUGUGACCUGCAAGAAGCUCUGUGUUGCUUGGACCAGGGAAGGGAUACUACUUUUUCACAAACAAUAUCUGACCCAGGAUUUUCAUUUUUUCCCAAUUAGGAGGAUCCCAAAAGACGCAAAUCCAUUUGUGAUGGAAUGCAACGUGUGUUUGAUGUUUCUUUUACAAUCAGAAGUGUUCCCAAGCUUGAGGCAAAGGAAAAGGAAGAUAUAUGGUUAGUGCAUGACUUGGUCAAUUUCUAUUUCAGGAAAUAACCAUUCUUGUGUUGCAUGUGAAAAUGGAGCCCGUAAACACACCACCCUAAUUGACUUGUGGAUCUUGUUGGUCGUUUAGGCAAGAACCUCGGAAGAAAAUGGCAAAACUCCAUAAUAAGUAGAGGACAUCCAGAGACCAGAAUCAUUUCGAGGACAUCCAGAGACCAGAAUCAUUUCUACAGCAGAGGCACUAGUCCAAGAAACCCUUUUGAAUUGAAGAACUAUGGCUCAACUCGAACGUCCGCAAAGACAUGGUGAUGCUGAAGCUACAACGCCCUCUGAGCAAAGAAAACUUGCUGUUAAUCCUACUAUGGAACACUAUCUUCGAGGUAUCGUCAUGCCAUGUUACGAUCAUAUGGGAUGAAUAUUUGUCCAUUACCACCUGACAUAUUGUUGAAUUUGUUUAUGAUAAUUUUGUGCUUCUUACCAGGAACUGACUUUUUGAGGUCGUCAUCACCAACAUCCUUAUCAUCUCCAGUUGCGAGCCAUGAUGCCGAAGAUGAUCACAACCACCAUCAAAAGAAAUCGGUUCUCACCAAGGUGAUAGAGAAAGCUAAGAAACUGAAGCACUCACUCAGCACCAAGAAGAAACAUCAUGACAAUGAUAGCCAUGAGACCGAUACUAGCACCCCUGCAUGGAGUGCUAACUUGAAUGACAAUGAAGUUGAAGAAGAAGAUGCUGAAUACCUAGGAGCGCCAAGUAAUAUGCUUGUUCACAUUUUCUGAAAUAAUAUGCAACAGUUUCUUUUGUAGUUCUUGAAUGCUCCUUGCAUUGUUCACCUUUCUAAUUGUUGUGUUAUUUUCAGUGUACAAAUCAGAGACAGCACCUGAAGCAUACAGGGAGACCGCAAAGCUACCAAGUCCUGUGCUUUCUGAGAAGCAUGUUUUGUCGAGCGGUUACAGUCAGAACUCUGAACAUAAUAAUGAGAAGUCUCCUAGUUCUGACCAGAUAGUAGCCGAAAGCGUGAUCACAAAGCUUCCCAAUGAGAUAUUCACAGGAAUUGUUCUCACGAGGACUCUUAGUUCUAAGGAGACAGCAACUAAGGCUGCAGCCACAAAGCCUCAUAGUCCAAAAAAGUCAGUAAGUGCAAGUAAUUCCCCUCUCAAGCCUCACAGCAGUCCUAGGCAGACACUAACCGAAUCUGAGGCCACAAAGAUUCUUAGUCCUAAGAAGACAAUAACUGAAACUGUGACUGAGAAGUUGGGAGCAGGCUAUGCCACCGUAUCUGAGAAGUUGGGAACAGGCUAUGCCACCGUAUCGGAGAAGUUGGGAACAGGCUAUGCCACAGCAUCAGAGAAGUUGGGAACAGGUUAUGCCACAGCAUCAGAGAAGUUGGGAACAGGCUACAACACAGCAUCAGAGAAAUUAGGAACAGGCUACAAUGCAGCAUCAGAGAAGUUGGGAACAGUGACCCAUACAGCAUCAGAGAAGUUAGGAACAGUCAGCCAUACAGCGUCAGAGAAGUUAGUAGGACCUGCUUAUGCCACAGUAUCAGAUGCAACACAUGCAAUUGCGUCGAAGAUAGAAAGUCUCACUGUGUCACCCCCAUUUCCAACAAACAGAGAGAAUGCCACUGCUUCACGCCCGGAUCCCUCAAAAAUAAAAGGUCUCACUGUCACAGCCCCACCACCUUCACAGAGCAUUACAGCUUCUCCACAAGCAUUGUCAGCAUCAGCAGCCGAGCAUAGAUCUUUGACACGUGUAGCUCUAGAGUCUCCACAACCUUCAUCAGCCCCAGCAGGUCAUGGAAAGACUGCCGAGCAAAUAUGGGACAAGGGGGUUUCUGUAAAGGAGUACUUGAUUCAUAAGUUUGAGCCCGGGGAAGAUGAGAAAGCACUUUCACAAGUGAUAUCUGAUGUGAUGAGUCCGAGGAAAGGUCCAGGUGAAGCUGGUGUGGUGGAGAAGGUGAAAGGGGCUAUAACUUCAUUGCUUCGGAACGAUGAAUCCCCCAGAGCUACUACUAUUUCACAGUCACCAUUGUCCUCAACGCAGUCAGCCUUGUGCCCAACACAGUCAGUUGUGUCCCCAAUACAGCCGGCCUUGUCUACAUCGCCACGCAUUCCCAUCUCUACCAAUGCUUAUGAAGGUAACUUCUUGUUCUUUCCUUCAUUCAACUAUAUAGAGUGCAAGAGUGCAAGAGUGCAUGCAAGGUGGUUCUUAUAAAACUAAUGCUCACUUGCUAAAUAUUUGACAUAUUAGUGAUACUACACUGUCAGUUAAUCUGAUUCAACAAUUUUACUGAUAGUUUAACAACAAAAUUUCAUUUAUAGAUUCUCUACGUGACACCGAGUGUCAAGCUGUAACUUCUGUUGAGACAUGGCUCUGAUACCAAUGAUUCAUAUGCUAAUAUUGUCUCAUAUGCUCCUGCAUCAAUGAUUCAUUCUCAUAGUCCUUUUUCUAUGUGUUGCAGUCGUUGAGGAAGAAAAUCGGGGAAGAAUACCUCAGGCUAAUUGAAAGGUGGAAUGAAACUCAGAAACUGUUGAUAAUUAAUCCUCUAGAGUUUAGUACUAGUAUAUAUACAUGUAUCAGUAGUUAACAAGUAACAAACAUCAUUUAGAAUGUUUGUGUAAGCUUUGUAUUUGUGGACAUAUCCAGCUCCGGAAGUUCAGACAUGUAAGUCAGAUAACUGAACUGAAUUCCUGUGAGCAAUCUUUGCUAACUAAAUUGUUUUUAAUUUUAAUUAUUAAGGUUAUUCGUGAUGUCCUGAAAACCUCAUAUUCUGUAGUCAGCCACAGAUACAGUAGACAUGGAAUAGAGAACUCAGAAGCACUGUUAAGAACCAAUUCUUCUUUCUUUGAUUUAUAUGCAUAAGAUUCACAUCUGUGAAUUUUUAGGUUCAUCUCGCUUGGUAUGAGAAAAAGGUAGCAACAUCAGUAGCUAAUAUAUUCAUGAGAACGAAAACAAAGCACUAAAUUCCAUGAGCAAUGAAGUGUAGUUACAACAAAAUUAGGAAUAUCAGUCUAUAAUGAAGGACCAAGAAAGCAAUAUCUUCAUUUCUUCAUCUCCCACUCCCAUCAAUCUGUAUAAACAGCUUAUAGUUGGUAUUCGCAGCUACCAUCGUCACUCCUAGCUGUUGGGUCGAAGUUUGAGGCUGUUCGAUCAGUACAUCCUUCAGGAACUGGUACAUGAACUUGUUGGGCUGCCUGGCCUGCAUCACAUAAUUCAUGGAAAACUUUGAUCAGAAUCACUACUCUAAUUAAGAUAAGAUAUAUACGUACUGAUAAUGAUCAAUCAGGGAGAAGAGAGUAUAUUAAAAUCGCCCAUUGAAGGCUUUAAGGAUAAGAGAGUGCUAACCAUAGAAAUCUCCUCUCUUGAUAGAAUCCUGGUUUGCAUCUCCAAGUGCUGCUUGACUCAAGUAAGUCUCAGCAAGUUGAACUCUCUUGACAUUGUCCUGCUCUUGAACAAGCAUGUUACCAUACCCAAGAAGCUUCUCCAGUGUCAUCUUAGGCUGCUCAAAAGUUGGGAGACCUUCUUUUGAGUUCACAAGCUUCUUCCCAAUGCCGUCUACUCCAACACCAGAUAUCCACUUCCUCACUUCAUCAUCGUAGACUCGAGCUCGAAGGGCACCAAAGAAAUCUGCAAGAAUUGCAUAUGACAAGUUAUGACGAUCCUAGUUCACACACAUUUUCAUUUUCAUGUAAAGUUGAUCGAUAUAUAUAAUAUGGCAAACACGCCAUGCAUUUCUAACAUCUUGGUUCAUGCUUGUUUCAAUGUUUAAUCUAUGCUUACCAAUAGAUUGACCAGGGAAUGUGUCUACAAUCUUAACAACAUCCUCCUCAGGAAUAUUAUCAGUCUUGAAGAUUCCGAUGCAAACACCAAUCCUGUCUUCCCUUGUGGGAGCCCAAUAAAACUUCUCCAUACGACCAUCACGGAUAAGAGGCGCAUACAAUGUAGAGAAGUCAUUACCAGUGACUAUAAUCGGCACUCUAGCAUUGUCCUCCUUGUUGUACAUACCGGGGAGCUGCACAUUUGUUGGGUUAUCAGCAAUGUUCAUGAGGGUUGCGUUGACCAUCUGGUUAUUCACAGUGUACUGUGUGGUUCCACCCAUCCUACCAGCACCUGCAUCUAGAUCGUUGAUGAAGAGGGCACACAUUUUUCCUUUUCGGAUGAUGUCUGAAGCCUCACGAUAUCUUUGUCUGAUCAACUUUGCUGGUUCUCCUGCAUUCCCACUUUCUAAUUCUCCAGCACUCAUCAUGAUGGGGCUGAAAUGUAAUCAUUUUAUAAUUAAUACAAACAAAACUACAAAAGAAACAUAUCUUAUGAAAAAAUAAUAGCAGCAAAUGCAAAUAAAACUCACGUAAUUCCCAUCUUGGCAAACACAAGCUCACACUGGAAUGAUUUUCCCUGACCUUUUCCUCCCCAUAUACCAAGAAUGAGGGGAAUCUAUACAUGAGAAAAUAAAUUAAUAAAUCAUCCGAGGUAUCAAAAAUCGACAAUCACAAACAGAAUAUUGUCGAGAAACUUAUGUUUGAUAAUAAUAAUAAUACUAGAGGCAAUAAAUGAUUUCGCAUAAGAAAUGACAAUUUCUUAAUUCUUAGAAGUAACAGCAUAAAGUAUCCUAAUGCAUAAAUAAAUGAGACGCUGUCAAAUCAGUUGGGAUUUAAAGUAUAUGCGGAUUUAAAUUCUUGUAUGUAGGAUCGUCUCUUACCUUAAUGUUAGGCAGGCUCAUGAAGUUCUUGGUGAUAUGAACCACAAGCUUGUCCAUGAAAGCUGGAGCUAUGUAAAACCCAUCCAUGUUGUUAUCCAAGUUGUACCUGAAACACACAAUUCAGCAGCACUCUAAUCAUGACCACAGCCUCAAUUCUCUUCUAACAACACAAUUAAGUUUAACAUAUCAAUGGAGAAACUAGCAAGCAAUUAGUUCUACAUGUUUCCCUGCUUACGUUCGAAGUCCAGUGCUGACGUAAUCGUAAGAGCUCAUGAUGGGAUUGUGAGUCCCAGUUCCACUGGGAGCUUGGAACACAGUAUCAACCAUUCCCUUUCCUCUUGUAAUGUCUUGUUGGUCAUCAGAAAUGUCAUAAGCUAGGCCUUUCCACUUGUCUGUUUUCGACUGCUUUGUCUCAUCGAUUUCUGCUGUGAUUCUCAAGUUACCUGCAGAUACAGUUUUUUGGUAGGAGAGUCUUGUGUUGUUGACCUUCUUCAAACUGCUGCCCAAGAAAGCUGAGCUUGGGAUUGAGCUUCCAGCACCAGAGCUGUUCAAGCUCAACUGCAUUAAAUAUAGACCAACAAACAAGGCAAUAAUUCAAAUAUAAAACAUCACAAACUUUUCACUUGGUUUCUCUUUUGAUCGAGCAAAAACCACUUGAAAAAAAUAUCAAAACUCUUGUAGUUUAAAGAAUCACAUAGAAAAAUAUAAUAGAAAAACACUUUUGGGGUAUCCCACAGUAGAUUAAAAGAAAACAAUAUGGAAACAGUUGAGAUAUAAAAAUUUGGCGGGAAAGUACGGGUGUUCUGUUAACAGCUCCAACAGUUGAGACUGUGGAAGCCAUGGAUCAAGGUGGUGUUGAUUUCCAAAGAGCUUGUGAGUAAUGCAAUAAAGCUGAAGAUGUUGAAGUGUUGGUGGGAUGGAUAUUAAGAAGAGUAGGAGAUUAUAAGUGUGGAGUGAUUGAAAUAUCUGUGGUGUGGUUAUGAAGUCCCUGAAAGCCACACAAAUAGGAUUGGCUGAGUGACACAUGGCUUUCUCUGAACAAAAUAGGAUAUGCACCACACUUGUAAAACUUGGAAAAACACUAUUAUUGGAGAUCAUUUGGAGGCUUUUAGGCUUUGGAAUUGAUUUUUUGUAGGUAUCUAUUUAGUCUCCAAACAGAUUUUUAUUGUGUGGAAAAAUAUCUAGGGACUUUUAGAUUCUGGUCCAGACUGUGUUGGCCUUGGUUUGGAUAGAGUUUGUUCCACAGUUUUCACUUGGGUGUCCUGUAUUGAAUCUAAUGAAGAAUAGUGAACUCACAGCCACUUAUUUCUUUUAGUUGUUAUUUUGUUAGCUUUGGAUCCAUUUGUGAGUGGCCAUUAACUCCUUGGUAGUUCUUUGGUAACCAAGUGACCAAGAUUGCAGGAUUCUAAACACCAAACGAAUUAGACGUUUCAGUAUCAUAAGUUGGAGAGUACAGUUAAAUCUAGCACUGGAAAAGAAAAAUUAAAAAUAAAAACGUCUACUAUUUUUCAUCUCCAUAUCACGAUGAAUUGAGACCUGAUUCAGGUGCUCUGUGUGCAGUUAAAUUUGCUUUGUGUAAACUGAUAGCUCCUUAGAAUCUCAUUCAUUGGUCACUCACCAUUCCUUAUACUAAAGUGUCAUGAAAUUGAGUCAUAUAACGAUGUACAUAGUUGUGGAACAGAUUUACAUGAUUAUGUGAAUCUAUCUGUCCAUAUAAUAGAAACAAGCAUGGCUACAGACUGGUGAAUACAUGUCAAGUCGGGAAACUUACAAUGACAGAUUCUGGACGGACGGUUAGCCUCUAUUUCAAGAGUUUGGAUUCUAUUUCUUCCAAACUCAAACCUUUGGUUUCUGGGACGAUUAGCACAACAAACAGAAGAGAUAUCAAGGCGAUAGCCCCAAAAAGGAGGAAAAGGUUGUCUGCUCCUAGUGCCUCCUGCAGAAUUAUCAAAUGUUAAUGGACCACUUCUGUACUAGUCCUCCAAAAGCCCAGUCAUGACAUAUGAAACUAGUUUAUGCGAAUAGAUUGACAUGCGUUAUAUACCUUCAAUGGUGAGAAUGCAAAUGUAACAAGGGCAUUUGAACCGAAGUUAGUAAGAACUGCAAGACUAAUCCCUUUUCCUCUUGUGCGAAGCGGGAAUAUUUCAGACACCAUAAGCCAACUUAUAGGACCAAAAGAUAUCUGAAAAGGCAUUUGAGCACAAUAUUCAAUAAUGUCAAAAUCUGUCUUAAUACCAGAGACAAAAAAAAAAUAUGACAUUUAAAUUAGUAAGCCCCAUCCCCUUCUUUAUGAAGAAGUUGGAAUAGAGCUGUGGUGCAGGUGAGGGAGGAGUUUAUGUCGAGUUUUAAGAUUCUGGUUUACAGGUGUGACUUACCCGUACAACAAAAACAAUAUUGUGGUGCUAUUAGACUAUUCCAUUUAAAGAAAACAUCAUAAGAAGAUUGACAGAGCCAAAAGAACAAAAUACCUGGUAGCAACCAACAUAGAGAAGAAGAGAAGCUACAGCAACUAGUGGGAACCCCCCAAGAAAUUUGUAGUAAGCAGAGAGGAGAAACAAGGAAAGAGCCUGACGUAAAGAGAAUUAAGAACAAAUAGACCUUGCAUCAUCAUCAUUACCGUUUAAAAUGUCACAAAGUAGAAAAUAACAAAAAAAUAAUUAACUAAAUUAUUGAAUAGUUAGAAUGCAUACAAGACCACUGACUCCUAGUAUCAGCAAAGGUCUUCUUCCUAGAUCAUCAACUUUCAGGACAGCUACCCCUGUCAUCACGAACUGCAGAAACAGUCAAAAAAAGAGAAUAGUCAGACCCAAAAGUGGAGCUUCCUACAGCAUUCCCUCCUAUAUCAAAAUUAUCUCUGAAAUGAAUAUCACAUGUGCACCUUGAACAACCCAAUUAUAACCGAUACUUUGGUAGCAUCAGCAGCAGCGGAGAAUCCUGCACUCUUGAUUGACAAGAUGACGAAGAGUAUCACAUAGUUAGGCAAAAUGACAUCAAAGAAAACAAACUUUACACACCUGGAAAAAGUUACAAUAAUAGAAAAUUUGAUACCUGAAGAAUUGGACCUGCGUAAUAUAGGACACUUGGUUGCCCUGUUAUCUGAGAAGUCAGGUAGCAGAUUGGCUUACUAAUUCUUUAUAUUCUCUCCGUUACAUUAUUUUUUAAAUAAAAGAAAGUUAAGAAAAAAAAGAAAAAAAAGAAGAGAUAAACUCAUUUCAUUGUAGCGAUGAGGAAAGAUUACUUGUUGAAAAAGGACUAAACCCCCAGCAAUUAUGAAGGCCUUCAAACUUGGGCCUUGAAAGAUCUCCAUCAAACUCCCCUCUGAUUCCUCAUCUGCAUAGGAUGACUUCAAAGUAACAAAAGUCUCUUCUAUUUGUUUUUCAGACACUCUGUCACCAGGAGGCCGGCCUCUCAACUUGCUCAAGGCAAGAACAGCUUUUUCUUUGUAUUCUUUCACAGACCCUUUACCUUGAGCUGGCCUGAGAAGCAACCAUCGAGGAGAUGGUGGGAGAAUCCACAUGCCUAUUCCCAUAAGUAAAGCAAUGGGUGCACUUAUUCCAUACAUGUAACGCCACCCCCCAAUUGCAUCAAUCUGAAAGCUUCCUACUAAAUAACCCAACUGCAUACAGAACGUCUCACUUUAGUUUAGAAACUCAAUAACAAAAACAUCAACAUAAAAAAUUUGUUAUUUAAACAAUACCAGGAUCCCCAAAACUAUGAAGAGCUCCUUCAAUGACACUAGAGUUCCGCGAAUUUGAGAUGGACAUGUUUCAGCAAUAUAGAGUGGAGCCCCAUGCAUGGCCUGUCAAAACAAAUCAUGAAAGGUUUUCAUUUUUUGCUUAGUUAGAAGCUAAGGAAAACUGAAAAGGAGCUUACCAUGCCGAUGCCGAUGCCAUAUAAAACACGGCCUACUAAUAGAACACCAAGGCCUGGAGCACAUCCAGUGAUCAGACCCCCAAGGAGAUAAAGUGUAGCAGCUAUGAUGAGUUCUCUCCUCCUUCCUUCAUGGUCCAUUUAAAAGUCUGAAUUAGAAAUGAUAUAUCAUGAAGCAUUGAAGCUUCAAAACCUCAAAGUAAAAGAGUAAACAAAGCACACACCAAGGAAAUCAGCAAUUGGGUAGACAAGGAGAGAACCAAAAAGAGCUCCGUAGAGGGAACCACUAACCUGCAUCAAAACAAUGUACUUUAUGAUUAUUGAUGUCCUUUUGGUUUUUUGGUAGACGAGCAGAAGAAUUCAAAUGACACAAGCAAGUUAACUAAGAUUCAAUAUUUCAUACCACAAGACCAAGCUGAACAGCUGUCAGAUUAAACCAACUUGUGCCACUAAGCUCAGCGGACUGUGACAUGUCAACAUAGAAACACUUUAGUCACACUUGAUCAUCAAAACCAUGAAAACAAACCACUAGAGUUGACAAAUAUACCAUUAAUGAGAUGGUAGCACCAGAGGUAGCACCAAUGUCAUAGCCAAAUAACAGACCACCCAAUGCCGGAAACACAAAACUAGAAUUCCAAGAAGCUGGUUAUUAACACAAUUUACAUGAACCAGAAAGUAGAGAAAUACUCAAACACAAAUUCAGCAGAUUGCAGUCUGUACAUUCAUCUAAAAGCUGCUUAUUUCUUAAAAUUUUAUAUUAAACUACAAACUGUAACUUGCUACUGUUCGAAAAGCACUCAACUUGCUUCAGUCCCAAAACUAAAGCAUGCCACUAUUUCCCCAUUAAGGUCCAAUUCAGAUCAUCCAUUACAUUGGCUUCCAAAAUGUUACCCUUACUACUAAAAACAGUAGACAGCUUUUGAAGCAUAAAUUUCAACACAAUGCAGUAUGCAAGUUCAUCUAUAAAGCUCCUUCGUUCUUCAGUAUAUAUAUUCACUUACAAGGCAUAGUUUGCUAUCCUUCAAAAAUCACCAACUUGGUUCAGUAACCAAAACUAAAGCAUGAAACUUUACCCCCAUUAAGACCCAAUUCAGGUCCUCCAUCACAUUGGCUCACAAAUAGUUACAUUACAUAAAUGAGGUCAAAAAAGAACACCUAUUUCCUAAAGCAUGAGAAGAACUCAUAUAAAUAAACAAACUAGGUAGAAACGUACGGAAUAAUCACAGAAACCCAAGAAUAAUCCUCCUGUGGAGAUGCCUCAGGAAUAAGAGACUGCGACUCAUCCCCUGAAGAAUAGUCAUUCUGAGACCCAACCUACAAAAAAAAAAAAAAAACAACCAAACAAUGCAAAAUGAGUCCCAUAACACAUAAACCCAGAAAGUAAAAAAGCAGAAACUGAAAUGGGUUGUUUGCCUUGACACUGAAUCUGAGUUGUUUUGAUGAUGAUGGGUUUGUGAAAGUGCCAAACUUGGCCCUGAAACAAGGGGAACGAAGGGGUGGAGGGGUAAAGUGGGCAUUAGAGAAAAGUGGGAUUACAGGUUUGUUCUUCUUGAGUUGAUGAAGUGGUGGUGAGUAGUGUGUGUGGUUGAACAGGGGCCGAGUUGAGAAGGCCAUUUUUGGGUAGUGGAUUGCUCCAAAAGGUUGUUAAUAAGUGUUGAUAUUUCCCGCUUCAGUGUCUCUUGGUCUGAUCAGUGAGUAGAUAUUUUGAUUGACUUUUUGACCUGGAUGAUUUUGUAGCGCUUGGCUUCUUCAAUCGCUGAUACACCAGAAUGGGGACAAUGUGUGCGUACGUGAUUCGUUUGGAAUGGGAUUUGUUCUAAGCAUCCACUAUCCAAUAAAGUAAAGAAUGGUGUCAAUACUCAAUAAGACUAGGUUUGGCCAUACGAUCCUCAACUGAUGCCGACCGUCUCGUUGAUUUUCGCUCACGUUUUCCAUUAGUUUCACUGCCUACUCAUUGUUGUUCCUAGUGUUGUGUCUAGCGUUCCACUUGAUCAUCCGGAGAGAUUUGUUCCUUGCGGUUCUAUUUGUAAGUGUUGUUACUUUUACACAUUCCCAUAAAAAAUAAUGAAAAAGCUUAAAAACCACAAAUUAGACAAGAUUUUACUCUCUUGUUCUUGUGUAAGUCAUCCACUCAAUUCACCAGCUGUUCUUUUGAGAGUGUGGUUUAUGAGGAUGUUCUGUAUCUUUUUUCUCAAUUGUCAAGUUGCACGUUCACUCAUUUUUAUAGGGUUGAAAACCAUGUUACUCAUUCCUUUGCUCGUUGAGCUCUCAAUUGUAGACCUUGUAUAUCUUUUUUACUUAUACUCCUUCUUUUCUGGAGGAUGUAAUUACUAGUGAUUGUAAUUAACCUUACUUAAUAUAAAUUUUUCGUUUCUUCUAAAUAAAAAUAAAAAAAAUUGUCAAUAGUCUCAACGAAGCACUUUUACCAACGAAUCAAACCUUUUUUUNNNNNNNNNNNNNNNNNNNNNNNNNNNNNNNNNNNNNNNNNNNNNNNNNNNNNNNNNNNNNNNNNNNNNNNNNNNNNNNNNNNNNNNNNNNNNNNNNNNNNNNNNNNNNNNNNNNNNNNNNNNNNNNNNNNNNNNNNNNNNNNNNNNNNNNNNNNNNNNNNNNNNNNNNNNNNNNNNNNNNNNNNNNNNNNNNNNNNNNNNNNNNNNNNNNNNNNNNNNNNNNNNNNNNNNNNNNNNNNNNNNNNNNNNNNNNNNNNNNNNNNNNNNNNNNNNNNNNNNNNNNNNNNNNNNNNNNNNNNNNNNNNNNNNNNNNNNNNNNNNNNNNNNNNNNNNNNNNNNNNNNNNNNNNNNNNNNNNNNNNNNNNNNNNNNNNNNNNNNNNNNNNNNNNNNNNNNNNNNNNNNNNNNNNNNNNNNNNNNNNNNNNNNNNNNNNNNNNNNNNNNNNNNNNNNNNNNNNNNNNNNNNNNNNNNNNNNNNNNNNNNNNNNNNNNNNNNNNNNNNNNNNNNNNNNNNNNNNNNNNNNNNNNNNNNNNNNNNNNNNNNNNNNNNNNNNNNNNNNNNNNNNNNNNNNNNNNNNNNNNNNNNNNNNNNNNNNNNNNNNNNNNNNNNNNNNNNNNNNNNNNNNNNNNNNNNNNNNNNNNNNNNNNNNNNNNNNNNNNNNNNNNNNNNNNNNNNNNNNNNNNNNNNNNNNNNNNNNNNNNNNNNNNNNNNNNNNNNNNNNNNNNNNNNNNNNNNNNNNNNNNNNNNNNNNNNNNNNNNNNNNNNNNNNNNNNNNNNNNNNNNNNNNNNNNNNNNNNNNNNNNNNNNNNNNNNNNNNNNNNNNNNNNNNNNNNNNNNNNNNNNNNNNNNNNNNNNNNNNNNNNNNNNNNNNNNNNNNNNNNNNNNNNNNNNNNNNNNNNNNNNNNNNNNNNNNNNNNNNNNNNNNNNNNNNNNNNNNNNNNNNNNNNNNNNNNNNNNNNNNNNNNNNNNNNNNNNNNNNNNNNNNNNNNNNNNNNNNNNNNNNNNNNNNNNNNNNNNNNNNNNNNNNNNNNNNNNNNNNNNNNNNNNNNNNNNNNNNNNNNNNNNNNNNNNNNNNNNNNNNNNNNNNNNNNNNNNNNNNNNNNNNNNNNNNNNNNNNNNNNNNNNNNNNNNNNNNNNNNNNNNNNNNNNNNNNNNNNNNNNNNNNNNNNNNNNNNNNNNNNNNNNNNNNNNNNNNNNNNNNNNNNNNNNNNNNNNNNNNNNNNNNNNNNNNNNNNNNNNNNNNNNNNNNNNNNNNNNNNNNNNNNNNNNNNNNNNNNNNNNNNNNNNNNNNNNNNNNNNNNNNNNNNNNNNNNNNNNNNNNNNNNNNNNNNNNNNNNNNNNNNNNNNNNNNNNNNNNNNNNNNNNNNNNNNNNNNNNNNNNNNNNNNNNNNNNNNNNNNNNNNNNNNNNNNNNNNNNNNNNNNNNNNNNNNNNNNNNNNNNNNNNNNNNNNNNNNNNNNNNNNNNNNNNNNNNNNNNNNNNNNNNNNNNNNNNNNNNNNNNNNNNNNNNNNNNNNNNNNNNNNNNNNNNNNNNNNNNNNNNNNNNNNNNNNNNNNNNNNNNNNNNNNNNNNNNNCACAUCCAUAAGCUGCAUGUCAAGUUUUUCAGAAACUACCAAACUGACAAGGUAGCGGAAAAUUAUAACGUCCAUUACAGGAGAGUAUGUCUCCUCGUAGUCAAUUCCAGGGCGUUGUGAGAAACCUUGCGCCACAAGGCGGGCUUUAUAUCUUAACACCUCAUUCUUCUCAUUUCGCUUUCUAACAAAAACCCAUUUAUGUCCCACAGGCUUUACAUUUGGCUGGGUUAGCACUACCGGGCCAAAUACCUGUCUCUUUGUUAGUGAAUCUAAUUCAACCUAGAUUGCUUCUUUCCAUUUGGGCCAAUCUGCUCUCUGUUGACAUUCUUCAACAAAGCGAGGUUCGAUAUCAUCAUGUUCUAUGAUUUCCUGUGCAACUGAGAAUGCAAAUGCAUCAUCAAGGAUCACAGAUUCUCUAUCCAGUAUCUCAUGUACGCUAGCAUAAUUCAUUGAGAUCUCUUUAUUCGCUGUACUUGGAUCAACUGUUGGAAUUUCCUCCAAAUUGGUCUUCUCACGGACAUAACUAUAGUCAGGAAUAAUUUCAUGAGUUGGAUUUUGAGUGUUGAUGAUCAAUGGAUUAAGUUGUGCCAAACUCCCCCUCUUUCUAGGGCGAGUAUCCAUAAAACCUACAGGUCUCCCCCUUUUCCUUUGGGGAGCCGCGACCUCAGCCACCACACGUCCACCAAGUGUGGUGGUGGUACCGCCUCCUAUAUUGGGAGCAGCGGCCUCACAUCCUCCUUGUGGGAUGUCUAUCCUUGCAGGCAUAUUUGCAGCAGGUAUAUGUGAUCUCGUCACUUUGGCAAGGUCAGUAAACGCAUCAGGCAUCGAAUCUGCUACGUUUACAAGCUCUAUAAUUCUCUGAACUUCACUAUCUGCUAAUGCAAAGCGGGGAUCAAGAUGAGAUAGAGUGGGAACGUACCACGACAAUUCCUAUCGUUUUUGUGGAACAUUGUUGUUCCUUCCUCCCCCUAAUGACGGGAAGGUUGUCUCAUCAAAGUGACAAUCCGCAAAUCGUGCGGUAAAUAGAUCGCCUGUCAAGGGUUCUAUAUAGCGGAUUAUAGUUGGUGACACAUAUCCAACAUAUACACCUAUUCGUCUCUGAGGACCCAUUUUUUCGCGUAAUGGUGGCGCGAUAGGCACAUAAACUGCACAACCAAAAAUGCGUAGAUGUGAAAUAUUCGGCUCAUAUCCAGUAACCAACUGGUACGCAGAAAAUGGUUGUCUAGCAGCGGGUCUGAAACGAAUAAGCAUGGCUGCAUGUAAUAUCGCUAUAAGCCCAAGCAGAAGUAGGUAGAUUNNNNNNNNNNNNNNNNNNNNNNNNNNNNNNNNNNNNNNNNNNNNNNNNNNNNNNNNNNNNNNNNNNNNNNNNNNNNNNNNNNNNNNNNNNNNNNNNNNNNNNNNNNNNNNNNNNNNNNNNNNNNNNNNNNNNNNNNNNNNNNNNNNNNNNNNNNNNNNNNNNNNNNNNNNNNNNNNNNNNNNNNNNNNNNNNNNNNNNNNNNNNNNNNNNNNNNNNNNNNNNNNNNNNNNNNNNNNNNNNNNNNNNNNNNNNNNNNNNNNNNNNNNNNNNNNNNNNNNNNNNNNNNNNNNNNNNNNNNNNNNNNNNNNNNNNNNNNNNNNNNNNNNNNNNNNNNNNNNNNNNNNNNNNNNNNNNNNNNNNNNNNNNNNNNNNNNNNNNNNNNNNNNNNNNNNNNNNNNNNNNNNNNNNNNNNNNNNNNNNNNNNNNNNNNNNNNNNNNNNNNNNNNNNNNNNNNNNNNNNNNNNNNNNNNNNNNNNNNNNNNNNNNNNNNNNNNNNNNNNNNNNNNNNNNNNNNNNNNNNNNNNNNNNNNNNNNNNNNNNNNNNNNNNNNNNNNNNNNNNNNNNNNNNNNNNNNNNNNNNNNNNNNNNNNNNNNNNNNNNNNNNNNNNNNNNNNNNNNNNNNNNNNNNNNNNNNNNNNNNNNNNNNNNNNNNNNNNNNNNNNNNNNNNNNNNNNNNNNNNNNNNNNNNNNNNNNNNNNNNNNNNNNNNNNNNNNNNNNNNNNNNNNNNNNNNNNNNNNNNNNNNNNNNNNNNNNNNNNNNNNNNNNNNNNNNNNNNNNNNNNNNNNNNNNNNNNNNNNNNNNNNNNNNNNNNNNNNNNNNNNNNNNNNNNNNNNNNNNNNNNNNNNNNNNNNNNNNNNNNNNNNNNNNNNNNNNNNNNNNNNNNNNNNNNNNNNNNNNNNNNNNNNNNNNNNNNNNNNNNNNNNNNNNNNNNNNNNNNNNNNNNNNNNNNNNNNNNNNNNNNNNNNNNNNNNNNNNNNNNNNNNNNNNNNNNNNNNNNNNNNNNNNNNNNNNNNNNNNNNNNNNNNNNNNNNNNNNNNNNNNNNNNNNNNNNNNNNNNNNNNNNNNNNNNNNNNNNNNNNNNNNNNNNNNNNNNNNNNNNNNNNNNNNNNNNNNNNNNNNNNNNNNNNNNNNNNNNNNNNNNNNNNNNNNNNNNNNNNNNNNNNNNNNNNNNNNNNNNNNNNNNNNNNNNNNNNNNNNNNNNNNNAGCUACCUAAGGUUUUUUUUUUUUUGUUGGAAAAAAAAUACUCACGUUAGAGCUUCGUGCUGAUAACGUGUUUUAGGAAAAACUGUAUAUUUCAUCCGAAUGAGUGAGCUCCUUUUAUAGGAGAUUACAGAUAACAAGAUUACAUGAAUCUCUCCUUAUUUUGUGGUACAUGCCACCACAAACCAUAACAAUACUGACUAAGUCAACAACUGACUAGAUAAACAUCUGACUGAGUAAAUAUCUACUUUACAGGAACAAUAAUAUUCUAAUUAUCCUAUAACAACAACGUGAUUAAUCAGAAUAAUGUGACGGAUCAUAUUACUUGCUUAACUAGAAGUAACAAAUACUAAACACAAAUUUGGCAUGGCCUAUUCUCAUCCGGUAUAGCUGGAUCAGACAUUUGACUCCAAGAGAUCAUAAACCCCUA
rnacentral:lncRNA from 1 species